rnacentral:lncRNA from 1 species
AUAAAAAAAAAUGGUCACACAUCUGAAUUAAAAGUUCCAAGUCAAAAGGCAAACAAGUUAACAAGAUUAUCCCAUCUGAUCAGACAGCCAUACAAUGGAUGCAUGCCAAACAUUGGAGUCUUAAAUAACAUAAAGUUAAGUAAAAGAAUACCUGAUGACUUGAACUUGAGCUUUUAUUAUCAAAUUCUCAGAAGAGUCAACAAAUCCGUCAUUAACCUUUGACAGCUCCAUAAACUUUUUCCAUCCCCAGUCAUGCUCCUUCUUCCAAAAUCGGUGCAAUGUAUCUGAAAAACUCAACAAAAAAUGAGUAAUGAUGAUAGAAAAAAUUGUAAUCUCCAGUACGUAUGCCACUUAUUAGCAAACGUACCAGAAUAUUUUGACUUCUUUGGGUCUUUAUUGACCACGGCUAUUGUAAACUGUGCAAAGUGACUCCAUCCUGUACCAUCCCAAAAAGAAAAGGAAAAAUAAGCCAAAUACUAUGGAACAAACUUUAGUAAGUAAAACUAACAAUUAUUAAUUUAAACUCAAGGAAAUAAAAAUCAUUGGUUUUACCUGGAAGAAGUUUGUCAUGAUUAGCUACACACAGAAACAGCGAGAGAUGAUUGCAAACGUCACAUCCUUGUGGAUAAAUUAAAAUAUACCUGCCAAUAACCAAAGAAAGAUUCUGUUGAAAAUCAAAACAUAAUUUGGCCUGUGGUGCUUUGAUAGAAUUAAUACUACACGAUCACAGAUCACAUAAAGUUGUUUCCCUGAUAUGUACAUUAUGUCUUGCUCUUUACCCUGUCAUUUGUAAUCAUGACAUGUACAUUUCUUGUUCAUCCUUUUAGGUCAAUACUUAGAAGUGGAACUGAAGAGGCCAGUUUUUAAAAGCCAAUGUGUGAUACAGGCCAGUUUCUAAAUUUUAAGUCAACGUGUGAUUUGUGCCAAUGAUAUUAUGAAUUUGGUUGGAGCAUAAACCCUGUAUCUUGAAGGAUAUUUUGUUGUCUUAGAAGCUGAUAUGGAAUUAGACGAUUGACUUCUAAACGGUGCAAAGCAUGCAAUCUUUCUUAAAGGGUGUUGACAAAUAUACAGAAGGAUUGUGCAAAUGUGCUCAACUUAUAAUUCUCUUCCUUUCCUUUUUUUCCAUUGUUCCCAUAGAGGAUCUCAAUCGUCCAAAUUCACCGUGCUUUCCUUGAUUAAAUGAAUAAUUUAAUUUAUUAUUUAUUUAAUGCCUUAGUAAAUCAGGACAUCUCGGAGAUAUAAUCUACAAAAAAUUACAGUACACCGACAUUUUAUCAAAACUCAAGGUAAAACUGCUGUGAUGAAUGACUCGGGAUAAUACAAGCAUAACAACACAUUCCUGCAUAUAAAUAGUUCUAAAAGAGUAAAACUGUAAGUCAGAGUGAAACUACACGUUUCUAUAAGUUUAUCUAGACCCUCAUACCAUUUGUAGCCUCCAACCUCAAAUGCAUUACUGCGAAGUUCCCUUUUGGUAAUCUGGUUAAACUUUUCUAUCUUCCAUGUAUAUUUCCCAUAUAACUCAGAAGGUUUUUGUCCUACGAAGAGAAGAAGAAGUAAGAUUUUUACAAUUUUUUAUGGAAAAAUAUUGGCAAUCAACCACCACCCAUCAUGAAAGGAUCAAGAAUCAGCUCAAGCUAAAUUUAAAAAAAUAAAAAUAAAAAAUAAAAAAAAUCAUUUAGAAGAGAAUUUAAUCUAACUGUUCAGGAACAAGACACAACUUCCUGCUGAAUUCCCCCACUCUAGCCUAGAAAAGGUUCUUUUAAGAAAAUUGGCAGAAGGUACAUUUGGUACAACAGUUCAAGUUGUUGCCAAGUGAGUGACGUGACUAAGAUGAUGUGGGUUCAAAUUUGUAGACUCGGAUUCUCUACAAAUGUUUCCCUUUAAGAUAGGAACUUUAAAGCACCAGAGUACCUUUUAUGGCAAUCGGCACAAUAGAAUUACCCAUCUUAUUCGUAUAACUUGCCUUCAUACACUGUAAAAGUUGAAACAUAAUUACAUCCAUAUUCCAUUCUGCCACUAUAAACAGUCUGAGAAAUUUGAUGAUCUAUUAACCUCACUAGAAAUCUUAUAAAUUGGAAACUGAGACAAAUAAAAGUGUAUCCAAGUAAUAAAAACAGGAUGUAUAUAUUAAGAUGAGUUGAUCAAAGGUAGUCAAAAUAAGAUUUUACGCAAGAUCGGAAAGGAGAUGUUAAAUCGUAAAUCAUGCAACUGUAAGAUCAUACAAAAUUCAUAAAUCUCAAAUAUAUGCAUAUAAAUUCAUUCAUAUAUAUGCUUAUAAAAUAGCAUAACUAAAACAAAAGAAAACUUAAAUCACACUUGAAAUACUUGUGUAAAUUUAAAUUCAUAAGCAUAGCUCAAAUAAUAGCAUAGUGCAUAACCCUUACAAAUUAAAACUUAAAACACUUAGUAUGUAAUAAAACACAAUCACAGAACAACAGUAUAGCACUUGAAAUACUUAUCUAAUUAAAACACUAAAUCAAACUCAUAAGUCUCAAACGAAACAACAACUAAAGUUGCCUUCUGUAGUUCCAAAACCGCGACCAUAAUCGUAGAAUCGUUUCAAAGUAAUGUAGAUUAUGCAGGAUUCCACCAAAAUAAGAUUUUGCGACUCAUAAUCGCUGAGGGAAAGUAUAAUCCCAAAAUCGCCAAAUAUUGUCACACAGCACAACAUCUAAUAUAGAAGUAUGCUUUAUGCCAAAAUUACCAUCCCUAUACCUCACUUAGAAAAACACACACAUACACGCAAUAAAACAACAAAAAUUCAGUAGAAUUGUAUAAGCGAAAAAAGGAAAAGAAAAAAAAAAAAAUUGACUUUACCACCGUCGUCUUCGUCGGUGUCCCAAUAAGGGGGAGAAGUAGACGCGAUUCCAUUCUCCACCUGCUCAGAAGACCUCCAUUCCGCCAAUGCUUCCCCGGUAGAAUGCUGCCCACGUGAAUUUCCCACUCCAGACUCCUCACUCAACACUCCAGCCAUUCCCUAAUCAAGAAAUAUUUCAGUAAUCACUUGUACAAAGCCUAAAUCAUCCCUUAAACCCAAAAUUAAUUAUAAAAAUAAAGCAACAAUUUUUAGUGUAUACUUCUCAAAAAUCCUAUAAAAUUGAAUUCAACACACCAAAAUGAAAUAACAAUAAUUCUAAUUCUAAGCUAUCAGUUCCAAUGAAAAUUUCAUAAAUGUUAACUUCCCAAUUUCAAUUCACUGGCAAUGAAACUAAAACUAAAAACCAAAUUCAUAAACAAAAACCCUAAAUUCAAAACAGAUAAUGAAAUUAAAAUCAAACAAAUUGAAACAAGAUAACCAACCAAGAACAACAAAAUUGAAGAACAGGCUCGUGAAUCCAAAUUACAAAAAAAAAAAAAACAGAAUUCAAAAACACAAUCAACAAUGAAUACAAGAAGAUCAUUGGCAGUAAUUACCAAAAAAAUAAAAAAUUGAAAUCGAAAAAAUGGCGCAGAAGAAAAACGGUUGAAGAUGAAGAGGAAGAAGAUGAAAGUGGAUCGAAUAGGAGAAGAAGAUGAACCUGGAAUCGUGAAAGAGGAGCGGUUGUGAAAAGGGUAGAAUCGAAACUGUGAAAUUUUAGAGAGAGAAAGAGAGAGAAGUGAAGGAGAGAGAAAGAGCAGCAACACAAGAAGAGAGCAAAGGCAUAACCCAACACAACUAUUUUUUUCUUUUCUUCUUUUUGUUUUAAUAAUUUUAAUACAAGAAAGUUUCCUUUUCAAUUUUAUUUUAUUUUAUUUCAAUCAAAUAUAGAUUUUAAUUUCAAUUAUAUAUUUUUACGUUGGACUUGCGACUUAUGAUGGUUCCAAGGGCAUGCAUAUAUGCAAGUUUUAUAACUCGAGAAUUUACCUCAACUCGUUUUGUCUAAGUAAAUUCGACUCGUACACUCGACUCGAGAAUUCGUACGAAUUUACCUAAAAUAAAAAUUAAUAUAAAAUUUAUUAUAUGCAAGAUAUAUAUAAGCUAAUAUAAUAUCGUAAAUAGGUCAAUAGUACAAAAUAUGACUUAAUUACAAAGGCAAAUUAUACCAAACUACCAUAAUAAAACGUUAUGCUAAACUUAGCAUCAAAAUACAAAAAUUAACGCACAAAAUCAUAUGUUUCAUAAGUCUUCCAUCCAUUUUUUUUUUAUAAAAUAAGUCUUCCAUCCAUAAAACCAUCCAAAAAACCAAGUUUUACAAGUUCAAAAAAUUGUUAAUAAAACUAUCUAAAAAAUAAACUAGUUAAUUUCUUCAAAUGGUCAACAAACACCACCCCCGCAACCCUAACCGAUGUCGCAAUCACCGGCGUCGAAAUCUGAAUUUUCACCGUCGGAAUCGCAACCCUAACUGAUAUGUGCUCCCUUGUUCAUGGUUUGAGAACUCAGAGAAGAAAGAAAAAGAAAUGUUUCAUUUCAGGAACAUGUUAACGUAAAUGUAAUUAUUCAGUAACGUUUCAGUCUUUGGGUUUGUAGAAAAGGAAUUGGGUUUUGAAAAAAAUGGACCCAAAAAAAGGGCCAAUUUUUUUUUUUUAGAAGUAAACUCGAUCGAGUUUACACGAGUUUAGUGAGUGUUAACUCGGUCAAACUCGUUAAGCCUCCCGAUUUUACUAGAAACCGAGUUUACCUCAGAGUUAACACGAUUUUGGUACCUAAAAACGUAAACUCAGAGUGUUAACACUCGAUUUGCGGAACAUUGCAUAUAUGUUAGCGGCUUCUUAUAUCAUAUGGGGCAUUCUACUUUAGUUGUAGAAAAGUUGUAGGGUUGUGUACAUUGUUUGAGAAUGGCUAGUAGAUUGGGUUCACCCUCAUCGUUGUUGAUAUGUGAGUAUAUAUCGCACGUAGAGUACAACAUUGGGCGAGUUCGGGCCCAAAAUGACUCACUCAAGAAAAUUGAAAGUGAAAAACUCUAACUCACUUCCGACCGUUGUAGACUUUGAUUUUUUGUCCAGUCAUAGUUUAUACGGGUAUUAGUUUGAUCUGAUAAUCAUGUGAAUAGAAGAAAGACACGCAUAGGGAGAGACUUCUUAUGAAUUACAUACAAUAUAUAUAAUAAUAGAAAGAAAAAAAAUAUUUGCAUUGUAAAUUAAUUAGGUCAGUGGUCACCAUUAGAUUGUCUACUCAAUUUGAUUUUGCAACAUUGCAGUUCAUCUUAUGUUUGAAUGAAUUACAAUUUAUUUUUUAAAAAAGAAACGAUCAUGCUUAAAGGUGACUUGAAUCGCCUAUCUUUUUUCAAGUUUUAGGAUGUCAAUUAGAAUUAGAAUGAAGUGAUUUGAAUCAUCUAGCUAUGUGAUUCGAAUCACCUAAGAAAUUUUAGGUCUUAAACUUCAAUUAGAGAGUUAAAAUUCAAAUCAAACUAUUAAUGUGAUAUGAAUCGCAUUGGUUAAGAAUGUUGAUUCAAAUCAACAUACUAAUGUAAUCUUAAUCAUGCAUGUGAUUUUUCAGAUUUUUAAUACAUUAAAUUAUUUUUCUGGUACUGAUUCAUAUCUAAACCUCACCCAUUGCCACAUGAACAUCUAAACAUUCAUUUCACUCUAAAAUCCAUCAUUGUGAGGUUCAAUUUAAUCUUCUUGAUCACAAACUUUGAGUGAGAUUCUUAUAAGUUUAGAUAGGGAUUCUUUGUACAUUAGUGUUUCAAUGAAAUAUAUUAAGGAUUGCUCAAUCUUUUAUAGAUCUGAAGGAAACAGAGUACAUCCUUUUCACCUAAAUUGAGAAUUUAGGGUUUUAAGAUUUUUUAUCGUUCAUGAUGUAAAAGGUCAAUUAAAUUAAGGAUUGAAGAUUCAAAUCGAAGACUUCAGAUUGAAAUUGGACAGAUUCAAGGUGAAGAUCGAGGUCCAAAUUUUGAAGGGUUUCAAGAUUUGAGUAUUUCAAGAUUUAAUGGGAAUUAAAGACAAUUUGAGGGCUCAAAGAGUUAUUGUUGUGAACAUUAAUUCAAAAAAAUUUAAUAUUGUAAAUGAAAGAAACACUCACAAGUUGUGAGAGGACAUGAUUAGGUCACAAGGCAAGGAAAAAUGUGACCAAACUAGUAUGAUCUCGUGUCUUUCAUUCUAACUCUUAAUCUCUCUAAGAAAAUAUUAUAAAUCUUUUAAACCCUCCCUUCUAGAUUUUAGAUGGGGCACAAAGCAUAAGAAGAUGGACUAUUCAAGAAGAUUCAUCCCUCGUGGAUUGAUUAUAUUGAAAUUGUGAGAUCAAGCACAUUUACUGAGAAGCUAGUCGUUGCGUUGAUUGUAUUGCAAAUCUUGAACAUGGUGGCGAGCUUGAUUUUAUAGAGUUUCAUACCCCGUUCUUCUUUAUUUUUAUUAGAUUCUGGUAAUUGUAAAAGGAUCUUCUUCUUCCCUCAUCUUGUUUCUUAGUUUUCGUAUGUGAUAUCAUUUUCUUAUUAAAAAAAUGUUUAGACAUUACAUCCUCAAAAUCUCUGUUGCGUUUGAGUAUCUUUCAGAAUUCAAUAAUGAAAAUUUUAAGCAAGAGUGUUACUACUUCUUUUUCAACUUGAGAUAUUAGUCUCUUGAAUUAUCCGAAAAAACUAAUAUAUAGUUUAGUUUACUUUAACUUCCGAAACUUAUUUGAAAAUGUAUACAUAUAAGCACAUUUGUGGAUAUUUUAGGAAAUAAUCUUACUAUAUUUUUUUUCACAAAUUAUUAUGAUUUUUUUUUGGGACAAAUUAUGAACAUAAAUUUGAAAGGGGGAAAUAAUCUUAUUAUAAUUACACAAUGGUAUAAUACCAUAGAAAUAUAUACAAUUAAAAUCUUAUGUAUGAAAGUCUUUCCUGCUUAGUUAACUGAAUUUGAAGGAACUUGAAUGCAUAUCACGACGACGCCUCUUUUUGAUAAGAGACCUGGAUUAAAUACUCAUUUGUUGACCUCCAAGAUUAUUUUCUACUUGACAUAAUGAUAAUCAUUCAUUUCAGUAUUAUACAUACUGUUGACUUGGAAAGAAAAAAAUAAUUGAGUACAUAAAGUCUUUGACUUAGUUGGUCCCGAAAUGGUGUGACUCUUGGUCUUGGAUCCUCUACUGCUUCUCUUCAUAAGCAAAGAAAGAAAGAAAAAAAAUAGUUCCUCUCUCUCGUCUUAGUUGAAACAAAAAUAAAAUGUAAUCUCUCUAAAGCAUGCAUUUUCAUUACUACCUAGAACAAUGUAAUUUAUAAACUUGAUGACUACUGUGAAAUCUGCAUAUAUAAUUUUGUAUGAAUUCGCUCAUUGAUUCAUCUCCUCCUCACAAAUCAUGUUGAAUGGAGCAGUAUGUGUAGCUAGUGGUGAUAAUUGGGUGACUUGCGAUAUGCAUAUGCACAUAUUUUACUGACAUGUUCUUUGAUUUAUUUGGCAGAUUAUCAUAUCCAUUCAUAUGCACGUAUUUUACUGAUAUGCAUAUGCACAUAUUUUAUGUGGAAAAAGCGAAACAUAAAAUUGUGGCAAGGCGAUGACAACCUCUCCUUAGAUCAUUGUCACGCGAGCAAAGGAUAUUACGAACGAAUGAGGUUGUAUGCAAAGAGCAAAACUUCCAAUAUCCACGGUACAAAUCACUCUUGUGCAUGGGCCAAACCUCAUCACAGUAAAGUGUAAUGUUGAUUGUGCCACCUUUAACAAAGCACAAUCAUGAGUUAUGGAAUGUUCUUUGGAGACUAUAUGGGGCUUUUCUUUCUGGAAAAUAAUGUUGGAUGCAAUACAAGGCAACUGCCAUGGAAGUUGUAGCUAUUGGUCUCCUUGAAUCCAUCAUAGUGGCUAUUAAUAAGGGAUUACAAUCUAUGGUGUUCGAAACAGAAUGUAAGCCGGUCGCUGAGUCCCUAAUAGAUAGUGUAACUUAUCUUACUAUAUUUGUUAAAAUCAAAUACAUAAACAUAACAUAAAUGAGAAUAUCAAAAUCAUAAAAUACUUGCAAAUAACUUUGCAAGCAUCAAAAUAACCAAAGUUUCAGGGCUUAAAAUUGCAUAAAAUGCUUGCAAGCAUAAAAAAGAAAUAACCAAAGUACAAGGUCCUAAAUUAACUAAAGUCACAGCUCACAAAAUAACAAGGUUCAAGAGCCUAAAUGCAUCAAAAUCAUAAGUUAGGCUCACCAAGAGCCUAAGUUCCAUUUACAAAAUAUCAAAGUCAAGAACCUAAAUUCAAAAUAUCUAAGUCAAGGCUCUUCAUUAAUUUUCCACCAACCUGCAAUAAAAAAAAGUAUGUGAAAAACUAACAAUUGUAACAAACAUUAUGCAUUAGCCUUAUAGAAUUAUAAAUGCCUAAAAUCAUAAUAUUAACAAGUCAAACAAUUGCAUUUCAGUCUGAUAAAUAGUCAACGAAACACAAUUAACAAGAGAACAAGAUAAUGCAUUAGCAUUUAGCAUUUGUGAAAUCAAAUUGUAACACAACCUGCUUUUUCUUUGACUUCUUUUUCCUCUCAUUUGCUCCACGUUUUGUUUUCUGAUCAUUUUCAGCUUUCCAUGAUGCCUCUUCUUCUUCACGGAUGAGUUCUUCUUGUCUCUUUAGAGCAACUGCUUCCUGAUAAGCAACUUCAAUUUUGUUGCUGCAUAUAUACAUGAAAUUAGGAAUUAGGAUUUCUAACUACAUGCAUUUAAAUUUAAUACAUAAAUGUAAAGAGCACAAAUAAAUAAAAAGUGUGGUACAGAUGCAGUGAACCCAUGUACUGAAAUCACAUAGGAGCCAAAUAGAAUUUGACAAUCUCUUGAAAUACAUCUGAAAUCACAUAGGAGCUAUCCUUGUACUGAUCAUCUCUUACAAACUGGAAACCGCCAAAACCAUAACCGCAACAAAACCAACUGAUUAAAUUAGUGGAGUCUACUCCCAAGUAAUUUUAGCGAAUAAACGGUGCACAGACAGAGAGACAAAAUCCGGGAGUGUAUAAACAAUUAGUUAAGUUGAGAAAUGCAGAGAAUGAAACUAAAUAUUGUGUAUGAUACCUGAAUAUAUAGUUAAGGACAAAUAUUUCCAAAGUCAUGCGCCCUAAUUCUGUGAGACACCUUUCAUCAUGCUCAAUACAAUCUUUGUCGAAAUCCUCCCCAGAGUGUCCAUUCUGCAAGAACAUGGGAAACAGGUCCUUAGCAAUCAAAAGGAUUUCAGAGCCCUUUUGGCACUUCCUUGUUACCGAAGAUACCAUUUCAGAUACCUAAUAUAUGCUUCAAAUACGAGCAGGAUAGGUUUGUUUCUUUCUAAAUUAUACAUGUAAAAAUGUACACUAUCAUUAAUUAACAUCUACGAGAUAUGGUAAAGAAAAAAAGGAAACACGGCCUAAAAUGAAUUCAGUUGGAAAGGGAAUAUUUCAGUUAGUGGUGAGCAAAUACUAAAAAAUUCAAUAUCAAGCUAUCAAGCAUGUGCAACUUUAGAAUAAACUAAUCCAUAUUUGAACCCAUCACAUUUCAAUUGGCUCAAUGCUCAACCAUAUCAACAUCUUUUAACUGUCAUCAAGUAAAUCCUUAGUUGCUUUAACAAAUAUUAUUCUAAAUCUUACCUUCGUACAAUUUUGGGGACCCUUUUCAUCUUUUGGAGGGAGCGGUUCUGUAGCAGCCCUUUCAAGAAGCAGUAAAACAUCAUCCACCAGUACAAACAUGUCAUUCUCAACGCGAACAAUAGGUGUUGGUAUUUUUUCAGAAUCCAACAAUUUUUUCCAUUCUUUUUUGCUAGUCUGACCCUCGAGAGCCUUCAAUCCACUAUACAAGGACUCCAUUACCAAAGUAGAGGUGAUAUCUUUCAUGAUAAAGAAGUGUUUCACUACUACUUUCAAAAUUACAUCUGUCUUCUCCCUAGAUAUGCGGCGCCUAGAUGUUUGAUCAAUUUUACUCCAGAAAGCAGAGAAACUGUAAAUGUUGCAAAUAACUGUUUGAUCAACUUAUAAAAUCAGACACCCACAAUUUGAAGGUCUGACAAUGGAUACUAUUACAUUAUAUUAAUUAAUUAAAUCAGGAAACAGUGUCGUUGUAAUAAAUAAGAAAUGGCAUUAUGAAAAUCAGAUUUAGUUUCAAAACUAGGCACAAACCAUGGGUAUUUAUAAUACAUCAAACCAUGGUCAACAAUUAGACGUAUUAAUGGAAUUCACCCACUUCUGUAUCUUUUCUUCUCAAAUUGACCAAACUUUUUCACCUUUAUCGAUGGAAGAUGAAGUAAAUCAACCCAAAAUAUAUUUUAAGGAAGAUGUGAGACACUUUAGCGCAAGAUGGUAAUUACAAAAUACAUCAUGUGUGACAUAAUAGACAAUGCAUAUAUGCCAGAAGUGAGACACCAAGCAUUAUCAAAGGAGAGCAUAUACCUCAACCACCUAGCUUUAUCCUCUAUCAACUUCCCAAGCUUGCUUCGUCUUUCCUCCACAAAACGCCGACAAAUUUGUUCUACAUUUGUCAAAUAUACCUUAACUAGUUCUCUCCUAUAUUGACAAUCAAGGCAACGGAAAGGCCUGUCUGGUUUCUCCCUGCAUCAGCAACCAAUAACAAAUAAAAUGUUCACACGUCUGAAUUAAAAAGGCAAACAAGAUGACAAGAUUAUCCCAUCUGAUCAAACAGUCAUAAAAUGGAUGGCAUGCCAAACUUUGGAGUCUUAAAUAACAUAAAUUUAAGUAUGGAAUACCUGAUGACUUGAACUUGAGCUUUUAUUAUCAAAUUGUCAGAAUAAUCGACAAAUCCGUCAUGCCCAUUCACCUUUGACAGCUCCAUAAACUUUUUCCAUCCCCGGUCAUGCUCCUUCUUCCAAAAUCGGUGCAAUGUAUCUGAAAAACUCAAGAACAAAUGAUGAGUAAUGAUGACAGAAGAAAUUGUAAUCUCCAGUAACUAAGCCAAUUAUUAGCCAACAUACCAGAAUAUUUUGAUUUCUUUGAGUCUUUAUUGAUAACGGCUAUUGUAAAUUGCGCAAAGUGACUCCAUCCUGUAUCAUCCCAAAAAGAAAAGGAAAAAUAAGCCAAAUACUAUGGAACAAACUUUAGUAAGUAAAACUAACAAUUAUUAAUUUAAACUCAAGGAAAAAAAUCAUUGAUUUUACCUGGAAGAAGUUUGUCAUGAUUAGCUACACACAGAAAUAGUGAGAGAUGAUCGCUAACGUCACAUCCUUGUGGAUAAAUUAAAAUAUACCUGCCAAUAACCAAAGAAAGAUUCUGUCGAAAAUCAAAACAUAAUUUGAACUGUGGUGCUUUGAUAGAAUUAAUACUACAGGAUCACAGAUCACAUAAAGUUGUUUCCCUGAUAUGUACAUUAUGUCUUGCUCUUUACCCUGUCAUUUGUAAUCAUGACAUGUACAUUUCUUGUUCAUCCUUUUAGGUCAAUACUUAGAAGUGGAACUGAAGAGGCCAGUUUUUAAAAGCCAAUGUGUGAUACAGGCCAGUUUCUAAAUUUUAAGUCAACGUGUGAUUUGUGCCAAUGAUAUUAUGAAUUUGGUUGGAGCAUAAACCCUGUAUCUUGAAGGAUAUUUUGUUAUCUUAGAAGCUCAUAUGGAAUUAGAUGAUUGACUUCUAAACGGUGCAAAGCAUGCAAUCUUUCUUAAAGGGUGUUGACAAAUAUACAGAAGGAUUGUGCAAAUGUGCUCAACUGAUAAUUCUCUUCCUUUCCUUUUUUUCCAUUGUUCCCAUGGAGGAUCUCAAUCGUCCAAAUUCAUCGUGCUUUCCUUGAUUAAAUGAAUAAUUUAAUUUAUUAUUUAUUUAAUGCCCUAGCAAAUCAGGACAUCUCAGAGAUAUAAUCUACAAAAAAUUACAGUACACCGACAUUUUAUCAAAACUCAAGGUAAAACUGCUGUCAUGAAUGACUCGGGAUAAUACAAGCAUAACAACACAUUCCUGCAUAUAAAUAGUUCUAAAAGAGUAAAACUGUAAGUCAGAGUGAAACUACACGUUUCUAUAAGUUUAUCUAGACCCUCAUACCAUUUGUAGCCUCCAACUUCAAAUGCAUUACUGCGAAGUUCCCUUUUGGUAAUCUGGUUAAACUUUUCUAUCUUCCAUGUAUAUUUCCCAUAUAACUCAGAAGGUUUUUGUUCUACGAAGAGAAGAAGAAGUAAGAUUUUUACAAUUUUUUUAUGGAAAUAUUGUCACACAAUCUAAUUCAAGUAUUCUUUAUACCACAAUUACCAUCCCUAUACCUCACCUAGAAAACUUUUAUUUUAUAGGCUAAGAGAUAGGCGAGGCAUCAAGGUGAGUCUGAAGCAUAAACACCCUCAUUCUAUGCCACCGAGAAAAUAUAUAUAUAUAAAUGGGGGGAAACCAAAAAAAAUAAGGAAAGCAAAGAAAAAAUGGCCCUAGAAGAGAAGGUGUUGCUCAACCGCCUUUGGCAGUCCACAAGAGUCUUUUCACAUAUGUGAUGUGUUAUCUUCAUGCAUAACAUAUCUCCUUUAAUUUCCAGUGUUGUGAAACCGCAACGAUGAUGAGUGGAUUGGUUACCAAUUGUCCAAAAUUCAACACAAAUCCAAUUGGCAACAAGAGUCAAGCAGCGCAAAAGUCCACGUAUUGAACAAAAUGGCAUUUGGAUCCAAACAAUACAAAUAAUACAUGAUACAAGGAGAAACUCAUCACAUUGAACAGUAAUUAGCAAACGGAAUUCAAUGGAUGAAAGAUGAAGCUGAACGGCGCAACACAAACCCUAGCAUCUAUUUCUCACCUAGAAAACACAAACACAUACAUGCAAUAAAACAACAACAAGAGUAGAAUUGGAUAAACAACAACACAUGCAUGCAAUAAAACAACACCAACACCAGUAGAAUUACACUAAGGAAAAAAUUGAAUAUACCACCAUCGUCUUCGUCCGUGUCGCGGUAAGGAGCCAAAGUAGGCGUGAUUUCAUUCUCAACCUGCUGCUGCACACGUGAAGUUCCCACUCCAGACUCCUCACUCAACACCCCAGCCAUUCCCUGAUCAAGAAAUAUUUCAGUAACAUUCUCACAUUGUAUCAUAUUUCAGUAAGAGAAAAAUGAUUAAGUAAAUGGAGGAGGUGAUUGAAUAGAAGGAGAAGAACCUGGAAUCAAACAGUAGCGGUUGUGAAAAGCAUAACCCUAAACAAAAUUAUUUUGUUUUUUAUUUUUUAUUUUAAAUUGUAAUAAUGAAAAUUUUCCUUUUUAAUUUUAUCUAUUUAUUGUAAUUGAAAGUUUAUUCGAAUUCGGCUCCGGAGUUCAUAAGAGUCAAACAGUUGUUAAGACUCAUCUGCGCGCUAACAGAUGUACCUACAAAAUCAGAUACUUGCAUUGACACCAUGAGUUAAAUUUAUCGACGGGUAAACGGAGCUACUUAUAUAUCACCUAUCUCAGGUUGGCACCGAGAGUUCAACUCACAAACCAACUCCUUAUCAACGGAUCAAUUUUCAUUGAAAGUUUUUUUUUUUGUGCCAUGUAUUUUAUUUUAGAGAUAUGCAGCUUCAAAGGUAUAUUAUAAAUUUUCAUUUCAAUUAUAUUUUACUUCCUCCGUUCCUUUUUAAGUAUCGUUUUAGGGUGAAUUUUUUGUUCUAUUUAACUGUCGUCUUGAUAUUUUAAGGGUACGAUUUGUCAAUUAUACUCUUUAUCAAUUACUCGUAUCUUUUUCUUUGUUUGGUUAAUCUUAUCUUUUUUAAUAAAACUAAUUAAUGAUAUAUAUUUGAAAAACUAAAGUUUAUUUUUUAAAAAACAAAAUUUGUUUCUUGUUAUCUUCAUAUUUAAACAAAUGUAAAGAGAUAAAUAUUGUACCAAUACCAUUGUUGCUCUUUUCUAUCUGCUCUACUAAGUUAUCUUCAUCCAGUGCGGAUCUAACAUUGGUUGAAGUCAUAGUUGAAACCUUAAUUUUGAUUAAAGGAGUUGGAGGAAAGUUAAUUUUUUCUUAACUUUUGAUUAAUGUGAAGUUGAAAUAAUUUUUAUAUUGACUUAAAUUAAUUAAAGAGAUGUGCAAUAUUUAAAAAAUUGACAAUUAUUUGUUAUGAGAGAGAGUGUGCAAAAAAAAAAAGAAUUUGUUGGAGAAAAAGAUAGUAAGUAACAAAUGUUUGUUAUGGUCUUAUGUUAUGGAAAAAAUAUAACAUAUUAAAUUUAUUGGAAAGAUAAAGUGUGUGCCAAAAAAAUAGAGAUAUAUUGGUGGAUUAAAUUGAGGAUAUAAUAGGAAGAAAAUGUGAAAAAAUAAAAUUUGCUAUUUUCGUGAAAAUUUUCUAAAACGACACUUAAAAAGGAAUGGAGGGAGUACUAUUUAACGAUUGGAUCUUUUGUAGCUUAACUUUCAGAACUCAAAUUUAGACAUGAGAGUACAGCAGAAAAAAAACAUAUCACCUAUUUUAUGAGGAUGAAAAAUGAACUUUGAUAUAUUUAUUGGGACUUAAAAACUUAAAUUUGUUGACUUCCAAGAGAUUUUUACUUUGAAGAACAAAAAAAUUAUCUAAUUGGUAAGAAUGUGUUGUGGUGAAAAUCUUUCUCUCCAACAAAUGAAUUCAGAAGAUCAAUCUAUGAUUUAAGUUAGAUCUUAUAGAAUUUUUAGCUGAUAAGUUUUAGAUCACAAGCGCACAAUUGGAUAAUGAAGAAAUUAUGGGCAUAAAACGUGAAAGAAUAAAUGCACAAGAAAGGGAAAAUAAAGGAACGAAGCCUACAAAAGAGAAAAAUCUAAUAAUAAAGAUGUGAUUGAGUUUCAUCCAUCAUUCUUUUAAAGUUAUGAGUAAAAAGUUAUCAUAUAUGAUAGCGGAUGUGUUAUCCCCUUAGGCGAAGUUUUAUCAAACGGAAAUGAUCUCAUUUGCAUUGUGUUUGAUUCUACAAUUUUUAAAAUUAGAAAAUAAACUAACUAACUAACUCUAUAUAUAUAUAUAUAUAUAUAUAUAUAUAUAUGUUGCUUGGAUGUCACAUGUCUACUAACGUUCCAAGAGUCUUUUUCUGCAAGGUUCUUCUUUGAAUUUAAAUCACCGGCGUUGAAAAGCUCAUAAUUGUUGCGUGGAAAACUUCUUGGAUACAAUUCAUAUGCAAUUUUUAGAAGUUGUGUAAUUUGAAUUCUUUGAGUAACUCUGGACGCUACUUCUUAAUAUCUUAUUCGAAAUAAUAUACUCUUCAAACUUUUGACUUGUUCUCGAUCUUCAAAGAUAUUGGACUUAGUUCGCUUAAAAUACUAUCAUUCAAAAUUUGCAUAUACAUGUGCCCUCUUCAUUUCUCUAGGCAAUAAUUGAGAAUAAUAUCUCAUUUCUCGUGCUCGUUCAAACCACUUGAGUGAUCAUUGUAGCAAUGUUUCUUCUAACCUCGAUAAGCUUUAAGAAAAUCAAAUGAUAGUCGAUAAUGCUAUCAACUUACCAAAAGAAGAACUUCGAAAGAGGAAGAAAUGGAAGCUAUUGCUGCAACCAAAUAUAUUCUCCAUGACAUUGAUAUGGAGUUUGUAGAGUCUUGUACAACCUAGUCUGAUCUUUUAUGAAAUUUGAAUUUUGCAGCGAGGGUUUGUGAUGUGGCUGGUAAGAAAAAUAAUAACUUGGAACAAACUUGGGCCAGAAUCCCAUCUCUUCCAAAUCUUUAGAUGUAUUUUCUUGUGUUAUGUUAAUAUUACCUUUUUUCUUUUUGGCAAAAAUGUAUUUCUGACCCCCCCAAAUUUUUAAAACUUGCGAUUUUGACCUCCCAAGUUUGAAAAUAGCACUUUUGAACCCCUAAGUUUCACCCCCUUUGCAAAACUAUAGCGCCCCUUGAUUUUGACCUUGUCAAAGCUGAUGUGGACAUUUUUAUAUAAAAAAAAUUCCAACUACAUACAUAUGUGAAAAAUAGUUUAAAUUAAAAAUAAAUAAACAAGAACAAUAUCUUCUUCUCCCACCUGAAGAAUUUUCUAUCUGCUUCUAGUGAAUUUCAACCUCUACUUCUUCUUCCAUCACCAUCUUUCAACAUAUUCACCUUCAAAAUCUCACUCUAGAAAGACCAUUUUCAUACCCUUCACCACCGUUAGCCUCAAUCAAAAUUUCAUCACAUAUCAAAUCUUACUUUUGUUUCUUUUUUUUGUUUUGUUUGAAGAACCACUUAAACAAUCAAGCACGAUUUGCUUUGAUUUUGAUAGCAUGGAUCAAGAUUUUUGCAAGCUUUUCGAUUUCUUAUUGACAAUACAGCGGCAUCACCGACGUCAAAAGAAAUAACUUCAACCAAUUAAAUUUGGGGCUAUUAUUUUGGGGUUUGAGUUUAGAUUUGAAGCUAUUUUUUCUUAAAUUUCUGAUUUCGAAUUUGCAUUUGAAGUAGGUUUUUGUCCUCAUUCUCUGUCGCUUUUGAUUUCAAAUUAUCUAUAGAUUCAAGUUUAUCAACUUGGAUUUAAAACAAUCCGACACCAAAAAAUUAAAAUGGGUUUUGGUUUGAAUAGUGAAAAACUUUUAUCUUCUUAGUAGCUAGAUAAUAAGGAAUGAUGUUAUUUCUUAGUCAAGUGUCUGAACAGUUGACAAUAUUUUAUAAAAAAAAGUGUCCACAUCAGCUUUGACUAGAUCAAAAUCAAGGGGGUCAUGAUUUUGCAAAGGGGGUGAAAUAUAGGGGGUCAAAAGUGCUAUUUUUAAAUUUGGGGGUCAAAAAUGCAUUUUAGCCUUUUUUUUUAUUUUUUUUGGUCAGGGAGCCUUUCUUUUUUUAAUGUUAUUUGAAAUAUAGUAUAUUGGCCAUUUACCUCCCUAAAAAAAAAAAAAGUAUAUUGGAUAUUUACCCUACACUUUUUUCUUAUAAUAAUGGUAGAUUCUAAGGUGAGGGCUCAAUUAAGCCCCUCACCGAUGUACCACUUUAAUUGACCAUUAGAUUAAAUAAGUCUAUAUGAUCUCAAUAGUCAUAACCACACUCGAUCAUGUCUCUCCUCUCUCUUUCUCUAGCCCUAGCAAAUCUGACUUUGUGUUGCACAAGGACCAUGGCAGAGCUUGGUCUCCAUUUGUUCCAAGAAACGCUUGUUUGAGAUUUCAAAUCCCGUUUCAAUUUGCUUACCCUUUUUCAACAUUCAGGGUGCAAAUGUGGCCUCUUAUUAUACUCUCCUUCAUCAACUAGUUCAACAAUGUGUCUUGUUGGCGGUUUGGUUACCAUGUUCUAGUAGUGUAUUGGUAAAUUAUAUCAAACAAUAACACAUAUACCCAAAAAUUAAACCAAAAGAAAUGCCUCCAAAUUCUAACGAAAGUUUGUGUAUUCAAGGAAAAAUCCAUCACCAAAAGCACAAGAUUGUAUAAAAUAAUCAUACGUAGGACAAUUGAAUUUCUAUUCUCUUUACUUUCUUUUUAUUAUAUUCCUAAUUUUCACAAAAUCACUUUUGUUGGAUUAGAGUGUGUGAGUGAUACUGUUCUAAAAUAUGUCAUGAGUUUUUUUUCUCAGUAAAACUGAUUGAUUUGUGGUUGUUACCAUCACUGCCAUUCUAGCGUUGAGAUUAAUUUAAAAAUUCAAGGAAUAGAGGGGAUAAAGGGGAGAAAGAGGGGGAGAGAGGAAAAAGAUAAAUGUGAUUCGGUGUAUAUGGUGAAUAAUAAGAUAUAUGAACUCAAUUCUUUCAAAAAAAAUAAACUAUAUGAACUCAAUUAAUCUAAUGGCUCUUAUUGUUAUUUAUGGUGGUCCACCGGUGUGUGAUUUAAUUAAACCCUCACUCUAGAAUCCACUUAAAAUAAUAUUAGUCAUUUUAAUCUCAUGAAUGUCUUGUUUAUGGUAUUUUAAAUAUUGUCCAUUAAUUUACAUUUCUCGAUUGCUCAAACCUAUAUCUUGAAUCAAAUAUGCAUUAUUAGAAGAAGAAGAAGAAAAAAAAAACUCAAUGACGAAAGGCCCUUCCUAAUUCGGGAACCAUUUCCCAGAUCCUCGAGUUUUAGUAUCAACUGGAAAAAUUGUUUUCCAUUUCCCAAUUCAUUUUCCAUACCGUCAUGUACUUUAACCAAAGCCACAUAAGCAUCUUCUUCACUUAAGCAUCUUGCUAAAGUUCCAUCAGACAUUUGUACAUACAGUUCAUCACCAAUUAUGAUGUAGAACAAAGCUUUAUAUUUCAAUUUAUUGCUAUAAUUCGAAGUAGGGUAUUUUAGAUAUUCAACAAUCUCUAGCCUUCAAACUCUUGGUUCUAAUGUAUUUAUGUUCUGAAUAUGAAAUCAUAUUAUGAUAUAGCUCUUUGAAACUCAAUAAUCUUAUCAAAAUGUUUGCUUAGGAUUUUAUAUCCAAAAGUAUUUUGGGAUAGUUCAUUUGCCUAGAACUUUUCUAUUCGAGGAAUAUAUUCACGAACCACUCACUACAUCAACCUUUGAAAAUAGCCUUUUAGUUAUUUUGAAACAUUUCAAUAAAUUAGGGUUUUAACAUUUGUAAUUAUGUUUUAGUUGAUUUAUAACUAAUUGAGAAUCACCUUAUAUUAGCACAUUUCUUGCUUUAAAAGUUAGUCUUAGCGAAUCACCUUAUAACUAGUGGAACACAAGUUAACGAAAGUUCAAUUAAAGUUAGUGCCCAAUUAAAGUUAGUCUUAGCGAAUUUCAGUCCUUGGUAACUUCUCAAGAAUAACCACUUCUUUAAAACUUCUUCUACGGUCUCCACAUGGUUUUUUUUAGAAUCGGCUUAUAUAUAUAUAUAUAUAUAUAUAUAUAUAUAUAUAUAUGAUCAGCACACACCAGUAGUGCAAAAGUGGGAAGUUGUUACAAAACAAAGACCCUUGCCUACUGUAACACAGCGAAGGGCCAGGGCAGCAAAUAAGGCCAGUUAAAGGAAGGCGCUACAACAAAGCAAAACACCACAAAAACAAUGCUAUACACAAGCCCAUUCAUCUUCUAUUUAGGCACUCUCUAGGAUUCCAAGUCCACUCAUAAAAGAGGAAUGAGGCUAUCUUUAAUCUACUCAACGUCCAAACCCAAGAAACCGCUUUGAUCUCAUCCACUAAAUCCUCAACCUCCUUCGUUUGGUUGUUGAAGAUCCUUGCAUUUCUUUCCUUCCAAAUCAACCAAAGCCCCUUCUUUAGUCUCUUGGAAAUUACUUCUCUAUUCCAACAAUCGAAUUGCAUAAACAAGUUAUGUGGAGUAACAAAAUUAAUCUCAAGCCAAUUCAAUAUGCCACGCCAAAUUAACGAGGAUACAUCACAAUGUAAGAAAAGAUGAGUAGAUGUCUCCACUUGCCUCCCACAUAACACACAAAGAAGGGACGAAUUCGGGGCUAAGAUGUGACGAUUUACGAGAUUGACCUUCGCCGGAAUACGAGUAACGCCCACGAAAACGCCACUACUUUGGACGGAGCCGGACUCAUCCAAAGUAGAGAAAACCCCCUCAUUUAAAUCUCCCACACCUUCCUCCAAAAGCAAGAUAUUUUCCAAAAUGGAAUAAGAUGAUUUCACUGAGAAUAAACAUCCAUCAUCCGGAAGCCACACCCACCUAUCCUUCUCCCCUCUAAACACAACCUCCUCCAAAUGGGACAUCAAAUUAACAAUUAGAUUUAUUUCCCAAAUGAACGGAUGUCGCCUCCACGUUAUAUUCCAAGUGCCCCCCCCCCCCCCCCCCCCCCCCCCCCCCCCCCCCCCCCCCCCCCCCCCCCCCCCCCCCCCCCCCUCUCCUCCUCCUCGAAACACAACCACUCCCCUCCAAAAACUAUCCCUACCCACCUAUCAUUCCAAAAAUUAGUAUUCCUUCCAUCGGCUAAUUUCCUCAACACCCUUUUUGUAAACCAAAAAUCACCACUCCCCUCCUCCAACGAUUAGAUUCCUCCACCAUAGAGAGGUGAAGCGCGGCCACCUAACUACAUCACUAGAUGCCAAACCACUAACAUUGUCACCAUAUUUUUCCACCAAAACCCUCUUCCAAAGAGGUUGCUCCUCUUGAAGUAGUCGCCAUUUCCACUUUGCCAAAAGGCUCAAAUUCACCAACUUCACAUCGCUUACUCCAAGGCCUCCCUUACUUCUAGGUUGACACACCUUCCUCCAUUUUACCCAACAAACUUUCCUACCUCCUCCAACCCCUCCCCAAAGAAACUCUCUUUGGAUCCGGAUAACCUUCUCAAGGACAUUAGCCGGAAUCUUCAAGAAGGAUAAGUAGAAGAUGGGGAUGGCGUUUAAAAUGGAAUUCAAAAGAACAAUUAUACCUCCUAGACUCACAUAUUUAUUUCCCCAUGAAUUGAGUCGUUUCUUCAAUUGAUCCAACAAAGGCUCCCAAGUUGACAACUUCCUUGAAUUGGCUCCUACCGGCAACCCCAAAUAUUUGAAAGGAAUUGCUUCCUCUUGACAAUGUAAGAAUCGGCACGCCGCCUCCAUAAAGUCUCUAUUAACGUUGAUACCAAUUAACGAACAUUUAUGGAAGUUAACUUUCAACCCCGAUGCCAUUUCAAAAUCUCUAAGAACGGCUUUCAACAACGAAAGAUUCUCAACCGUUGGUUCUCCAAUACAUAAAGUGUCAUCGGCAUACUGCAAAUGAGAAACCACCAUUCCGCCCCUUUUCACCUCAAAGCCUCUAAACAAAUUGUGAUUAACCGCAUUUGUCAUCAAACUACUAAAACCUUUGGCUACCAAAAGAAACAAAAACGGGGCUAGCGGAUCACCUUGCUUGAGGCCUCUUUGCACACUUAUCUCCUCGGUUGGGCUCCCAUUUACUAAAAUAGACAUAUUACCUCCGAAAACAAAAGUCUUCAUCCAUCUAAUCCAUUUAUCCUCCAUCCCCACCCUUUUCAUCAUAUAAUCACGAAAACCCCAAUCUACCUAGUCGUAGGCCUUUUCAAAGUUCACCUUAAGGAUCAAGCAUUCAUGUUUCACCCUUUUCGCCAAAUCAACCACUUCAUUAACAAUUAAUACUCCAUCAACCAAAUGUCUCCCCUUCAAAAAAGCCGAUUGAGAAGCCGAGAUAAUAGAAUUCAUCACCUUUGAAAGUCUCUUCGCCAAAACUUUUGAAAGAAGCUUAUACAAGCUUCCCAAAAGAGAGAUGAGACAGUAUUGUUUUAAAGACAACGGGGCAUCCACCUUUGGGAUUAAAGUAACAAAAAAGGAGAGGAAUAUCUUUAGAAAUAAUUUAUCCAGUCACAUUUAUAAAUAACUAUUUAUUUUUCAUGAUGCAUCUAAACUACAUUAUAGUAAAGAUGCAAUAAUCAUUCAAUGAAUCUAAAAAAGAAAUUAUUUAUUUAUAAAUGUAAUCGGAGGGAGUAUUUCUUUUUGAGUUUCUCUGCAUUAAUCUUCAAAAAACACUCUUCCAGACUUUAUGCUUGUAGCAGAAAAUACUUUUCUUCGAAUGUCCAUCUUCGAGGGAAAUUCUUAAAGGCUUUUGACUUAAUUUAGAAAUUAAAUUGAACUAUCACACUUUUCUCGAGUGUGAUCCUUCCAAAAAUACUAGGGGAGUUUUCAGAGGAACCUAUCAAAUGUCUCGAAACAAUCUUUCAAAUUUUGCAUAAACAAAUUAAAUGUGUAUGUUGUAGAUACAUUGAGUUUGUUAAAAUAACAACUAUUAAUUGAUCACUUUAUACUUCACUCAUUUCAGAGGAGCGAAAUCAAAUUCAAAAACAGAAUUUUCACAAUGGCGUGAAAUCUCACACCGUGAUGGAGGGCAUCAAGCUCAAAUUUGAAAAAGAAUUGAGGAUUGCUUUUAAGCACCUAGUGAUUGCUUUCAAACACCCAUCAAACAACAAUUAAUUGGCGUUCAAUACUUUGAAGAUCGGUUAAGACGCUUUCUAAUUCAAUUCAUGCGAUUUAAAAAUGUGUCCAACGGUAGUAUCGUUCGACUUUUUCUAUAUAUCAAAAGAGCAAUUGUAAAAAGAAUUUGUUCUAUACCCAAAAGGUCAAAAAUUAGAAUAUUGGGUUUUGGAAAAGCUGAUUUCAAAGAAGGAAUAAAAUGAGUGACAAGGCAGUUGAAAAGAUUCACAACAAACAUGAAGUUGAAAACAAAAUACAAUGUACUGAGAACAAACAAAGGGCCCCAAGUCUUUGACAAAAGGGAGUUUUUCUAAGUCUGAUGUCGUGCACGGUCCAUGGUGUCACCCACCACUAUAUCCAAGCAACAAAUAAUUAAGCUAAAUUUCAAAAUAAACAUUCAUUGAUAUUAGGAAAUUUUAUUGUAAUUUGUUUAUUCAUUGCUUCCUUCAAUCUACAACUUCAAUUUACAUUUUGUGAUCAUUUAACUUUUUUAAAUUGAUAUUGGAAAAUACAAAAAUAUCUUUUUUUUAAUUGUUAUUUCUUUGUGAUUUUUGAAUUGAUAUUGAUUUUUUUUUUGUUCUGUCUCUGUCUAAAAGCCUCAUGAGGCAUGAGCUAAUUUAAGAUUUGAUUGAAGAAUACUAUUGCACUGCUGUAGUUUCAUAUUAUCGUCAACAAUUGUGACCUAGUCAACCACAAGAAAUAACAUCACUUGAAAUAUUCAAUUACAAUGCUUAGUAACCUUUUCCUCGUACGAGAUAUAGCAUCCAUUCAACUUACAGUUUUGAGUUCUGGAUCGUUUUUCUUUAUCUUUUCUUUUUACCAAAAUUGUCAACGACUAUUUUCUUCGAAACAAAUUCUGAGUUUAAAAACUAAGAACUCAUAAACAUCCAUGAAUUUGAUGAACACUAAUUUGACUUGGACAGAAAAGUGAUAAAAAAAAAAAAAAAAAGUAACAGUUGACACGUUUUAUGACUUAAAAAAAUCAAUUUGGUAACAAAAUAAAAUAAAAUCCAAAUUUAAUAUAAAUAAAUAACAUAAAGACAACUCAUUAUGCCUUGAUUUUAAAAUUCUUUAAAAAAAAAUGCCUUGAUUUUAAAAUUAAAUUUUUUUGUAGUGUUUCAAAGUAACGAAAAGAAAAAAGAAAGGAAAAAAUAGAAACAAAGAGGGGUUAAGUUUCAAGCUUGUCUCUAUGAAGAAGUGACUCUAUACCUAGUGGAGAUGGUCUCAAUAAACGGUAGAAACCGAAUAGGAGUCUUCUUUAGACAUAAAAUUUGCACUUGUAUUUUGCUCACCUAAAAUAUACACCAAAAUAAAAUUUCUUAUUGUUUUAAGGUCUUAUCGAUUUCGAGAAUGAUCGAAGCAUGAAAUGUAAGUUAUGGCUAAUGGAACCAUGAAGAUAUUCAUUCCUUCCAAGCAGUCACUUUCACAAAUCACAUUCGUGUACCCUUAAUUAUGGAAAAUGUCAAUCCUUAUNNNNUAUAUAUAUAUAUAUAUAUAUAUAUAUAUAUAUAUAUAGCACACAACUUAGCCAAGAGAGCAUCCCCACCUAGCUCAUAAUGGAAAAAUCCAACGACGCAUUCACCCUUCUAGUUUUGUAUAAAAGCACUAGUGCAAGGCGCAAAGAGUCUUCUAGGAAACUGCCAUAUACAUUAAGCUUAAAAGUUUCUUUAGGAGGUGAAGUCCAAAUGAGCCAAUAGACGUGAAGAGGAUACAUUGAGGUCAUUAUGUCGUAGUAAGUAAUGUAAUUGUCGUGCAAAAGGAAUGUUUUCCUCGCCACCUCAUGUAUUUGCCAAUGUUGAAUGUUGAUCUUCAAAUAUCAUGUUGUUUCUCCAACAUCACGAUGAAAAGAGUUGAGGCAUCACCACAAGCUCUAUCAUAAAUCUAAACAAUGGCAUCUAUUUGAAGGAAAAAAAUCGAGUAAGGUCCAUUCUCAAACAAAAUCAUAGCUCUUUUGAAUGAGGACAUUCAUGUACAUAGUGAAAGAGGUCCUCCAUAGGUGAUGAACAACAAGUGCAGCUUGGCAAAGCUGUCAUGUUGCAAUAAUGUCGGCAUGCAUUUGUGGGGAGGGCAUUAUGGUAACAAGUCAGAUAAAGUGAUGUAGCUUCGUUGGGACGUUGAGUUUCCAGAUCCAAUUCAUGUCACAAUGAACAUCUCAAUUACUGUGUUUGAAAAGCCACAAAUACCCACUUGAGCAAGAAUACAUGCCACUUUUUUUCUUCCAUUAAGCACCAUUUUCUCCCAAGUAUUGUGCUUAACAAAGUCAUUUUUUCCAUUAAGCACCGUUUUUAUUUCCCCUCCAACGGGGAUACCUAAGGUAAUAUAACUUAUGAAGCCAAGCUCCCCGAUUGAAGAUGACCUAACUAUACUAAGAGAAGAGGGAUAUCACAUUUUAAUCCCACAUAAAGAGAAAAACAAUUGUCUAAUAAAGAAUUUUCAAUUUUUUUUUAGGGAAAAAACUAAAAAAUUGAGACAUUUAAUAUUUAUUAGUACAAAAAAUUAAAUAAAUAACUUUUAAUGAGCAUGCGGGCCAACCCGCCCACCUCGCGAUCGCUCGCUUUUUCAAUGGAUUAAACGGGACAGACCAACUAUAGGGGGUGGCCUCACAACCUCAACCCAGCCCGCCUAAAAUGAUGGGUUAAACGGAUCGGUCCGAAGGAUCGUACCCGUUUUGCCACCCUUAAUUGUAGUUGGCUAGUUCUCAUUUUAUUAUGAUAUAACUUUUUUUAACUAAUAAUUUAAAUAAUAUUAUAAAAAUUAUUUUUUUUUGAAGGAAAUAUUAUAAAAAAUAUAAAAUAGUUAAUUAAAUAGUUUAAAUAAAUGAUAAAAAUGGAAGGAAAAUACCACACAAAAUUAUGUAUCCCCUUUAUAUGAAGGUAUAUAUUUAAAUAAUAUUCUAGAAAGCAUAAAAUAGUUUAAAUCAAGUAUAACAAUAGAAUAAAAAAGUCAUACCAAAAUUAUAUAUCUUCUUUUGUCAAAUAUAUAUAUAUAUAUAUAUAUAUAUAUAUAUAUAUAUAUAUAUAUAUAUAUCUUCUAUACUAUAUAUAAAGGAGAUAUAUAAUUUUGGUAUGACCUUUGUUAAAAAAAAUUCCUGACAAAUGUAUCCUUAACAACUUACUUAAGUGAAGGACAAUACUAUAACACAAAAAUGCACCUAAGUUUUCUCCAAAAAAUAAAAAGGAGGCAUGUAAAGUUUGUUCCAAAUUUGUUUUUUUAUUUCGUCAACUUCACCCUUAAAGUGAAUAAACGAUUGUAUGGGAUUUAAAUCAUGACUCUUACAUAUAUAAUAUAAUGUCUCUACCAAUUGUGUUAUAUUCACGGAACAUUUCAAAUUUAAUUUUACUUUGGCAUUUGUAAAUUUAAUGACAUUUUUGUCUCAACUUUUAAAAUUUGUCAUUUGUAAUCUCCAUAAUUCAAUUUAGUCUUUCCUUUAAAAUCUACAACAAAAACGACAAAAGGAAUAUUUUUUAAAUUUUGGGGGAUAGAAACAGAUCACUUUUUAAGAAAAUGGAUAAAACUAAUUUUCAAGACUCUAGUAGCAUUUCGGAUAACUUUAUUAUUUUCGAAACAAAACAUUAUUUUCGAAUAACUUUAUACAAAAUUUUUAAGUGAUUUCUAAACACAAACAAUGAGAUUGGCUUCUCAAACAAAAUAGAACUUGAAAUGUUAAUUGUUACAUGAAUUGGAUUUGGAAACUCAAAGUCCCAGCAAAACUACAACAUUUUAUUUGAUUUUGUUGCCAUAAAGCCUUCCUCACAAAUGCACGUCAACAUUAUUGCAACAUGGAAACUUUCCCAAGCUUCACCCAUUGCUCAUCACCCAUAGAGGACAUCUCUCGCUGUUUACGCGAAUGUUCUCAUUCAAAAGAGUUUUGGCUUUGUUUGGGAAUAGGCCUUCACUCGACUUCUUUCCUUCAAACAAAUGUCAAAGUUUGGAUUCAUGAUAUGGUUUGUAGUGUUGCCUCAAAUAUUUUAAUUACGUGUUUUAUGGCAAUCAUUUUUUAAGAUCAACAUUGCCAAAUAUACAGAGGAGGUGAGAAAAACAUUAUUUUUUUUCUCUCGGUGAGAUCGGUGAGAAAAACAUUCAUUUUACAUGAAGAUUGCAUUACUUAUUACCCGCAUAAUGGCCUUGAUAUAUCAUCUUCACGGCUAUUGGUUCAUUGGACUCACCUCCUGAGGGUAUGCUUAAGCUUAAUGUAGAUGGUAGUUUCCUAAAGAAUCUUUGUGCCUUGGCGCGGGUGGUGUCAUCCGGAACCAUGAGGGUGAAUGGGUCGCUGGAUCUUCCCAUUAUUAUGAGGUGGGAAACUCUCUUGGCUGAGUUGUGUGCUAUAUUUAUAUGGAUUGACAUUUGUCAUUAUCGAGGUUAGACAAAUGUGAUUUGUGAAAGCGAUGGCUUGAAAGUUGUGAAUAUCUUCGGUGGUUCCAGACUUCCAGUAGCCAUAAUAUAUAUGUUCAUACUUCAACUAUUCUACAUAUCUCCGAGACCUUACCGCGAGAAGUGAAUUUUACUUUGGUGCAUAUUUUAUGUUAGCAAAAUACGAAUGCAUACUUUAUGGUUAAAUAAGACUCUCAUUUAGCUUCUACUAUUACCUCAGACCGUCCCCCAAAGAACAUGGAGUCGCUCCUCUUGAUAGAUAAGCUUGGAACUUAAAUUCCUUUUUUUUUCUCCAAUUUUUUCUUUCUUUUUUCUCUUUGUUACUUUGUAACCCUACCAAAAAACACAAACAAUGAUAAAAAUAAAAUAAUCAAAGCAAAUUAAUUUACUAAUUAUUUAAGAAUCAACUCAAGCAAAUUAACACCGCUUAUCACAAAAAUCACUACUGAGCUACUCAAUGCGAUAUAUCAACAAUAAAGUAAAAAUUAACACUCUCAUGAAAUUCAAAAAUCACAAUUAAGUCUGAAUUUCUGAGUCUUUAAAAAGAUUUUUUCAAUAUUCUGAGAAUAAUUCCUACACCAUGAAAAAGUUGAAAUCUUUGCAAAACUUGUGUUUGAAAAAUAGCGCAGAAAAAUUUCUUGAGAUUAAAAAAUUUCUUUUGCAAUCAAUCAACAAAGUAUUCAAAUUUUCAUAAAUUAAAGAGAGAUAGGGAAAAGAAAAAUGGACAUAGAGAUUUAUACCAAUUUUGUAACCAAAAGAGAUUUAUACCAAUUCAACUAAUGUCAUCCUUGCGGUGUAGCCUACUCCCAUCCCCUCACUAGGCCGAAUUUGCAUAACUUAAAAUAUAAGCGCGCUAAUAGUAUAUUGGAUAUAUAUAUAUAUAUAUAUAUAUUGGAUCUCCAAACUUUGGAGGCCUAACUCUAUAGAAAAAAAUUGUUUGAAAUAUUGGCCCAACCCAUAUGUAAUCGUCUAACCCGCUUGCGUUAUCCAUAGAACCAAAUGCAAAAUCGAACGACUUUGAACCCUCCUAUAUUCAUUCACGAAUUUGACUGGUGCUUGUUUUAAAACUCGAAUUGACCAACCCCGGCAAAUUUCCAAUUCUCUAAAGCCCGUUCAUUUUAAAUAAGACAAUUUUUUUAGCAUGCCGGAGUAUCAAAUCUAAAUCAUCAAAAUUCAUGAGUAAAUUUUCAACUAAUUGAUUCUAGACUAACCCACAUUAAAUAAGGCUUGUUUUGAGAGGUUAAAUAAAGUCAACUCACAAUUAAAUUGUGUGAGCUUUAAUCACUAGAUUAUUUGACAAAAAAAAAAAAUAAGGCCAACUAAACAAGGACUGUAUUAUUAAAUUUAUGGUACGUGUCUUAGUCAUAUAUUGUACUAUUAAUUUUGAUUUGGAUUUGAUAAGAAUAAGAUGGCCUUACUUUGAUACCAUCAACAUAUCUAAGGCUAAAUCUGUGUGCCCCCAAAUAAGUAAGGAGACAUCCCCAAAGUAUACAGUAUACAUACAGUGUAUCCACGCAUUUGGACUUGGUGGAACGACGUAGCACCCAAAAAAAUAUCCUAAUUCUAGAGAGAGACAGAGAAAAUUAAUAGGGAUGGGAAACAGGUCGGGGUUCUGACACGAGAAGAUCGAACAUUGAACGAGAAUUCAUAGGACUUUUUUAUCCAUCUAUCUAACUAUGAAUAAUUUUUUAAUUUUAAAAAUUAUUCAUUCAAAAAAAGUUAAAUAUUAUAAAUUUCAAUACAUUCAAUCAAACAAAAUCGACUUGUGAGGUGAUGAUUGCCCCAUCAUUAGAUUUAUCCAUCUAACAUCCGUCACAACCAAUAGCAGAAACCUGAUAGCAGGUGCUACAAUGAAUCUUGAAGAGGCUCUUAUACCAUCUUAGAAACCUGAUAGCAGAAACCUGAUAGCAGGUGGUACAAUGGAUCUUGAAGAGACUCUGAUACCAUCUUAGAAAUCGUGGUUGGAUCUAACAAAAUUCCAUAAAACUAGCUUGUGAGAUGAAGAUUGCCCCCGCUUAUAAACACAUGUCAAACCAUCUAUUAUCCGAUGUGAGACUCUUAACAACUUCAAUCUUAAAUAUGAGCAAUUUUUACCUUUUAAAUUCAAUACUAGAUGAUAUGUGUGGUCUAUAUCAUUUAUUCAAUAAACUUAAAAAAUAAAAAAUUUAUUUAUAAUUGCGACCGAAUGAAAUAUUUAUUUAUUUAUUUUUUGAGAGGGGUGGAAGUAUUUGUUCAAAAAAUCAAAUACUUCAGCAUAUAAUAGUCAGCAUAUAAUAAACUGAAUACAUAAAUUUUCAUACAAACUUAUCAUUUAAUCUUUUUAAAGAUCGUUUCGAAGGACUACUAUUGUUUUAGAGCUAUAUUAUUGAGUUUCUUUUGAAGAUAAGUUAUGCUAAUAAGCAUUUUAAGAAUAUUGUUUAAAGAAUCAUUAAAAAUAAAUUUUGUAUUAAAAAUACAAGUCGAAUGCUUGUCAAAAUCAUAACAACAUAAAUUUUUAUGUAAAAAUUACAUUUUUAUACUUUAAACAAUGCCUUAAAAUCAUGUUUUAACAUUUAAUUUUAGUCUUUUCUGGUAUUUCUCCGUCUUAUUUAAAUGCAUACCGUUCAUUUUUUUUACAGCAAGAAAUGUAACUAAGAAAAAUUUGAGUUAGAUAUUGUAAAUUGUCAUUUUAACAAGUGUUUUUAUCCUCCCCUUUCUUCGUCUCUCUCUUCUCUUCUCAAACCCCAGCUGUCACCCCUUUCUUCUUCUUUUCAAAGGGGUGAUUUAGGGUCAAUUUUGACCCAAAAAUCACCCCUCCGAAUUGUUUUUCCUUCUAUCCUUAUUGAAUAAGUGAUUUCACAUAUUUUCUGUUUUCUUUUGUUUGUUUUUGUGAUUUCGUCGUCUCUGAACGACUAUGUUUCUUUUGAUUUUCCGUCUUAGUGCGGUGUUUAUUUGAUUCAGGCUGAAAGAUUAGCUUUGAGCAAGUGCAAAUUCGAUCAAUAACAAUGACUUUAGCGUCGUCAACGUUGCAGAUCCGGAGACAUGAGUAUUCCGGAGACAUAAAUAUAGUCAUAUUAGUCAUAUUUGUAGGCAUAAGUAGUUUGCCGUUAUAUGUUAUUAACAUGAAUGUUGUGAGUUUGUUAAAAAAUUCAUCAUUUUUGUUUUUAGCGAAUUUGAAUUUGUAUUGUAUCGAUGUACUCUAUCAAUUUGAAUUAAUGAAUAUAGUUUAUUUUUGUCAAAUUUUACAAAAUGUUAACAAGUCUUAUGGUUAAGAAAAUCAAAAUUAGUAGGUUUGUAUUGAAAACAAAUUUAUAAAGUUUUCAUAAAUUAAAUUGAUCAUUUUUAACACAAUAUUUCUAUUUUUAUCUUCUUAACAAACAUUUUACAGACACUUUUUAACACUUUUCUAUAGCAAAUGAGACGAAGAGAAUACUAUAAAAUCAAUUUAUUAGUUAUUAUUGAUUCAUCAAAUCUAGGAAGAUGCUAACAAAUGCUCUUAGACAUUAUUUAAACAUUUAAAAGUAGCAAUUUUUACAUUAAAAAUUAUGUAGUUAUGAUUUUUACAUGUGUUUAACUUAUAUUUUCAAAGAUAAUAUUUUUUUGUGUGAGUUCUUUAAACAAAUCUCCUUAAAACCUUUGUUAGCAUGACAAUCUAAUUUAUUAUAGUAUAACUCAAUUUUUUGAGAUAUUUUCAUCUAUGCAUGAGGCAUGCUUGAUAUCAUAAUUACACUGACCACAACAAAUCCAUAUGAAAUACAUACAUCCAUAAAGAUAAUUUUUCUUUUAACGUAAACCUUUUAACUCUCUAAAAGAAAUCUUUGAUUCUCAAGAGAAUAGGUUGGUAAUCUACGAGUGUGCUUGAUUUGCUAAAAAGUGAAGGAUAUGAUAAGAUAAUUUCAGUUGUAUGUUUGAUUUAUAAAGCUGUUUUUGGCCGGAGACAAGAGAUAUGACAAAAACUGAAAUUCUCAUCCGUCGUUAAAUCUACACAACUUUUUUCCCACGUACGAGUUGUUAAAAAAUAUCAAAAUAGCUUUUAUAAAAAAAAAAUAUGUUUAAGACCAAAAAUUAUUCAUUACCAUAAAAGUUUGUCUUGUGUUGUUCUGCCUUGUAUUAUAUUGUUUUAUCUUGUAUUGUUUUGUCCAGUGUUUAAUGUAUUUUUUUGGUCAAAUAGCAUAGUCAUUGGAGAUCACUCAUUUUAAAUGUGCAGAAGUGGGGUGUGUUGGAACAAAAUGUGUUUAACAUUACCCUUUGAGAGUUUUGAUGAUAACAAGGUAUUAGAAAUUGUCCAUUGGAUAUGCUAAUAUUUGUUCAAGUAUACAGGACCAUAGACAAAAAUUUGACAUCUUAAAAAGGUUCUGGAAGAACAAUAGAAAGCAAAUGAAUCAACAAAAAGGAAGCUUAAAGCGUCUGAAGAAAACUGCUCCUGAAGGCAAAGUGCCCCUGAAGUGGUAACGUCAUUAGAAGCAAGUUCAUUAGAAGCUGAAAAUCACUAGAAGUUGUAGUUCAUCAUGAGAUGCAAGACUUAAAGCUUCAAAGGUUGUUCAUGGAUUUAAUCUCGUCUAAGCAUUGCAGAAGACUGGAAAAGUGAAGCAACGACUAGUUUGAAAGGAUUUGAAGGCAUUGGAUGCUUGUUCUUAAAAGAGCGUUGACAAAGUACAAUUGUACGAAGUGUACAACCACUAUCUCCACUACUAUGUUUUUGUCUCCGCUAAAAGACAAGAAAAACAGCUCUGCUUGCAAAGAUGUUCCUUCACAAUGGGAAUGCAUUUGAAAUUGAUCCUUCAUAGGACAAUAACCAUAUCAGGCAAAAGAUCAUUGAUGAUUGAUCAAAGCUUCAAACGGCUCUAUUUUGAAUGCGCUGACAAUUCACAACGUCUCUUUUACACCUCUAUAUAAAGGAGUGAAGACUUAGAGUUUUAUACAGAACAAUACCAAGAAUUACAAGUGCCAAAACUCUGCUGAAAUUGUUCUGCAUUCAAAAGUUCACUUAGAAUUUCUUAUCAAAGUUCAUAUCUUAGAAAUUCUAGAGUCUUAAGAGUCUGUAUCUGAUUUGUAUUGCGAACACCAUUGAUUGUAUAUCAAGUGUUCAACCUCAAACAUUUUUCUUGUAAUUCUGUUAGAAUUAAGAAGUCUCUUGCAGUUGUGCUCGAGCAUUAGAAGUCUUUUGAUUGUGUUCAGGAGCAUAGGAAGUCUCUUGCAGUUGUGCUUGAGCAAUUUGAAGUCUCUUGAUAGUUUUAGCAGUGAGCAAUUGUAAUCAGAUAUUACAUAGUGAACUCUCCUUGGAAGUGCAAGGGAGACAGGAUUGACUUCCAGUUUGUGGAAGGAACCUGUAUAAUUGCUUUGUGUCUUUCUUCUCUUUCUCUCUCUCUGUUUUAUCCGCUGCAUCUAAUUACGAACAUCACUUCAGAAGUGGAACUUUAUCUGCUUCUGAUCAGUGUUUACAACUUAGGAGAAAAAGAAAAAAAAUCUAACACAAUUCAACCCCCCUUCUUGUGUUUUUCUCACCUUCAGGGUGUUCGAGGUUCCAACCCUAACCUCUGCAUAUAUUAUGCACUUGUCCAUACCAACUGAUCUAAGCUCACGAGAACGGGUAUUUACCGUUUAACAUAUAAAAAAAUACCCCAUAAUUCAAGCUAGAGUAACUAAAAUCGAUGUAAGAUUCAAACUCAAAUUCUUCUGAACAUCUCCCAUGAUAUUUUUAACAUAAAAUGUGAGAGACUUGAGUAGUACUUGGGUGACAUUAAUGAAAUUGACCAAUGACAAUAUCGCCAGUGGUUUUCUUCUCUCUCUUUCACAAGGUGUUUUUGUUUUUUGUCCACUUGUGAUAUUGUGAUUGGUCAAUGUCACAAAUAUCACGAAUCACAAUAUCACCUAAGUAUUAUUUGAGAGACUUAACAUUAUUAAUUAGGAAAACGUUAACUAGUGUCCCUCGGGCAUUGAUUAAAUAUUUUAAAUAGUAACUUUUUAUAAAAAUUUGUGUAAUAAAAUGUAUUAGGAAUUGAACACUUUAACAUUUUUAAAGAUUAAUUACUUAAUUUAAAACAUUUAAAGAGUGUCACGGGACACUCUUUAAAUAUGAAUUAAAAAACCUUAUUAAUUAUUAAUGAAUUGAUAAAACGCAUAUACCCAAAGAAGAGAGAGAGAGAGAGGGGAAACUGAAAAGGAAAGAGAGAUGAAUAAAAUAUGGAAGGAAUAUUUAAAACAAAAAACACAAGGGCGUCCAAGUUCUCUUCAUGUAAGAAAGUGGGUCCCACUUUCUGUCCUUCUUCUCUUCUAAAUACAACUCACCUUCUUUCUCUCUCAAAACUAAAACAACGGCGCUUUCUCUCUCUUCUUUUCUUCUUAUACGUGGUUUUAUUUUAUUUUUUUCCUUUGCCAUAUCAAAAAAACACAACACAAACUCUAAUUUCUCCAAACCUUAACAUUCUCAAAACCACAACACUUUCAUUUUCUCUUCACCUUGUUCUUUCUUAACAACUUUUUUUUAUUUUACUUUUUCUCAUUUUCUGCUAUGAAAUUCUAGCUUAUGAAGCCAUUUUCAAUAAAGGGUCGCACCCGGUUUCGUGCCGCAGAAUCUCUAGCACAGUAGAAAUUAUUUUUUUAAUUAUUUUGUUUUGAAUUAGUGUCUCUUUUCCAAUGACAAGAAGGUGGGUGCACUUUGUUCAAAUUUAUUCAUCAUAAAGUAAUGAACUUUGUUACUGGGCUAUUUUGAUUUGAUGCUAAAGAAAGUGCUGAAGAUUUGUUCAAUGUAUUGUUGAUAAUGCAUUCCUGACAAAGCUUUGUUAAGAUCUGAUCAAGGUGGAAUAUCUUGUUGCUUUAUUUUUUUCAGGUACUAUUUCUUUUUUGGUCUGCAUUACUUGAUUUAUUGUUUAUUGUUUAAUUUUUUUUAGGUGGGGGAUUAAGGGAGUAUUAAACUUAGAAAUUGUUGGACUUUGGUUUUUUUAAUAUUAUUUUUUGGAUUUGGCUUUCAUCAGGUUUAGUAUAUCUUGGAUUUUCAUGUUUUUUUAUUUUUUAUUCUAUGGUAUAUGUGUUGAUGGUGGUUAUAUCCUCUGUAUCGGUUGGUACUGUCUUAUUCAUUGAUUUAUUCCAGUCUAUACCUUAGGUCUAUGUUGACUGAAACUAGGUUAAACUUAAAUUAUAAGAUUGGAAUAGUUUAGGUCAUUUAAUUUGUGAAAAAAUAUGGUUAAGUUUUGUUUAGGAUUUCAUAUUAUUUUUUGUUUGAUUUGGAUCUUACUGAGUUUUGAAUUUUGUUUUUGAACUGUUGACAGGGCCAGACUGGUUGAAAUUGAUUAAGACUUUUCUUGUUUUGUAACUUAAGUUAUCUUGGGGAAUGACUAUGGUCCAAUAAUUUAAGAUGGAUUGAAGAAUCAACAGCAUAUUGGAUCAAUGGUAAAAGCAAUAGUAUCUGUGCUGUUGAUUGCCUCUAUCCUCUUGUGUGUAUCUGCAACAACAGAUAAUGAAUUUCCUAGAUGUAAUUGUGAUGAUGAGACCAGUUUCUGGACUAUUGAGAGUAUUUUGGAGUGUCAAAGAGUUGGUGAUUUCUUGAUUGCUGUGGCCUACUUCUCAAUCCCUCUUGAGCUGCUUUAUUUUGUCAGUUGCUCGAACGUCCCUUUCAAAUGGGUCCUUGUUCAGUUCAUUGCUUUUAUAGUACUAUGUGGAUUGACACAUUUUUUGAAUGGUUGGACUUAUGGUCCUCACACUUUUCAGCUUAUGGUGGCACUUACCAUCUUUAAGAUUCUCACCGCCUUGGUGUCUUGUGCAACUGCGAUAACACUUGUCACUUUGAUUCCUUUGCUUCUCAAAGUGAAGGUCAGGGAAUUCAUGCUCAAGAAAAAGACAUGGGAUCUUGGACGGGAGGUUGGUCUUAUUAUGAAGCAAAAGGAGGCUGCAAUGCAUGUAAGAAUGCUUACUCAAGAGAUUCGGAAAUCCCUCGAUAGACAUACUAUUCUGUAUACUACUUUGGUGGAGCUUUCGAAAACAUUAGGUUUGCAAAAUUGUGCUGUGUGGAUGCCAAAUGAAGAAAAGACAGUGAUGAAUCUCACUCAUGAAUUGAACGCAAGGAACUUGGAUAUUUCUAUACCGAUUACUGAUCCAGAUGUUGUAAAAAUUAAGGGAAGCAAUGGAGUGAAUAUACUUAGCUCUGAAUCAGCGCUUGCUGUUUCCAGUGUUGGUGUUUCUGGUGACGCAGGUCCGGUUGCUGCAAUUCGAAUGCCAAUGUUACGUGUUUGUAAUUUUAAAGGAGGAACACCUGAGCUAACUCAGGCUUGUUAUGCAAUAUUGGUCUUGAUUCUUCCGGCCGAAGAACCUAGAUCUUGGAGCAAUCAGGAGCUGGAGAUAAUUAAGGUGGUUGCUGAUCAGGUCGCCGUGGCUCUAUCACAUGCUGCAAUUCUUGAAGAGUCUCAACUCAUGAGAGAGAAGUUGGAAGAACGCAAUCGAGCUUUGCAACUGGCGAGAAGGAAUGCUAUGAUGGCAAGCCAGGCAAGAAACUCAUUUCAGAAAGUCAUGAGUGAUGGUAUGAGGAGGCCUAUGCACUCGAUUUUGGGAUUGCUUUCAAUGAUACAAGACGAUAAUUUAAAGAAUGAACAGAAGCUUAUUGUGGAUGCAAUGUUAAAGACGAGCAAUGUCCUAUCAAACUUGAUAAAUGAUGCCAUGGACAGCUCUGCAAAGGAUGAUGGAAGAUUUCCUUUGGAGAUAAGGUCUUUUGGGUUACAUUCCAUGAUAAAAGAAGCAGCGUGCCUUGCCAAAUGCAUGUGUGUUUAUAAGGGCUUGGGUUUUAUGGUUGAGGUUGAUAAGUCUUUACCAAACCAUGUUAUGGGUGAUGAGAGGAGGGUUUUUCAGGUGAUUUUGCAUAUGGUUGGGAAUCUACUGGAUUGUAACCAUGGGGAAGGGGGGAUCCUAGUAUUUCGGGUUUCGGCAGAUGCUGGAAGUCAAGGGAGGAAUGAAAAAGGAUGGGCAACCUGGAGACCAAGCUCAUCUAGCGGUGAUGUAAAUAUUAGAUUUGAGAUAGGGAUCAACGGUAGUGAUUCUGAAGUUGGGAGCUCAGUGUCCUCAGGUCCUGGGGGUCGGACAUAUACCAGCGAUAGAUAUGAGGGCAGAUUGAGCUUUAGUAUUUGCAAGAGGAUAGUCCAGGUGAGUUACAUUGUUUGUUAUAUGUGUUCAUAGAUAAUAACUGCAUCAUAUCAUUGAUUUCAUUUGAUUCUUGAGUCAUGUCCUAUAUACAUCUUGCAAAACUGAAUUUAGAUAGACAUCUGUCAAAACCUUUUCAUUGUUUGUGACAUAAAUAGCUGAAUUUGGUUCUUUUGAUCAGAACUUGCAUUAUUUUUACUUGUGUGUUUUCCUUGAAUACUGUGGAUUAUGUUUCAAAAGCCGUAUUAAGCUUCAAUUGACGAGAUGUGUUUUACUGACUUGUGAUGUUAGUUAGAAUCCUAUUUUCCCAUCAUAUGAGCAAAUCUGGAAUUGGAAUGUUAUAGGUGUUGUAUCUCUAGGAUCUUAGAAGUAAUGUGCGUUAGGUAUAUUUGUUAGUGUAUUAAAUAUUUUAGCUGUAGUUUUUAAUUUUGCUUAGGAGCCAAGCUAUGUGUUGUACUGUUAUUUUGCAAUCCUUGUAUUCUGUGAGUUAAUUUCUUUCUUACCUUGAUUUGAUUACUUAAUUUCUGUUUACUAUAUUAAUUGCAGUUGAUGCAAGGAAACUUAUGGUUGGUACCAUAUACUCACGGUAUUCCUCAAAGCAUGACACUUCUUCUUCGGUUUCAAUUACGGCCUUCCAUUGCAAUAGCCAUCUCUGAACCCGGAGAAUCUUCAGAACGCAACUACUCAAAUUCAUUGUUGAGAGGUCUGCAAGUUCUGUUGGUUGACAACGACGAUGUAAAUAGAGCAGUGACACAAAAACUGCUUCAGAAACUAGGUUGUUCCGUGACUUCCGCUUCUACAGGAUUCGAAUGCCUUACUGUCAUUGGACCUGUCGGAUCUUCCAUUCAAGUCAUUCUUUUGGAUCUCCAAAUGCCUGAUAUAGAUGGAUUCGAAGUCGCCGCAAGGAUUCGGAAGUUUAAAAGCGGAAAUAGGCCUAUAAUUGUUGCCUUGACUGCAAGUGCAGAAGAAGAUUUGUGGGAAAAGUGUAUGCAGAUUGGUGUUAAUGGAGUAAUCCGAAAACCGGUUUUGAUGCAAGGAAUUGCUAGUGAACUCAGAAGAAUUCUGAUGCAGGGAAAUCUUUGAAAAAUGGAUGGUGCAAGUUAAAAAAAUCACUACAGCAUCUAGUAAUUAAUUAAAGUUAUUUGAAGUCACAUUCUUGUUCUUGGUAGAAAUUUAUAGAACACAGUUCUCUUUGGCUCUACCUUGCUACCAAUUUUCCACGUAGAGAUGUCAUACAUAAGAAGAAAAAAUGUUACACAGAUUAGUUUCUUUCUUUCUUUCAACGUGUUCAAGUUAUUGUUGUGUAUGUAGUUUUCAAAUCUAAUAUAAUCAGAAGAAUGGAAAAGAAAAAUUAAAAUUAGAAAAUAUAAUUAAUUUUAUCUUGUUUGAUAUUUUGUACAUUUAUUAAUGAGAAUAAUAGUAUAAAUAUUGCAUCUAUCACCAUCCUUCCUAUUUCUUGGUUUUCAAGUCUUGAAAAAGAAUAUUGAAUUUUGAAUGAAACCAAAUAGUUUUCAGAUGAUCUAUGAUGAUUUUAUCGUUUCUUACUUUGACAAUGUUAUAUAUGCGAUAUGAGUCAUUAUUGUUUCCUUAAAUAAAGUUUAUUGGUCUAUCAAAAAUAUACAUAAUUAAAUCAAGUUCAUUGAACAUAAAAAAGUUUAGUAUUAAAGUUUGGUUCACAAAAGGUGACAGAAUAAUGAAAGUUUAUUUCAACGUUUGGCACGCACCGAGAGAGAGAGAGAGAGAACGUUUAACAACUUACUACUAUAACAAGAUAUUAAUUUGUUUUCUUUUAUAGAUAAUCAAAAUUAGUAAGCAAAAGAAAAAAGGUGAAUAUUUGGAAGACGUAUGAAUAUAGAAUUUGUAGGUACAUUUGCAAAGAGGAAAAGUUUUUAGUGGUUUAAGAAAUUUGAAUUGUUAAGUUCAAUUCAUGUUAUGGGCCAAUUAACGUUGAAGUUGAAACCAUGCAUGAACCUGGGCACGUACCUGAACACUUGUCUUUGUCACGUGGACCCAUUGUUUUAUUUUAAUUUCCCCAUAUCCCAACACCAUUCCAAUUGCCCAACUUGGUUUCUUUUUUAUUAUUUUCAUUAUUAUAUCAUUUCUUUUGCCUGUCUAUUUGGAUGAUUUUUUAACUUUGGCUUCUAUUUUGGUUCAUGAGAGUAUUAUAUUAAGGAAGAAAAACCAUUGUCACACUUUAAUAAACGUAAUUUAUGAUGAUGUCACGGUCGGUUUAAAGGUAAGACCAUUAAAGCCUUCGAUUUAGACCUAUCAAUAAUUUUCUUUUUAAAAUUUAUAAAAAAUGUUUUAUAUAUCAAAAUUUACAUUAAAUUUCAUUUAGUUUUUAAGAUUACUUGGCCGGUUAUGAUGCUUCAUCAAAUAUACUAUUUAUUAUAAAAAAAAAAUACCAAAAUUGUAAAUCAUGAUUUUUUUUUUAACUUGUAAAUUUUCUGUAAAAAAUCCUUCAUGUGUUUUUUACAAAUAACUUUCCUACUAACAAAAAUGAAUUAGUGUUUUCCAUCAGAGAUAUAUAAAAAAGAGUUAGGUUAUGUGCAAACUUGACCUUUCUUAACAUUUCAACUCACACCAAGACAUGAAUAGACAAAUGGUGAUCUCCCUAAUAGAUUUUGGGUCAAUUCUGUGGAGGAGACCAAGCCAUGUCUCCAAGCUUGUGUUGUGUCUUGAGGAGAACAUGGGAAUCAUCACACUAAGCUUAUAACAAUCACAUGAGUAAAUUUAGCCAUACCUUUUUUAAAUAAAAGUGAAAUUGAAUAUUACAUAUUCACCCAAAAUCCUAAUGCAUUAUGCAUGAGUCAUGAUUUAUAUCACUUAUUUAGUGUUAAACAUCCACUUUUUUUAUAUAAUAAUAUAUGUGAUUUUUACUCACACUUGACAUGCUAACGGUUUGAGGCUUUGAAUUGGCUUUCAAUAGCGAAAUUUUCAAUAAUUGAGUUCUUAUUUUCUUUUUAAUGUUAUUCCUUUCUUUCAUUUUUAAUAUUCGUUUCAAUAGAAUAAUUGUGUAUAUAUUUAGUUUGUGUUUUUCAAAGUUCAAUGUAAUAUUAAUAUAGAGGUUAAUUAUUGAAGAGAGAAAAACAUGUAUAAUAAGUCAAUAAAUAGUUCUCCGUGAUCACAACUCAGUUAGUGAGAACAUUAUAAUAUGUAGGGGUUGAUGUUUAAUUUGAACCAAGAUUUCUCAAUUAUUCAUCUUAACGGGUAAAAUUUUGGUCACUAAACUACUUGAAAUUUUGGUCACUAAGCUACUUGACAUUUUUUUUACUAUUACAAAAAAAGAUUAAUUAUUCGGUCAGAAGUAUCAAAAUUUAUUUGUUUUUUUUUUUUUUAAUGUUGAUGAUGCCUGGUCUUGGAUCCCUGAUCCUUCACUUGGUUACACUGUUAAAGGGGCUUAUUGCGCGCUUACAAGUGGGAUGGUUCUAGUUCAUAAUACUCCAGUGGUACCUGCGGCUCUUAUUUGGAGGAAAAAUGUUCCUUCAAAGGCAUCUAUUUUCGGUUGGCGCCAUUUUCAGAAUAGAUUGCCUAUGAAGGCUAAUUUAUUUCUUCGUGGAAUAAUUCAGUUUGAUGAUCAGCUGUGUAUUACAGGUUGUGCGGAGAUUGAGACGGAUGCUCAUCUUUUCUUGUCUUGUAUUUUCGGGCAGGUUUGACAACUUGUUCGGCGAUGGUUGGGUGUUCAUUCAGCAGACCCCUUAACCAUUGUUAACCAUUUUAUCCAAUUUGGUACUCUUCAGGUCUUGCAAAAUCGCGGUGUUCUUUUAUGUAUCUCAUAUGGUUUGCAAGUUCAUGAGUAAUUUGGAAGGAAAAGAAUGCUAGAACUUUCCGAUCAAAAGAGAGCACACUUUACCAGCUCUUGAAAAAUAUCAAGCUUCUUUCCUUUUGGUGGUAUAAAGCGCAAUUUGUUGUUUAUCAUUUUAAAUUCCAUGAUUGGUAUCAGCACCCUUUGUUAUGUUUGAGUGUUGGCUAAUGCUUUCUUACUGUUUGAGACACUGAUGUAAUUAUUUACUAUCUCCUUUGACACACGUUGUGACGGAAGGGUAGCAUCUUGGUUUAAUAUAUCUCAUUUUGAUUUGUAAAAGAAAAAAAUUAUUGGUUUUUUCACAAUAGCAACUAAAAAUAAUACAUAGUAAAAUAUACUUUCUCCUUCCCAUAUUAAGUUUUAUUUACGAUUGUCUACACACGAAAGUGUGAUUACUUUUGUUUAAUCGAUUAACGGAAGAAAAAUUAGGACACUUAAGCAUAUACAAUUUAAUCUAUUAAACUCAUUAAAUAUCAAGAGACUUUUAACUAUGCUAUGAAAAUGUCUAAGCAUUUAAACAUCUAUCAAUUAUUUACUUUACAUUCAACUUACUUUAAGCUAAAAUAAUUUUAUAAAAUUCUAUUUUUGUUACCGCACAAUUAGGUAGUGUCCAAUACCGUGUUUCCCUCAUAUAUCAUUUUAUUAGGUCACUUUGCAGCCGGACCUUUUUAUUAAGAAAGAGAUGAUUUGUCUGGGGUGAUUUUAGUUAGUAGGUCAUUUAAUUAAGAAAGUUGAUAUAAUAUGUUAUGGUGAAGACUUUAUCUUUAUAUACAAAAAUCCAACUUGCCCAAAACUAUAUUAGUAGUAUAUAGAUAUAAUGGUGACUGUUGUGCGAGGGGCUCUGUAUCCCCAUUUUUUUUAUAAUUAUAUAUUUUGAAUGUCCUUCUUUUACUAACAUAUUGAGAAAAAAAUUCCUCUAUGUUUUGUUCUUGAAGUUGAGCUACGCGGUAUAUUUAUUUCAUAGGCUUAAACCUCUAAUCAAUUGUUGAAUAUGAGAAGUAAGUACUAAUUUUAUUCAUAUACAAAAGAGUAUUUUAGAUGCAAUUAUGCAUAAACAAUCCUUUAAAUACACUACAUGUUUGUCUUAAUAUAUGUAAAAACCGUAAAUGAUAUGAUUAUAGGAAAAAAAAAUUGGAACCGGAAGGAUCCCCAUGAUAUAAAUCCUUCAUUUGGACUGAUAGUUCAUGAUAGUAUUUUAAAUAAUUAUCGUCGUAGUAUGUGUUAGAAAAUCACUGCAAAACUUACUAAAGAGAAGAUUAAGACGAAAAUGGUGGUUUCACAUGAACUCUGAAAUGUGUGUGGACGACAAACUAAACUUUAGACUCUGUUCACCCCAAUCAAUUUAUGCAAACCGGAUGUAAAUUGAAAAUUUUGCAAAUCUCUUUUACGAUAUAUUGGAAUCCUUAGCAUGAAUUACACAAUUAUAUCAAAUGUAUUGAUCAAUGAUAGUUUAUAAAAAAGUUCACCAAUUUACUAUGCACUAGAGAAAAUAAAAAAUGACUUAGAAAUAAUUUUGAUAGAAUUUUGCCACAUGAAAAUCAUAAAUUCUUUCUCUAUUACUGCUUGUAGACUCAAUUUAUAGAGAAACUCAUGCCACUCAGCAAAGGGAAAAACAUACGGAAAUAGUUUCUAGAUCCGAACACUACAUAUAUAAAUAAGCACUUUGUAACCCUUUGUUGAAAGGUUGCUUGUUCGAAACCAACCGGUGUCGAUUAAUGUUUUGAAAUAUAAUGCAUUUUGCAAAUAAAAAUUUAAACAUAAUUUGUGGCUGAACAAAAUCGACCCCAUGACCGAACAACUAUCAAACCACUAGACCAAACAAGUCCUUUCAACAUCACAAGGUUCUUCACAUAUUUUGAAAAUUCUUCACAUUAUGUGGGGUUUGGGCCCCUAUAGGAUGGAGAAUGAAACUACUCUUCAUGUACUUAGAGAUUCUUUAUGCAACUUAUGUAUUAAUAAAAUUUACACCUUUUGAUCGGACAACUAACUUCUCUGCUUUUGACUGCAAAAACAAUGUUUUAUUUACCUUAACAAACAUUUGAAUAAAAAUCCCAACUUCGUGUAAAAGAAAGCUUUUAGGAUUAUCUAUUUUCAAACGGAACCCUCCAUUUUGUUUUAAAAAUAGAGAUGACUCUAACCUGGUGGGGUGCCAGUAAAACAUAUGGGGGUGAGAGUAAACAUAUUGAAAUGUUUAACUUGUCGCUUUUAGCUAAUUAAUGGAGAAGCCAAUGUUAACUUAUAUCGAUUACAUUACUCUAUAUUUAUAUUUGUUAUCUGAGGUCAUUAAUUAGUAUAUUUUAGGAGUUAAUCGGUCUAUGAAAUCUAACAUUUUGAAGUAGGAAUUAUGCUUUUACUUUUAUGAUUAAUCAAACCCUUUAUUGUAGUUUUGUUUUGUUAUUUACUUAGCGAAGCAAGUGGCUGCUUAGUGGGAAGUUGCAUUGCACCAGUGGGACUAUCUGAUGCAUCGCCUAAUAGGAUGUUGUGUUAAACAAGUAUUCACCCAAGUCCCACGAUGGAUGGUGGAAAGAAAAAAGUAGUAGACACUUGAUAUAAAUAUGGAGUUCGUUUGAGUUUUUCUUUACCAUGCAUUAUUUAUUAAAUGAAUCUAAAAAGUGAAUUUUUGUUUAUAAUAGUGAUCGGAGGGAGCACGUACUACGACUUGGGUAGUCGUGUGCAUUAGAAUGGUUGCUCUUAACCCAAUUAUCGAUCCCAUCCAAUAAGAUUUCAUCUCAUGGCCCAACAUGAGGGUCAUAUAUUUUCUGAGGAAGGAGUUUUCAAAAUAUUGAAGCUACGUAUCGUCUCGCAUUGCCUAACGAAGUGACUGAGAUCGCCUGACGAUGGAGGACACUUUUGUCAACCGAUGGUGUUUAAUUUUGCACAAUAUUUAAGUGCAUUAUUGAGAAGGUGUGUCAUAAAUUGAGGAUUUGACCUUGGGACAAGAAAUUGAAGUAUCAAGAAAUUUCAAUUUCUGUAUUUGCAUAUUUUCCACAACGUGUAACUAAAUAUCUUUGAUUAAGAUGAAAUUACAAUGCAUUUUAAAUUCUCGUUUCUAUGAAUGCAAUAAACAUAUUAAUAUUUGUCAUUAAAAACAUUAAAAAUAAAAUCACUCUGAAGAGAUUGCAAAGAGCCGUAAUUUUUUUUUAGGGAAAUAUAUAGAGCCUUAAUUUUUUUGAUUUCUGUUUUUUUCUUUAAAAAGUAAGAAAUAAACAUUAUAUUACUAUAACACUAAUAAUGUUCAUUUUGGAUAUAGUAUAUCAUUGAUGGUGCUCUUUUUGGGAUAUAUUAUAUAUGUAAUUGACUAAUCAUCACUCUCUUAAUCGUCAAUAUUACUUAUAUUUAUGUUGAUAUGCUACGAGCCUAUGAUUGGUUUCUUGUGUUUGUUAAUAUACUUGCUAUUUCUUUCCUUUCAGACAACCCAGUGAUGUGGUAUUUUUGCAUCAAACAAUAGUAAGUAUUUAUAUCGUCUCCUCAGAGACUAGUGCGAUAUCACGGACCGUUCGACACCAAAUAUCAUUCUAAGUUAAAGAUAAUUUGUUGUUUGUUUUAGAAACUAAGUUGCAAGAGUAAUAGGGCGUAAAAACUUGUUAGGAUUAGAGUUCCUUAAUCAAGCGUCACACGUAACCUAAUGACCAUACAUGGAUUCUAGCUUUUCUUUGAUAUUAUCACGUAUCCCUCGACAACACAAUUCGUGUCCAAACAAUAUUGUGAAAUCAAUUGUAUCAUUCAAUCGUUGAUGUCUCAAACUAUUGAAUGAUUCAAGAGUCGGUCUUAUCAUUUAAUCGAUGAUUUCUCAAUCUAUCGAAUGAUAAGAAAACUUUAAGUUUGGAUACAAAAUGUGAUUAUCAAAACAUCAAUUCCAUGUCUAGAACUUAUGUUUUGAUAGAUGAUUAUUCUAAACCUAGAUUCAAAAGUAUUUUCUCAAUCACAAUUAAAUCAAACAUAAGCAUUAAAGUGCAAGAAUAACAUCAAUAUCAAAUCAAAUGCUAGAACCAUAUAUUUCUACAUCAAAAGAUUACAUGUUAAGCUAAGAUCAAGUACCUCUAAUCCCAACAAAGGAGAUUUAGCUACUCAUUGUCAUGGAAGCCUUGCAAGAAUGAAUUGAAAGAGAAGGAUUCAUUACAAACUUGUGAUCUCUCAACAAAAUGAGAAAGAAUCCACUUUCUAUCACUCUCACUCUAUGAAGAACAAGCCCUAUCUCUCUCUAAAAGUAGUACAAGUGAAAAAUUUGAGAAAAACUAAGAUAAAAAACUAUCUCUCGAUUGAAAUGAUUAAGGGCUAUUUAUAGAACUUCUGAUCUGCUUCAACUCGCCUCGCGAGCUCCUUCAUUCGCUAUGGCAAGUGAAGUUCCUUCACGAUUGGGUUUGUGCCACGUCAUCUGUGAGGAGUUUAGGCCGCCCUAACUCGCCUCGCGAGUACAUGCACUCGCCAUGGCGAGUUGCUCGUUCGCCGUUGCGAGUUGAUGGCGAGUACAUAAGCCUUCCUGUCUCUUGCUAACCUUUGCUGCUCGCCACUGCGAGUUGGAGGCGAGCAAAGUGGUGCCCCUGCCUAUUUUGUACUUUUCUUUGUUUUUUCAUCUUUUCUUGGUGUCUUGAGUUAGAAUCCUGCACAAAUGGGUAAAGUAAGAUAGAUAAAGCGUAAAAAGGGCAAUAAUCACUUAUCUCUCGGCUUUUCCCUUAUAACUUGCAAAACAAGUAACAAAAGUGCCUAAAAUAUAUCAUGAAUUUAACACUUCCUAGCACUUAUCACCCAGCAGCCAGAUCACUUGGAGAAAAGAAUGAGUUGACCGCGGUAAUCCUGCCAAAUGUCCAAAUUGAUGUAGAUGUUCUCAGACGGAUUGGGGAGGUGUGAAAAUGAUAACGAUCCACCGAUAAACAAGGUGCCACAAGCUACCGAAGAAGUCGCAAUGAAAAAAUAGAUGACCCAGGGACUCCGGGCAGCCACACCCACCCACACAAAUAGUGUCGUCAUGCGGGAAUAUUCUCCUACGAAGAAGAUUAUCUUUGGUGGGGAGUCGAUUGCGAAGUAAUCUCCAAACGAACAUAGACACCUUUAACGGAACAUGUUUCAACCAGGCAGUAUCGAAAAGGCCUGUCUCUAUAGGUAUGGCCGACAUAUCGUGAGGUACUGAUAAGUCCCCUUAACGGUAUAACCACUAAUUAGGAUCAAUAAUCCAACGCCACCUAUCAAGAGUAGAAUCCUGCAAAAGAACAUUACACAAUAAGGACGAGCAUUCCACAACGGAAUCCUCUUCCCACGCUAAAAAAACGAUAUAUAUUAUUUAAAUUAGUAUAUCUAUAUGGGCUAUAAAAAUAAACAACAUUUCAAUUUAAUAAAAUGAGACUUUGCACUAGGCAGAUAAAGCCAACGAAUCACUUGUAUGAAGUUAUCGUCAAAACUAAGACCAUGAACAAACAGGAUAUAUACAUAUUCCACAGUCCACAGAAAGCUUAUAAAUAGUACUUCCAUUGUGCAACACUGAGGUGACGUAACAAAGGAGAAUUCUCUUUUUUGAAAUAAUUCGACAAAAGAGAAUUAUAUUAUGGUUUGAUGAGAUUCAUAAUUUGUUCAAAGAGCGUUAAGAUUUUUUUAUACAAGAAUUUGAUAGUUAAGACUUAAGUUAAACACUAUGAUACAUAGAUACGGGUGUGAGACUCAAUAAAAAAAGAUAUUGGUACAACACCUAAUACGAGUAAGAAGAAAUACAACAAAUUUUCAAAAACAAAAGGUAUAUGUACUUCAAAGGUUUACUUUUUAGCCAAGACUUCUACUAUUUUCAUCAAAAGACAAAUAUGUUACGCUAUUUAUUCAUGGCCUGCACAUUUGUUGUAUCAACCACUUAAAAAUGGAUACAGAUCAGUACAAGGUACACUAAUACUAUAGUUCAGAUUCUUGUUUUGACGGGAAAAUGACCUCCUCAUUAUUAUAAUUAAUUAACCUAUAUAAGAAAAGACGAUUCAAAAAAUCUUUUAAGGUGUAUUUAAUUAUGAUGUAAAAGACUUUUUUUUUUUUUUUUGCUCUACAUCGGGGCUAAUUUCAUACAUAAAAAAUUUUAGAGGGACCAAAAACCUACAUAAUAUUUUAUGAGGAUUAAAAUCAAAUAUUGAUAUAUUUAGUGGGACUAUUUACUUAUUUGACCCUUUAUUUUAUUAUAUUAGUGAGAGUAUAUUUAAUAUUUCACAAAUUUCUAUGAGUGGAUACAUUUGUAAAAACAUUCAAAAAGUGAAACAAUUAAUGCUUCUAUUGAUUUUGAUGUUUUUUUGGUUUUUCUUCUUAUAAUAAGGAUCAGACAGUAUACAAGAGAUCUGGAACCUCUCCUGCAUUUUUUGCGCAGCUUCCUCUCCUUUUCUGAUCCAAUAGUUGAUUGGUUCAUAAAAGAACAAAAAUCAGCACUAAAGAGAGAGAAAAUAGGUGAAUAAAAAAUGGCUUAAAUUAUAGCAAGACAAACAACAUGAGAGGAAUGGUUGAAGAGGAUCCAAAUCCGUAUACAAGAAAUGUUGUCCCGAUGUUUUUGCAUCUAAUUCAAAGAUCCUAGCAAUAUUAAUUUGUAUAUAUAUUUGGUGCUGAAUGGAAGCUGUUAUAAUUUUAUAUUGGAAAAAUCUCAUAGCAUAUUGACAUUUAAAGUGCAAAUACUUGUACAAGUCAAUAAUGGGCUACCUUUACUCAACAUGAAAGCUUUAAAAACAAACAUUACACAAAUGUUUACAUACAUUCAUAAUGUUAUUAAAUUCAGUAAUGUCUCGACUUCUUUAUUGAAGUAAUCAACCACUUUCUUCACAAAAGUUAUUAUAACUUUAUAGAUUUUUCUAUCAUGUGCAAACUUGCAUAAGUUCCAAAAUUAAAAAUAUAUAGUAAUUUUUAUAAUAAAUAAUUGUUGCAUUCAAUAAAAACUUAUUAUUUUUAGUGGUCUUAACCUAUGCAAUAUUGUAAGGAUAGAAAAACCCUAACUUUAUUUUGUUGAUAAAAUUUAUAAUUUUUAUUUUAUCUAUAUACAAAAGCAUGAAACCUUGCCUAAAAAAACCGAUUAGACUUUAAAGUUAAUAAUAAAUGGGAUGAAUUUCUUCAUAAACUGAAAUAAAUUUCGGAGAUCUAUAGUCUAUUAUAAAACAAAGAAACUCACCUACUUCCCCAGAUUCCUCUGCAAAACGAAUAAUUUAAUUGGUGUCGGAAAUUUCGUUUGGAGAAGACAAUUCCUUUUUGAGGGAAGAACAUCUCUCAAAUUUGUUGGUUUUUUAUUCAACCACUUUACUUGGUUCAAUCAAAGAUUCGUAGUGAUGUCAAAUCAUCGAUGGAGGUAUUGUUUAGGUAAAAUCAACCUAUCUAUUUUAAGCAAAUUUUUUAAGGUAAGUUCUCAGCUAACAUGAAGUUUAGAUCGAUAUCAAUAAGUUGUGGGUAAAAAAUAGAGUACAAUUUGUACUUAAUCUAUUUGUAUUUUGUUUACCUCUUAUUGAAUAAAUUGAUUUCUUCUAAUAUUAAAAAAAUGCUAAUUUUCUUCUUAAAAAACAUAUAUUUAAAGAACAAUUUUCUAAGAUUUGGGCAGCAACUAUCACUAUUCACUGCAGCAAAAUUCCAAAUGCAGAAAAAGUUUGUGUUGAGAAACCCUAACAUGCAGUGGUUUCUUUCUCUAGUUCCCAGAUCAUAAAAAGGUUAAAUGGAUGUGUCAGAAGAAGCUAAUUUUUAACUUCAGUUUAAGCCCUACUCCAACUUGCAAUGUCAAGAGUAUAUAUCUUACAAUAAUGGUUAUUAAUUAUUCCCUCUGUCUCAACAUGUAAGCACCAUUUACGUAUAAUAAAAUGGUGCUUAGAUACAGGGACUCAGGGAGUAUAUCUUACAAAUGGUAAAUGGUGUACUACUACUGGUUAUUGAAAUAUAAAUCCAAUUAAGAACAUGAUUCCCCCCUCAAAACACAAAAUUGCAAAGUCUAAUCAUUAAAACAACAGCAUCGAUAUCAUAUUAAACUACAGAUCUACAGCCAUGAAAUUUCCACAUGAGAUUAAUAAAAUAAAAUUUAAAAAGCAACCAAGAGAUAUAUAAAAUGCAACCAACUCACCAAUAUACAUAUGUAAAGGAGAUAAAACUACUAAAUUAUUCAUUCAUAGAUAUAUAAAAUAAAAAGACGCCCACAAUCAUAUUUUUUAUUCAAAACACAGAAGCAAAAGAGAAUAAAAAAGAAGUUCAUAAUCCAUAUACAACAAUAUUACUAAGAACUAAGAUGCAUGCUUCCUCAGAGUCUUCUUCACAAUACAUAUAUCCUUCAAAAUACAAGACAAAUUCACAGAUCUAAAUUUGAUUUUUAGAUAUAUUUGAUCUCUACCUCCCUAAAUUAUUCGAAAAUUCACACAACUCAACUCAAUAAGGUGGUCUUCCAUGAGCAGCAGCCCAGGCAAGAGCCUCAUGUCCCAUCUGCCCUCCAUUAUUAGGCAACAAAUUUGGUGGCAAAUUAUACAAAGGCAUGGAAGAAGGAUCUGGAAGCCCACCCUGCAACUGAUGACCAAUUCCUGGUGGAGGCGAUCCACCAGUCGACGCUCCUCCACCUUGCACACCGCCUGCAGAAUUAGGCCCUUCAUUAUUAUCAUUAUCAUCGUCAUCAAGUGGAAGUCUCUCAUAAGUAGCAUUAGUAAAAGUAGCGGCAAUAAGCAUAACAGGUCCAACUGCAACAAGAGUUCCAACAACACAACCUCCAACAACCUGGCCCUGACCUCCAGCCAGGUACACUGUAAGACCAGUUGAACCUGGUGGAGCAGGACCAGGUAGAAAUGUCCCGGUUAAGGACAAAAUCUCAAACCUGCCAUGAAGUGCUACAACGGCACCAGGAGCUGAAGGUUGUCUAAGAGUAACAUUAGCUACAGAGCCACUUCCACUGAGAACACAAACACCGCGUUGACGCCUCCUUGCGAAUUGUGCUACACUUUCUGCUAUAUCAGCUCCACCGGCUACCUCCAUGACAUGGCUCUUCAAAGCAUUUGGGCUAUCUCUUGUUACAAAGAUAGGUGGUUUUGGUCUGUUUUUGGAUCCAGGUGGUCUUCCUCUUGGUCUUCGGUUACCAACUUCGACUGCACCUUCUCUAGGUUCAUCUCUGUUGUCAUCGUCUUCUUCUUCAUCAUCGUGAUUUUCGUUGAUCGUUAGGUUUGUGUUGUGGUGUUUGUUUAAAUCACUUGGGGAGUGGGUUCCUGGGUCAACCCCAGAUAACCCUCCUUGAAUUGUCCACCAAGGAUUAGCCAGAACUGCUGUUGUAGUAUUUCUACACUUAAGAAGAAGAAGAUGAUGCUUUUGUUGAUGAUGUUAUGAGAAAACAAUUGAGCUUGAUUAGUUUUGUUUGAUUUCAGAUGUUUGUUUUGAUGUUUGAAAUAUAGGGAUGAAACAAAAAAGUCAAACUCAAUAAGAAAGCUGAAAAAAGAAACAAAAGGGAUAUGUAUGUUUAUGAUGACCUAACAUAUGAUGCUCACUCACUAACUUACUCAAAUGGAUGAUGAUAGGGUAAAGGAAAGUGAUGUGCUUAGAAGAGAGAAUUAGAUGCAAUUAUUGGAUGAGAAUCAAGUAAGGGGUUUGAUUAAAAAAAAAAACACUGUCUAAUUUUUUUUCUUUCAUUUAUUUGUUUUGUUUAUUCUAUUGGUUACAAGAUAGAAGAGAUACCAAACCUUUCAGAGACUCAACUCAAGUAAAAAGAGAGAGAAUUAAGAAAUAAAAAUUUAGAACAUAGACAGUGAGACAAAGAUGUUAUAAUAAUGAAGUAAUUUGAGAAGAACACGAAACUAACUAACUGUUUGAGGAGGACAAAUUAAGGAGAGAAAAAGUGUUUUUGAAUAAAUUGAUUUCAUUACUGUUAGUGUGAGCUGUGUUGUUGUUGACAUGGGGAGAUAAAAUAUUUGUUUUCUUACUUACUUUAUUGAUUUUGUCGUUUAUUGAUAUUCCAUACGUUCUAUGAUAAUCGAGUCAUUUGUUAAAAUAAAGUGUUCCAAAAUAUUUAAUUCAUCUCAUUUUUCAAUACAAUAUUAAUUAUUUUUUUUAUUACUCUCUCUGAUCACAUUUAUAAGGAAAAACAUUUUAGAUAAUAAUUAAUGUAUUCAGUCACAUUUAUAUGAUAGAUACAUUAAUGAUUCAAUGUACCUAAAAAAACUGUUUUUUACUUAUAAAUUUGACCGGAGGAAGUAUUAAUUACUACUAAUUUUAUCACUCUCAAUUUCAUAUAUUUUAGUUUGCAUUUAUACAUUUUUUUCUUAAAUUCGUGAAAUGAACACAAUACUCAAUUAUUAUAAGAAGAAUGGAGUAUUAUUUAAGUCAUUAACUACUUGACCAAACAAAUAAGAUAAACAACAGUCCAAUAAUCCCUUUCUUAGAUGUAUGACAAGUGGCAGGCAUGUAAAAAAUCAAUGGCCGAGAUUAAAAUGUAAAUGAACCUUUCACUGUUCCCUUUCUUCUCCCUCUCACGUUUUCUGCUUCCUUAAGCGCUGCCGUGAAGGUCAAUGACUCCGCCGUGAUCCACCACCACUGUGUCUUUGUUCUUCUUAUUACUCACAAAACAUCUGAAAGAAAACACAAUAGAGACGCUCCAAAAGAGAUCAUGUAGUUCAUGAAAACAUCUCUGCUUGUCAUCUUUCGUCCGACAUGAUGUUUCGACAAGGCUCGUUACCUCCACCACGCUGUGUCGAAAUUGGCAGAAUUAUGGGCCUUUGCGGCGGCGAUGAAGCAGUCGAGGGAAGCAGAAAACGUGGGAUGAAGAAGAAGUAGUAGAAGUAGUCUCUCAAAACAAGUAGAAUAAGUUACUCCAAAUGCAGAAAAAGUUUGUGUUGAGAAACCCUAACAUGCAGUGGAUUCUUUCUCUAGUUCCCAGAUCAUAAAAAGGGUAAAUGGUUGUGUCAGAAGUAGCUACUAGCUAAUGUUUAACCUCAGUUUAAGCACUACUACAACUUACAAUGUCGGGAGUAUAUAUCUUACAAUAAUGGUUACUAUAACAAAGGGUAAAUGGAGUGCUACUAAUUGUUAUGAAUAAUAAAUUUAGCGGAUAUCCAUCCUUAAUCUUCUACUUUUCUAUAACCUUUAUUAAUAAAUGUAUGAUUAUUAAUUUUUAAUUGAUUUGAUCAUUCACAUACUCAAUCAUGUCCUAUAGAUAAGACUCAUAUUUUAGUGUAAUAACACACUUGUAAAGAAAAGAAGACAAAAACUCUUAAAUUCUCUUGAUCUUGUUAUUUAGUUUAUUUCAUUAGCACGAAGUAUGAAACUCUAAUCAACCGAUGUUCGAAAGUUUAUAGCCAAUAGUAGAGUUGUGGAGAUGAAGGUAAGUUAAUGUUCCACUAAGAGGUAAUAUUGAUACUUUCUUGUUCCUAAUAUUGAUUUGUCAUAUUCUUGUUUGUAGUGGCCGAUAAGUCUCGGUUACAGAAUUGAAUUUUUUUUUUAUUUUUUUUAUAUUUUUAUAUAUUAUGAUUAGUGUUUUCUAUUCCGUAUACUAAUUAAUUAAUCAGCCAUUCUUAGGUAAAUUCUAUCCGUCAUUCUUAGGAAAUUCUAUGGUACAUCCACUAUAUUUAAGUGUAUUGGUACACUCACUCUUUAAAUUCAAAGUUAAAUGAGUUGAUUUUUGAAGAAAAAUCUUUUUUUUUUAUCAUUUAUAAUUAUAAUAACUAAAUCUUAUUCAUCAAAAGUGUCAACGAAAUAAUUUUUUAUUUUUUUAAAUUUUUAUCACUCAUAAUUAAGAACAUUCAUUAUUUUUUACGAUAAUAUGUAAAAAAAAGUUACUAUGAUUCUUAUAAACAAUUAAAUGAUGCUUUUUCUUAUGAAAUGUUGCUCUAUAAACUAUAAAUAUUGACAAAUAGCUAUAUAUAACAAAUUAAGAAAGAGAACUUCUACGGUACACUCACAAAUCAAUAUUGACACAUAUUAUUGUAAAUCAGGAGUUUACAAAAUCAUAUUAAGUUUGUUGUUGGCUAGACCGGUAGGGUCAUCUUGAGUAUAUUACAAUGCGAAGAAAAAAUAGUUGAUUUUUUUUUUUUUUUUUAUGGAUAUGUAUUGAAGAGUUAGAAGUUUCUUCAAAUUUAAUAACUUUUUUAAUUCCCAAAAAAAAGUUGAUAAUUUGAGGAAAUGGGUCUCACAUUUGGGGAGAUUUUUGAAUCAAUACACACAUAACAAUCAUGUGGACCAGAUAUAUAUUUUAUAAAUUCAAUUGAUGCAUCAAUUAUGGUCACAUGUAUGUUUAUUGUUGUUAACUCACAACCAGAAGUUUGUGAGAGUAUUUGACUAACAUUUCAUUUUACUCAUUUGAUAAGUAUUGAAUGUAUAUGAAAAUUGAUAUCAAACAUUCAGUAACAUAUAUUCAUUUUUAAGAAUGGACUUAAAGAUCCAUUCAUUAGACGACUAAUGUUAAUUGUACGAUCAAUACUUAUAAGAUAAGAUCUUUCAACUUUGUACUUGAGAAUAUAACAUCUUGCAUUAUGAGACAUUGAUUCACAUCAAGCCAACAAGUUAUCAUAUACAGAUCGUUCCCUGAUACAAAAUUUGAAGUUUGGUUUAUUAGGCUAAUAUUUACUAUAGAAGCAUUUUUUUAAUGUGUUGUGUAUGAUUCAAUUGCUCCAAUACAAUGCGCUUAGAGGAGUUGUAAACGAAUAUUAGAAAAAUAUACUCUCUCCGUUUCAAAAUGAUUGUCGCUUUAGCCAGUUGCACACAUAUUAAGGAAUGGAAUAAAGUAGUCAAAUGUCAUAGCAAUUUUACCGAAUUAUCCUAAUCAACUAUUGGUUUGUUUUUCAUUAAAGAAAAAAUAAUACUUUGAAAGUAGUGUAACAUAGUAUUAUUUGAAGGGUACAAUUGAAAAGAAAAAGUUAUUAUUGCAUUGGAAACUGAAAGUGACAUUCAUUUUGAAACAAUUUUUUUAGGCUAAAACGACACUCAUUUUGAAACGGAGGGAGUAUUUGAUAUGAAUCUUCAUAUAUUAUAAAGUAUAUUGAGUUAAUAAUUGAACACAUAUUUUCAGCCUAGUAUGUUGUAUCAAUUGAUGAAUUUAUUUUCCCAAUAUUAGGGGGAGAAUAAACGGUCAAAUAUCUGAAACAAAAGUUUAAAUGAAAAUUUGAAAUAAAUUACUACUAUCUAACCAUGAUCUUGUAUAGACCAAUCUCAGCCAGAAGUUUAAAACAUGAUUUCAUUUGAAAAGUUACGCAAAAUAAAUAUAUAAUGUUAAUGCUCAUACCAUUAGAGAAGUUCGGGUUGGACAAUCUAAUAUUGUAAAUGAAUUUCUAAUUCACCUUAAGCAUGGUAGAGCAGUCGGUUCCACAUACGAAAAUCCUUGAAAAUGAUCUCAAAAGAAAGAUGACCCAUGUGAGGAUAUAAAAAUUUCAAAAGAGAAAUUAUACAUAAUUUAUCUUUUAGUUCUAGCAGAACUUUUCAGGUACCUGAAACUUAUGAGAAUAUAGAGAUCUCGAUAAACUAUGUCAUGAAUGAAAUGCGAUGGAACCAAAAAAAAGUCAACGUUGACAAUAUUUUUAUACAAAAUAUAGCGUUAUAUGUGAAAAAUGAUAACGAGGAUCGUGAAUCAUAGUCUAUUAAAGAUUAGGAUAUUACAAUGAUUGACAUAAUAUAAAGAUGCAUUUUGUGCAAAAUUAAAUUAGCUUUGCAAAGCGAAUGGUUUUUGGGUCAGUAGUCCAUUAUGUAAAAAUAAAAUGAGAAUUAUGGAUUAUCUAUAUGUAAAGUCGGACUUAUCGUUCAUGAGUAGUGGUUAAAAACUACUAUUAAUUUUGAAUGGUUCAUGAGUAUUCACCUGAAGUGAAUUAUAGCAACACUUGAAAGCUGCAAUCUAUCUAUAUAUGAAGUACAUGUUACAAUAUAUUUAUAUGACUCACUUGAUAUUUUUAUAUAAAGUUUUCCGAAGAAAUUAUUUUAUCGGGGCAUGCAAUUCAUAUUCUUGAAGAGAUUACUUAAUCAACUUGAAAUAUAGAAACAUGUUGUAUGAUAUUCUUAGUGAAUAUUUUCUAAAGAGAGGUAUAAAAAUGAUAUCAUUUGUUCAUUUUAAAAUAAAUCUGAGAACUUCUGAAGAGUUUUUUGAAGAUGAUUUAUUAAAUAAUAGAUAUCGAGAUAAAAUAUGUAGGAAUGAUAAAUAUUUAUUUGAGAUUACAAGUUGAGUAUUUGAAGGAUUACAAUCUUUUAAAUCAUGAAACUUAUAUAGCAAAGUGCUAAAAUGGUUAUAUAUAGGAAAAUCUCAUUUGUUGUACACUUCAAUGAUUGUCUGAGAACUUGAUUAAAUAAUGAAGAACUAAUUGGUCUUGAAAUACCAUAUUUUAGUUUAAUUGAGCAACUGGUAUGAAAGAUUGAUCUUCAUAUUCUCGAAGAUGGUUGUUUAGUUGAGAGGGAGAAAUAAAUAUAUUCUGCACUCUUUUUCCUUAACCAUGAUUUUGUUCCCCUGAAUUUUUUUGGUAAGGCUUCUAACGAGGCAGAUAUAUCAGAUAUCGUACUCUUUUUUUUUCACUGAGAUUUUUUUCCUACAAGGUUUUUUCCAUGUAAGAUUUUAAUGAGGCAUGUCCAUUAUGGACAUUCAAGGGGGAGUAUUAUGAAUAAUAAACUUCAUGGAUUUCCAUCCUUAAUCUUCCACCUUCCUAUAACCCCAUUAGUGAAUAUAUGGUUAGUGGUCCUUAAUUGAUUUGAAUAUUCACUUGCUCAAUUAUUUUCUAUAAAUAAAACUCAUAUUUUAGCGUAAUGACACACUUGAAAUGAGAAUAAGACAAAAACUCUCAUCUUCUAUAUUUUUGAUCUUGUCAUUUAGCUUAUUUCAUAAAAAUAAUUCAUAUACAUCAAUAUUACUAAGAAUUAAGAAGCAUGCUUCCUCACAGUCUUCUUCCCAAUACCCUAUCCUUGAAAAUACCAGACAAAUUCACAUAUCAACAUUUGAUUUUUAGAUAUAUGAUCUCAACCUCUCUAAAUUGUUGGCAAAUCAAACAGCUCCACUCAAUAAGGUGAUCUUCCAUGAGCAGUAGCGCAGGCAAGAGCCUCAUGUCCCAUAUGCCCUCCAUUGUAGGCAUCAAAUUUGGAGGCAAAUUGUACAAAAGCAUAGAAGGGUCUGGAAGUCCACCCUACAACUAAUAGACAAUUACCGGCGAAGGCGAUCCACCAGACGUUCCUCCACAAUGCACAGCGCCACAGAACUAGGUUUUUCAUUAUUAUCAUUAUCAUUGUUAUCAAGUCGAAGUCUCUGAUAAGUUGCAUUAGUAAAAGUAGCUGCAAUAAGCAUAAAAAGUCCUACUACAACAAGAGUUCCAACAACAAAACCUUUAACUACGUGACCUUGACCUCCAUCCAGGUACACUAUAAGGCCAAUCGAAGCAUGACCGAGUAGAAACUUCCUAGUUAAGGACAAAAUCUCAAUCCUGUGAAGUGCUACAACAGCACCAAGAGCUGAAGGUUGUCUAAGAGUAACAUUAGCUGCUAUACAGAGCCACUUCCACUAAAAAAAAAAAGCACCACAUUGACGCCUUCUUGCGAAUUGUGCUAUGUUUUUGGAUCCAGGUGGUCUUCCUCUUGGUCUUCGGUUACCAAUUUCAGUUGCAUCUUCUCUAGGUUCAUCUCUUUUCUCAUUGUCUUCUUCUUCUUCUUCAUCGUGAUUUUUGUGAUUGUUUACGCAAGAUUCAAUGAAAAAAAUCAUAAAAAUGUGGUCAUGUCGACUUGAUAUUAGAACAUACAUUUAUAUGGAGUGAUUAGAUUACACUAGUGUAGCAUUUAAGUGAUGUUGCACCGGUCGAUAAAGUUUAAACGAAUACAAAAUUUUAAACUCUUAAACAAAUUUGAAAUCAUAUGGUAUGUUAUUGACUCAUCAAAACUAAGGUAUUAUCCGCUUUUACUGAACGUCAUUAAUCUCAUGUUCCCCAAUAUCAAAUUGAGUUAGAAUUAGGUAAAGUUUACAUGAUAAAUUGAUGUUCUGAUAUGUCAAGUGUGAGAUAAAAUUUCACAGAUAGAAGAGUAAAUAUUACAGAGAAUAUAAGUGAAAUAAAUUAUAUACCUAAUGCCUUAGAAUUUUGAGUGAAAAUAUGUGGUGUCCAAAUUCACCUAAAUGUCAGGGUCGUUUCUAUGAAAUUGGAAGCUCAUUUCUCAUAAUAAAAAUAAGCCCUUUAUAAAAUAAAAACACAAUUAUGCGAAAAAAGAAAGGAUUAUUAGGAUUCUUUGAAAUAGCUUUUCAAAUUGAUUGAUUAAGUGAUUAUUCAAAUUAGAUAGUUUAAUAGCAUUAAAUUCUUGUCCAAAAAGAAGAACUAGACCUUAUGAGUAGAGUGAGUCUAUGUAAGCGUUCAAAGAAAAAAGACAUACAUAUUGGUGAACCUUUCAACCUUGUAAGUUGUAACCAUUUCAGCUACUAGCACACUAUCCAACCCAACAAACAUUGUUACCGGUUGGUUGUUUUCUCAUUUUUAUUUUUCAAUAACAGUUCUUCUUUUUUACUUUUAUUUUUAUAUAUUUUGUUUACUAGAGUUACAUAUAUUUAAAACAUGAUAGAGAACUAAAUGACAGAGGAUGCUUAGUUGAAUUAAUAAAUUAUUAGUGUAAAUAUGCUAUUUAGUAAUUUUUAUAUAUUAGUUAUUAUUUGUAAUUCCUAUGUUUCUAGCACUUUUUUAGGAUGUUUAAGACUAUGGGCCUGUUUAGAUUGGCAUAUCUUAGAGUUUGUGUAAAACUGUUUAUGUAAAUAAAUAAGCCUUCAUGUAUUAUUUAUAAGUUUCCAUCCUAUAAUGAGUGACAUACUUAUGUUCAUUUGAAGCAUGACAAAAGGCUCCUUAGACAAAACCAAAGACAAUCUGAACAAAUUAGAUAUUUUAUACCAAAUCGCACUAGCAAGAUAUAUCAUAGUACAUGCAUAGUUUUAUCAUCGCAAUAAAAUAUUGAUCCCACAUGAACUUGUGAAUCUCAAGAUGUAUUUGAUGGUAAGUGGUGUCAAACUAAAGAGAAUAGUUAUAGGCUAAGCACUAAACAUUACAGGUGACGGUUUUGAAACUUGAUGGUAUGAUUUCUGAAGUGGGUGUUGGGGUUUUUCCCAUUUGUUCAUUGAAAAUGACCUUGAUUGCAUUAGGUAUUGGCUUUGACAAAAGGCUUGGUACAUUCUAGUAUAUUUUUACACCAUUGAACCAUAUAUCUCUCAUAUUACCUAUUUAUUCAAAAUAUAGUAAAAAGAAAAUAAAAAUACAAUUUUAUAAAACAAAUUAUUAUUAGAAAAAUACUAUAAAAUAUUGUGUUAUUACAUAGUCAUAAGUUGUAAAUAAAUGGUUUUCCUUUUCCCUAAUUUUCGUACACCAUGCACACAAUGAAUUAAAACUGCCACCAUAAACAUCUGUCUGCGAAAGAUUAGCUCUUGUUGGCAACCACACCAUAAUUAGUUUUCCAGAAGGUCAAUGAAUUAAGAGUAUCUCGAAUUUUAAUGAAGGAUAGCUUUUUCAUAGUUUUCCCAUUUCAAGAUUAAUUUCCAACCUCAAGUUCAAAUAUUCUUUAUGCAAUAACACGUUAUGUAAUCAAUACAUCGGAUCAAAAAAUGAUUUCACCCAAUUCUCAAAUUUUUGAAAAAAAAUAGUGAUAUUUGUACAACUCUUUAGUACAACUUUAAUGACAACUUUGGUUUUCUCUCAUUUGAUUGGUCAAAAAUAAUAGAGAGAAAAAAGGGAAAAGAGAUAUAUAAUAAGAAGAUAUGUGAGUAUGAAAGAGAAAAUUGUCAAAGAAUUGCUAGAAAAUUGUUGUACAAAUAUCAUUUCUCUUUUAAAAAUCAUAGUGUUGUACCAAUCUCCUUCGAUAUGUAACCAAAAAAAAAACUCCUUCAAUACCUCUUGACACGUCGAAUCAACUCAUAUUCCAACCCUAUAUUUUGGAAAUAUAUAUCAUUUGCUUCGAAGGAGAUUAACAACCACGCCCUCCACUGUGUCAAAAGUGACAAGUUCAUAAUUCUCAAUUAGAUAAAUUCCUCAGAUUUCCCCCAUCGAUGGCCUCAAAUAUUUGAACAAAAGACCUCCUUCACUACAAUUUAAAAAAUUAUACGUCAUAAACUCUUGUGAAACAUUCACCCCCCACUAAACAACUUUUGAAAAAAAUCACUUUCAAACCCGACAUUAUCUCAAAACCUCUCGACAAAGCCAUUAACAUAUUCUUUUGAUUAAGGUGAGAUGUAAUUAUAUUUUUAUUGAAAAAAUAUAUCAUAGAAAUGGAAAUGAUUUUAAUUCUCUUAAAAAAUAGAAAUGGGUAAUCUCGUGACCGUAUUUUCUGUUUCAUGUUUUCCAGGUUUUUCUAGUAAAUAAAGGUAUUUUAAUGUUUUCUAAUUUAUAAAUGAUGCAUAUGGAUCAUGUAUAAGAUUUAAUAUGAUUUAAUGAGUUUAUCUAAUGGACCUCCUAAAAAGUUUCAAAUGUGAACCUUAACCAUUUGUACUAAAAUAAUAAAACUUAUAAUAAUAAAAAAUGGGAAAAGAUGUAACGUUUUAUUUAAAGAGUCAAUAUUUAGACUCUUUUUAAAAUGUCCAUGUUACAUUCACCUUGAUUUAAUUACAAAUAAUCUAGUAAAAAGUCAAUGAAAUUGAAAAUUUGAAUUGGAGCUAUACUUGUAGUUGGUGGUGAAGUCAAGGACAUAUGCAAACAAACGAAAUGAAUGAAUGAGAGUCUAUCAGCUGGUCCCAUAGCAAAAUACACAAUGAGUUCACUUGCUUCCCGCGUGAUACUCAUCUUGGGGGCACGAAAAAUAUAGGAUAAAUUAAUGUUGAAUGUUUUGAUUGUCACAUGUAUGGUUAUCUUGUUGGGAAGUUUACGGUUAAAUGGGAAACGAUAUGGUUAAUGUUCCAAAACUAUAAGAGAGACGUCACAUCUCUUAUCGAAAAAACAUUAGAUAUAUCGGCAAAUUUGAACUUAACCGCUGCCAUAAUAGGAUGCAACACGGAAUCCAAUCAUGUUCCUCUACGAAGCCAAACAAAGGUUAUGAUACCACUUGUUGGGGAGUUCAGUGGUCGACGGAGCCAAUGCUCCAAGAUCAUAAGAGAGGGAGAUGUCAUAUUUCCACUUAAAAUCGUAAGACAAUAUUGAAAGAGUUAUGAUACAUAGACAUCCUUAGGUGGCAAUACACCCUUUAACACCCACACAAAAAUCUGACACGUGGUCACAUGGACCCCGCACAAGCACACUUUCUCUUUUCUCUCCUCUUCUCUCUUCCUAAUGUAUGGGGUGUACAAGGGUGUAUGGGAAUAAAUGGUGUCUAUGUAACAUUUUCCAUAUUGAAAAUAUGAGUCACUUAUGUUAUCAAUUCAGCAUUUUACUCAUUCAUAGGCGAUGUGAGAUUUAACCAUUCUCACUUAAAAUCCAACCGGUCAUUACUUUUUUUGGAGUGUAGAACUAAUGGAGAAUAGUAGGUUGGUAUUGUUGAUAACAAGGGUAAUUAUUGUUAUAUCGAGUGACUUGCAUAAUGCAAUUUGUUUCAAGGGUAUUAUACUAUUUUAAUUUCAUAAAAGAAUGAUGCUCUCAGUAUUAGUCAUGUACUUUUACCAUGUUCAUAACCUAAUUAGCAAUAGUUUGAGUUUUGGUACAACUUGUCCAAAAGGGGUAUGAAGCUCAGAUGAAAGAUUGCCGUUUAUGGCUUCAAGAUCAAAAUUAUAAUUUGAUUGCUAGGGUGUUGCUUGAAGGCUGGCAUAAAAGACGAAUUUUGGAUCAAUCAAGGCUUUAAGAGACAAAAUGAUUAUAAAAGUAAUGUCUUUUAUAUAUCAUCUCAAUCAAUCAUGUAAAACAUGUCUUUUUGAAAGUAUGCAAGAAGUUAAUUUCCAAAAGGAGCAAAUUUAAGAGUGAAUCAGUCUCUCCAACUUUGUUUCAUACGAUAAGAUGUGUGUGGCCCAAUUGAUCCAUCUUUCUUUGAUGAUAAUAAUUAAUAAUUAGGAAAAUGCUAACAAUUGUUCUUACGAUAUUGUUUAAGCAUCUAAAAGGAGUAAAUAGGUAAUUACCCCCCUAAAAUUAUAAGUUUCGUCAAUUACCCCUCUGAAAUUAAACAAAACUUCAAUUACCCUUACGAUAUUGUUUAAGCAUCUAAAAGGAGUAAAUAGGCAAUUACCCCCCUAAAAUUUGUAAGUUUCUUCAAUUACCCUCCUGAAAUUAACAAAACUUCAAUUACCCCCCCCCCCCCCCAUCCGUCAAAUUUUUCUAUUAGUCAACAUGAUCUUUUGCAAAUACCCCUCUGAAGUUUUGAACUUAUGUGCAAAUGCCCCCCAAACUUAAAAAUUUAUAUAUAUUUUUCUCAUACUUUUACUCAAAGGAUAUUAAAGGCAAACAAGAAAGCUUAAGAAAUGUAUUUAGGAUUCAAGGAAGAGCUUAAAGAGUUACCUGGUGAAGAAUACUACGGUAAAGGAGGAUUACCAAAAGUGUUUAUUGAAAAGAAAUACAUUGGUGGAGUUGAGGAAAUUCAGAAAUUUCAUGAUGACAAGAAACUUGAGAAAUUGUUUGAUUGUUGUGAAAGGAUUGAUGACAUUGAAGGAGGUGAUGGUUGAUGUGAGGCUUGUGGUGAUAUAAAGUUUGUUCCUUGUUAAACAUGUUAUGUAAGUUGUAAAAUCUACUAUGAAGGUGAUUACGAAGAAGAUGGUAAUUGUGAGGUUGGUGGGUGAGUGUGGAUUUCAAAGGUGUUCUCAUUUCAAUGAAAAUGUCCUAAUAUGAUGUUCCAUGUGUUGUUUCUAGUUCCAUAUUUCAUUUUGACGUUUAACAAUGAAAAUGACCUAAGUUAAUUGUUCGCCUUUAAUAUCUUUUGAAUCAAGGAUAAGGAAAAAAAAAAUAUAAAUUUUCAAGUUCGGGGGGCAUUUUGCACAUAAGUGCAAAACUUCAUGGGGGUAUUUGAAAAACAUCAUGUUGACUAACAGAAGAAUUUGACGUAGGGGGUAAAUUGAUUAAUGUUGUACAAUUUCAGGGGGGUAAUUGAAGUUUUGUUAAUUUCAAGGGGGUAAUUGACGAAACUUACAAUUUCAGGAUGGUAAUUGUCUAUUUACUCCAUCUAAAAGUAACAAAAUUUACAUUAAAAAUUAUGUAAUUAUUACUUUUACAUAUGUUUGACUUGUAUUUUUAAGAUAAAAUAUCUUUUUGUGAGUUCUUUAAACAAUGUUUUUAAAGCACUUAUUAGUAAGACCCUAAUAAAUAUGCUCUUGGACAUCAGUAGCUUUUAAAAAUUUCAAAGCUUUGUGAAAAAGAAGAGUGGUUAUGUAAUUCAAAUCUAUAAGAUUCAAUAGAGGUGGACAAUUCACUUCUAGAAUCUAAGGCAUUUGUUCCUAUAUGAACAAGUGGGUUUACCUUAUGAGGGGAGAGUGUCCUUCCUUCACAAGUGAGUAUAAAGUGUGACUGGUCGUAAGCUCCUUCUCUAAAAUGCAGGAGGGGGAGGGGCAAAAGACACUAAUGCACAAGUAAAAUUGGGUGUUGGCGAAUAGUGAAGUGAGUAAUUAGUAAGUAUGAGUGUGGUUAUCGUAGGUGGGGCAAGGCCCCUUAUUUAUAAUGAUGUAUAUGGUGUGAUGCUCUAUAUUGGUUGCUAACUUCUCUUGAUGGACCUUGACUUGACCCUUUUAUUGAGGAGAAUUGUUCUUCUCCCAUCUGUUUUUGGUCAUUCCCACUGGAAAAUACACAUGCGUGAGUUAACUCACGUCGAGAAUACAUAUGCGUGAGUUAGCUCACACUAGAUUAUUUUGACAGAAAUGAGCAAAAACAGAUGGAAGAAGGGUGGUACUCUUUAUGAUCCUAAUGGGCUUUGAUGUUGGACGACCCAAAAGGUAAUUGGGUUGGACCUUUUAGGUUUGUACCAUAACACUACUAAUAUUAGGGGAGGGGGUAUUGUGCUCGAGAUUAGGGUGUGAAUAAGGUAGAUCAAUUGGAGCUAAAUUUAAUUGGACGCAUGUCAUUAGUCUCACAAGCCAUAGAGGCUUAUGAAACGCCCAAACGUCAGUCUAAAAAAUAAGUCUGCGUAGGCUAUAAGCUAGACCUAGGCCUUGAAUUAUUAUUUUUUACCAAGUUAAACUUGAGUCUUAUUAAGUCUAGUUCGGCCUAGCCUAUUCUCACCAAUACUUAGGAUAUUUGAUGUGCUGGUGCUCACAAAUCACAAUACUCCUCUUUUCUGCGAGUAAUGUGCAUGAGUUUCGCGACUUUUAGAUAGAAAAACUACUUAUAUUCAAUAACAAUAUAGCUCUCAGGUGAUAAAUAGGAGUCAAAAAAUUGAUAAAUAAUUAAGAUAGUUCAUAAAUAAACCAGUCUCAUUGAAAUAAAGUAUUUCAAUAGAGGAAAGUAAUUUUCAUAAGAAUUUUUUUGAGGAAAGUAAUAGAUUGUUAGAGACACUUUCAUUCCUUUAACAUUUUUUCCUUUCACUUUUUUUUCAACCAAAUCAAUAGAUAGUGAAACUUGAAAUAAAAAGAAGGGAAUAUGAGUGGUGGUAGCAGAGGAAAAGGAAGUGAGAGAGAGUGUGGGGUGAUUGAAUGAAGGAAAAGGGUGAGGUGCUAACAGGGAUUACCACAUCACAUGUUCAUUUCAUUUAUCACAUCAUUGUUUAAAAAUGUAGGUAAGUUCAAUGUUGCUAGGGAAGGCAAGACCAUGCUAAGGAAGUAAAUGAAAACUGAGAUUUGUGAUAAAUGAAUGUUCCAUGAGUACAUAACAAAAUGGUGAAUCAGCUGUGUGUGUAAUGUAUGAUGCAAUGAUUCUUCAAGUCAACUCUGUCCACUGUCCACUGAUUUGCCUGACACGGUAACUCAAAGUUUAAAUAGUGCAUCAAGCUCCAGAAUUCAUUUCAUGGAUCACAAAUAAAUGUGGUAACUCACAGUCAGACAGUGGUAUCUUUUGAUGCAUGGUCCCAUGAUGCAGUACAGCCACAACUGUCUAACACCUUAAUGGAAACAAGAUUUCAACAUUGGGUGUGAAGCCACAACAGAUUUACAUUUACUACCCAAAAAAAUCAUUAUUUCGAAUCUCGUACCUUUGAUUUCUUAUAGCAUAUAAUUACAUUACAUCCAAAUGCAGCAUGAGAGGUUCAAAUUUAUCAGAUUUCCAAACCAGAAAAGAAAAGGCCUUUAACUCGAUAUCUAGAUGACUAUUACUUUUCCCACCCUAUAGCCUUCUCCCGCGCCCUGUAAAAUUUUCAAAAAUGCCCUUGUGCAUUCCGGAUUUUAAAAUCUGGAUUCAUGUUUACUAUUUCGGAUUUUAUAAUCCGGACAAUUCUUAUGUAUAAUCAGCCAUCAGACUCUCUCACAUUUCAGCAGUUUUGAGUUUUGCUUUUAAAAACAACAAAAUAACUAAGUAAAAAAAUGCUAAAAACCUGUCAAAUAAAAUCAUAAAAAUAUAAAAAUAGCACCAAAAAAUUCUAAAAAUCAAAUAAAACUAAUGCAAAUUUUUUCGGAUGACCCAAAACAGAAGGAUGGGAGUUAGGAAGAUUAAUAUUGUCCCUAAAAUGACUAUCCAUGUUACAAACAUGUUUAGGAUUUGUGCUGAUACAGUUCGGAUUAUAUAAUCCGAACUGUUUUACCUUGAAAAAGGGUGUUUAGGGGGUUUUCGGAUUAUGUAAUCUGGAAACAUCAUGUAAUGCGCCCUAUUUUUUGAAGUUUCCGGAUUACAAAAUCUGGAAAAACCCGUUACUCAUUUUUUCACCCUUUAACAAAAGAAAACAUCAUUCCGGAUUAUAUAAUCCGGAAUGCUCCGAGGGUAAUUUUGAAAUAAAUAGGGCGCGCGAGGAAAGGCAUAGGGUGGGAAAAGUAAUGCUCUAUCUAGAUUUUAAAGGCUAAUGACCUGGUAGCACAAUUUACAUUGGCCCAAGUAUCUCCCAAAACAAUAUUUUUGUUCAAAAUUUAUGCCUAAAUGUGUCAAAUCAGGAUGUCCGGCCUAGCCCAUCGGGCCAAAGUGCAAAAGCAGGCCAGACUAUAUGCCCAUAUAGUCACAUAUUUUGUGGUCUAGUCUAGCCUAAAACACAUCAACCCGAGCCCCGUGAAAUAUGCAUUUUAAACACAGUAUCUAUGCAGUUUGGCUCAACGUGAGAAACGGGUUGUGCCGAAAUGAGCUAGUUUUUAUGGACCUCUAAAUAAGUUUAGUCCAGCCUGAAAAAUGGGCCCAUCGGGCUGGCCGGUCUGGUCUGACUAAAACUGGCAUCUCUGUUUAUGUCAACUGCAGGCAUCUUUUCACUGAUAGCAUAGCAGUAAAAUUGAUUGAAGGACAGAAUCUUGCACAAGCUUACCUUCCAAAGUCCUUACUUUUGCAAAGUUAAGCCACUUCAUUCUAAACAUAAGUUUCACAAUUCAAGAUAUUGAUACAUACACCACAAGAAUGUGCCCUCUAAUUAAGAGGGACUCACUCUCUGAAUUAGCACGAUGAACCACUUGAACAAAUCAAUGGAAUCAUGAACCGGCGGCAGGCAAGAAUCUUAGAUCUUAUGGCAGGAUUAUAAAUUCAUAAUACAGAACUUUUCAAUAGAGUAAAUGCAUGGAUGAACUAACAGAAACUAAAAGAAUGAAUAUUCAUAGAGAGCAACAUGCAAGGCGCGCAUAAACAUAAUUAGAAGUACAGUAUGAAUGUUUUUGCCCAUUUUAUAAAAAAUAUAGCUUAUAUAUUUUUAUAAACCAAAUUGCAACCAAAAUGCUACUACGCUUUUCAAACAUUCAACAAAAUUAAUCCUCGAUUAAUGUACAAACUAAUCCACUGUGGUGUCAAAAUGAUACUUUUGAAUGGUACGAUAAAUUAAGGAAAUGCUCACCACACUGAGGAUUACAAUAUCUAGAAUGAGUUCAAUCGAGUAACGAAUCACCGCACUGCAAUUUCCAUUUCAUGCAAUCUUCCAAAUUGAAACUGCUUGCACAACCCAGUAAUGCGUUUUGUUGUUGUUCAUAACGACAUAUAUAGUUCAAUCCUUUAAGAAGUUCACAUAUAGCUUCCUCUGUCUUUAUCUUAUCAGCAAAGUAUAAUGUCUGAAAUAGUAGCACAUUCGUCCUGCUAACUAUUCCACGUUGCUCAAAAUUCCUCUCACUUUGCCAUUUCAUCAUAUUAUGAGCAAGCGGAGCAAGCCACCGAAGUAUCCCGUCAAGAGUCGCCUUCCAGUCAUGUGCAAGAGGGGCAUCAUAUAUGGCCAAAUUCUUGACAUAUGUCUUAAGUUUGGCCUUCAAAGAUAACCUUAAGCUAGUUGGCAGCAUCUUAUAUAGAUCAUCUCUAGCUUCCUCACCAAUUAAAUGUGGAAAGCUAAGUACUUUCUCAAUGACAAUAAUGAUAUUAGCAUAAUGCAAUGCAAGUGCACAUCCUCCAAGAGUUGAAGGAGGAGCAUAAACAACAGCUAAUCCACUAUUUGCACCAAAGGUUGAGCAUAAGUGCUCCUUUUUCUUGACAAUAUUUCCAAUCCCAAUAGGACUUUGAGAGCUUGAUACACAACUGUAAUGGUCCUCGCGAUCGAUAGCAACAUCAUCGAAAUCGUCGAAUUUUGAAACUGAGCUACUUAAACUCAGACAUUCCAUGAAAAGUCUCCCAGGACUUGUUCCACAAGGAAAACCAAAAUCUUCAAGUUGAACAUAUGCUAACUCACCUCUCUUCAUAUCUAUAUGAGACCUACUACUACCAUUUCCCCCAAUUGAACUCAAAUUGUAACCAGUUUUCUUGCUAUGACUGCGUUUCAACUUCUCCGACAAAUUCACCUCAACAUUAAUCAAGCUAGACGCCGAACCACAUUCAUUUUGCACGAGUGGCGAACCUUCACAGUUACCAAUCCCAAGGCCAUCCUUCCUCACAGUAGAAUCACCAAAGACCAUGCAGAUUCUUGCAUACAAGGUACAAACUGUCCUGGCCAACAACUCAACAACCUUAUCAAAAGUCUGAUUCCAAAGUGAAAUCUCCUUAAGCUGCCUCACAUCUUGCUUCUGCCAUACAAGCCUCUGCUCAAACCCCCUUCUACUCUCCUCAUUCUGACUAUUAUUCUGAAACUUCUUCACUGUUUGCUCCAACUCAUUCAAACCCCCCAUUUUACUAUACAAACUCCUAGUAGCACUCACAUACCUAUCCAUUUUCCUCACCAUUCCUUCCAUAUGCUUAACUAAAAACCCCAAUUCAUUCACAUCUAUAACACCACUAACAAUAUCACCAUAGACAUGCUCAAACCCUUGCAAAGCAGGCACAGAACACUUCUUCCCUAACCUAGAAACCACACCAGCAACACGGUUCAAUUCCUCGAGCUUCUCACGUCGAACAAGCUCGAAUAAAUAACCCUCUUCUGAAGAAACCAAGUUCCUAACACCCUCUGAGUUCAAGAUCUCAUUCCUUAACUUUGUUAUCUCAGAUUCAGACAAUGAUUUAUAAAGUUGAAUGGUUUUGGACAUUACAUUAGCUACUUCAAAAGAAAGAAUACCUAUAGUUUCUACUUUCUUAUUCUCUUUCCUUUUAGGACCAUGUUUUCUACUAGUAGAAGAAGUUUCAAGCAAAAGGGCUUGUUUAAUAUUUGCACUUACUUGGUUACCCAUCUUCAAAAUCCAAGCUUCAGCAACCAUAGCUAGUUAGCUACUACUUUCACCAAAUUUUCCUUCUGCAACAGCCCAAAAGUGAAACUUUCUAAAAAAACAGAAUUUACCUAAAGAAGAUCAAACCCAUUAAAGGGAAGAAGGAGAAGAUCACAAAAACUUGCUAAAAAUCCAAACUUUCAUGGUAAAAAAGGGGGUUUUUGAGAUGAAUUUUUUUAGGGGGUGUAAGAAAAACAAAAGGGUGCAAAUAGAAUAAAAAUUGAAGAAGUCAAAAAGUGGCAUAGCAAUAGCAAUGAGAAGAAGAGACAGAAAGAAAGUGGAGGGAAAAGGUUAAGGUUGUGAUGUGUUCUUUGUCUCUUGUUCUACAUUUCAAAAAGGAGAUUCAGAAUUUUUGAAAGUAAAAGGACUUUUCAAUUAAAAAAGAAUAAGUGCUUAUUCAAUUUUGAAUUUUAUAGUGUCUGUUACUGAUAUUGCGUCUUUCAAUUAAUUUUGAAGGUUCUUUUUUUAGUAAAGAAAUUAAAAUAGUUGCCAACUUGUUGCCAUUGUGAAGUAUGCAAGUUUAACUUCUACCUACCAGCCAAAACAAGGGCAUAAAACAGCUACACGAUGCAUAGACUUUAUUAAAAAUAUGUUAAAAAUGUAUAUUGCUAUAAUUAUUCAUACACAAAAUUUUUGAAACUCAAGCUAGUUGAUUGAUCAAUAUAUUUAAAAGAAAUACAAUUUAAGCAAUAAUGUGUAUUGUUUAUUUAUUAUAUAAUAUUUUAUUAAAACUAUGUUUUGAUGAUGAGAAAAAUUAGUCAAAAUUGAUGAACUAUAUUAGUGCAUUAGUUAUAUGGAUUAGGCAUGGUUUUAGUUGUAUUUCAUUUUUGAACAUUAGUAUGAAGACAAAACAUAAGUCAAAGUUGUUAACCAAUGUGGUGUUGGUGGAAGCAUAUCUUGCCCCAAUAAGAAGGAGGGUCUAAAAAAUUUAUCUAUUCUCACACUAUAAAACUUGAGAAAUGAUAUUUGUACAACCACUUUGUGACAACUUUUAAACAAUUUUCUCUCUCAUACUCACAUUAUAUUCUUACUCUCUCUCUUUCUUCUUCUCUCUCCAUUGUUUUUUACCAAUGAAAAGAGAGAAAAUGAAUGUUGUCAAAUAAGUUUUAUCAAAUGGUUGUUCAAAUAUCAUUGUUCAAAACUUAAUGGUUAGUAAAAACACAAUCUUAACUUAUUUUUAUCAGUCAAAAACUUGUCAAUUUUCUACUCUUUUAUAUAUUUUUACAAUAAACUUUCCUUUAUUUCUUCUAUUUUUUGAAUUCAAAUUUUAAAUUUUACCAUUUUUUUCCCGCUCAUUCCAAUCUUCUCUUUUACACUCCUUGCAUUUUCUCUUUCUCUUCCUCCCAUUUGUUUUAUCUUUCAUGUGUUACACUUCCAUCACUAUCUUGUCAUAUUCGAACACUAAACAUUUAACUCUUUUAAUCACUUAGUUCAAUCAAAUGAGCUACUCAUCCCAUAUUUGUUUAAUUUUAUUAAAUAUAUUUAGACAAGAUAGUCCGUAUUGGCGUAUAAACAUUAAGCCUUACUUUUUGUUUUGUUAACUAUUUAGGAGACUUAAUUUGUGCGCGAACAGCAUGGACUUCCUCUCAUUUCACUGUGGUAUAAGGGGAAGAUAUGGUCAUUUUAAAGGCUUUGCAUUUGAAUCAACAAGUGGGAUAUGAAUAUGUUCUUUUGGGUCAGACACUAAAAUUGUAGCAGAAGCAAUCAAUACCAAUUAUGUUGUUAUUUCCAACACAUGAGGGAGAUGAAAGUUGUUUCGAGCACCAGAGAAGAAUGACUUUAAAAGAAACACAUACACCCAAUACUCUACAAUAUAAUAAUGAAAUAGAAGAUACUCCAUUUAUAUUUAUGAUCCAAAUCCAUCUGGGUCGGGUCAUAAUUCAACGGUGAGAUAAAAGCCUAUGCCGCCGGUGAAGAUUCUGAUCACGAGGUCGUCAUGUAUCGCAAUACCUUCGGUGUCAUAGUCCAAUGUCGGUUUGAGUCCCCUGUUCUUCUUUCUAACAUGAAGGUGGAUUUUCUCGGUGGCAUAAAUAUGAUGAAAUUUCAGAGAUGAUGAAAUUUGACUUGAACAUGAGAGAGGAAACAAUUAAUUUUUAAGGAAUGGCUAAAUAAAUGAUACUAGUUUAUUGUAUUUAAUGGCCCUUAAGCUGUGAAAUUAAUGAUUUUUCCACUACCUUAAUAUGAUCGUCAACAAGUUUGAUGUUUGACAUUUAAAAAUUGUCUAAAACAUUUAAGGGUGUUGCUAACCGAUACCCCAUGGCACUGGUUAAGGAACAAUAAUAUUAAUGUGUCUCAUUUAAUUUCAUUCAAUUAAAGUGAAAAGUUUAUCAACUUAAUUAAAAUAGAAAAACGCUACAUUUAAUACUCUUUAGAAAGAUACGCUUCCUUUCUUUUUUUUUUUUCUUGUGAACUUUUUAGAAUCCUUUUUUUUUAGUCCCCUUGCUUUCUUUCAUAUAUCUUAACAAUUUUUUUCUCUUCUUGUGAAUUUUACCCCAUCAAGUUUUUCUUUCUGUGAUUUUUUUUAAGCAUUUUUUACUUGCAAGCUAAUUCACUGAAAAGUCUAUACUCAAACCAAUUUUUUUCCAUUACUCGAAAAAAACUAUUGUUUUUUUUUAAUUAAAAGCUGUAUAAAUAAUUAAAAUAAGACAAACAUUAUAUAGUCCAAAAUAAAUUUACAAUUACAAAGAUAAAACAUAUCCAAUUAAAGUAUGAAAUACAAAAUCAUAUUGAUGGAGUUUAAUGAGUAUUGAAUACAAGCAUUCAUAUUUUAAUGGCUUAAUAUAUGCUUUGGUCCCUUAACUUAUUUUUGAAUUUUAUUUUGGUCCCUUAACUUUAAACUGUCUCAAUUUGGUCCCAUAACUUUACCUCUGUUUACCUAAAUAACAGAAGGUAAAGUUAUGGGACCAAAUUGAGACAGUUUAAAGUUAGGGGACCAAAAUAAAAUUCAAAAAUAAGUUAAUAUACCUUCCAAUAAUUUUUAUUUUUUUUUACAUUUGACUCAUUAGAAAAAAAAAAUAUUAUAGUAUAAUAUACUAUCCGAUUUUGGGAGAAAGAAGUAGUGGUAAUUUGAAGUUUGAUUAAUAGGUAGGAAAGUCAGAUCAAUAAUUAUUCUACUCAAUAAUUAAUUGAGAUUCUUGUUAUAUAGAUUUUGGAAUAUAUUUCUUUUGUAUAUGUUAAUUUUAUUAUUAUUGGUAUCAUUAUCAUUAUUAUUAUUAUUAUUAUUAUUAUUAUUAUUAUUAUUAAUGUUAAAUUUUGUUUUUAAUUGAAAUUAUUUUGAUUUAGAUUAAAAUUAUAGGUAUAGAUAUUAAAAUUAUAUUUAUUAGGUUUAAUAUAUGCUUUGGUCCCUCAACUUAUUUUUGAAUUUCAUUUUGAUCCCUUAACUUUAAACCGUCUCAAUUUGGUCCCAUAACUUUACCUCUGUUUACCUAAGUGGUCCCUUCGGUUAGUUUUUUUAACAGAAGGGACCAUUUAGGUAAACGGAGAUAAAGUUAUGAGACCAAAUUGAGACGGUUUAAAGUUAAGGGACCAAAAUGAAAUUCAAAAAUAAGUUGAGGGACCAAAGUAUGUAUUAAGCCUAUUUUAAUUAAGUUGACCAACUUUUCACUUUAAUUAAAGUAAAUUAAGUGGAAUCAAUUAAUUUUAUUGUUCCUUAACCAGGGCCCCGAAGCACUAGAUAACAUUACCCAUAUUAUAUUCCUUUUAUCUUUCCUUGGCCAUAACUUCUUGAUGGCUGGUAAAAUAUGAUUAAUUACAAAUAUAUUACUCACUUCUUUCGUAGUUAUGUGUUUCUUUUUUAAUGUUCCCGCGACUCUAUUUACUUGAUAUUAUGCAUUGAUUUAAACUUCGUAUCACGAUAUAUGAUUCUAUCAUCAAGCAUAUAUUGACAAACAAUAUUUUAAAAAUCUCUUAUGUUCUAAUCCUUUAAAUAUGGAUUAAGUAUUUUGAAUAAUAACGUAUAACUCUAGGGUGUGUUUGUUUCAAAUUUACGAAAUUUAUUCCUAGGAAUAACAUUCCUUGGAAUAUAAAGAUGGGAAUUUUAUUCCAAGGAAUUUAAGAAAAAUAUGUUUGGUUAGCUUUAUAAUAUUCCUAGGAACCAUAAAAAUAGGGAUUAUAAUAGGUAAACUAUUUAUGAAUUUAUUCCCAUCUUCAUGGGAACUUUAUUCCCACCCUUUUCCUUUGGGAAAUUUUUUCUAUUCCCAGGAACAAUUUAUACCCGGAAAUAAAAUUUAGUAAACUUGUAACAAACAUAGGCAUAUACAUUCCUAUUAUUUUAUUUCCGGAAAUCAACAAUUAUAACUUGAAACAAACACACUUCUAAUCUUUUGCAAUCUUAUCAAUGAUGUUUUUAUUAAUGCCUACAACAAACUCUAGAGAUUGAAGAGUUGUCGAAACAAAUGAUGUUUGAUGAUAGAACUUCACAAAACAUUUGAGGGUAGAAUUAAAUACUUAUAGGGAUAAAAAAAAAAAUUUAGGGAUUAAAAGAUAGAGAAAAGUUUUAGGGGAACUAAAAUAAAAAGUUGAAAUAUUUAUAGGAAUUAAAAACAUAUUUAACCAUUUAUAGUAUGUAUAAAUAUUUAGAAUCUUACUAUUUUUUUUAUAAUAGUAUACAUUAAUAAUUAGAGGAGUAACAACUUUUAUUUUUUUAUUUUUUAAAGAAGGAGUAACAACUUUUUGGUACUUGUGUGUUUUACAAAAGUGAUUUUUAUUUUACACAUUUGUGCAAAAAAGGAAAGAAAAGAAGAAGAAGAUAAAUUAAGAAAAGAUUAUAUGAAAAAAAAUGAGAGACGAAACAAAGAUUUUAUAAGUCACUUUGCAAAAAAUAUCUGUGUUUUAUUAUAAGUCACUUUACAAUAUUGCAUCAUUAAUGAGUUUUUUUUUCCUAUUAUGUCCUUUACUGUUUACUAUUCUAUCUUACUUUAAUUCCUUUAAUCUCUUUUUUCCAUGUCAUUGAUAAGGGAUAAUUUUAUAAAAUCAUUCAUAAUUUUUCUUUCCAAUACAAAAUUAUCAACAUUUCUUAAUUUAUCUUAAUAAUAUUUUUUCGUUGCAUUUAAGUCUAAAAUUCUACAAUAUAAAUAUAUUAUAAAUUUUACUAUAAAUCACGGAUGAAAUUGAUAGUUUCUCCUCCAUGGAGGACAAAUAAUCAGCCAAUCAAUAUCUAAAUACUUUUGUCUCUCUAAUAUAUAUUUUUUAUUAUAAAAGAUAUUGAUUGGCUGAUUAUUUGUCCAAAUUGGAUAACAAUUUAAAAAGUAUAUAUGAAUAAAAAAAAGUAUUCCCUCCGUCGGUAAAUAAUAGUCGUUUAAGGUUGAUGCACGGUUAUUAAGGAAAUGAUUAAUGUGUUGAUUUUGAUGGUAAAAUUAGUAUCAUUUACUAAAACACCUUUAUUAAUUGUAAUUAGUGGAGGAGUAGUUAAGUUGGAUGAAGUUCAAUAAAUAAGGGUAUUAUAAUGGAAAAAAUAAUAAAUGUUGUAUUGGUAUUUCAAAGUGACAAUUAUAUUUUAAGAAAAAGAAAAAUGAGUAAAAAGACAAUUAUCGUGAGAGGGAGUGAGUAUAUAUGUUUAACUUUCCAACUGUUAAUACUUGACCCUUGAAUUUUUUUUUUUAUGGAGUUUGACCCUUCGCUAGUUAACGUCUUUAGAAUUUUUUUUUCCAAAUUUGAAUCUUAAUCUCCUUGGUUUAAUAUGAUACUCUGACUCCAUUCAUUUUCCUUUGACAUAAUUGAAUUUGUUGUUGUUUCAAAAAAAAUAAAAUUGAAUUUGUUGUGUUGUGAAAAUAACUUUGCUAGGAAUCAAACAACAAAAAGAACAUUUAAAAGGAAUUAUUGUUUAUUUAUAUUUUAUAGCUUACACGGAUAAAUUCUUAUAUUUCCUUGAAAGAUCUUUAAUUUUUCUUCUACAAAGCAUAAUCACCAUUGGAUAUGGAUUGCCCAUAUAGUUUUUCUUAGAUGAAAGUAAACUUAAUAUAAUGUUAUAAUCAUCGUGAACUUAGAUAAGUUAGUAAAGAAAUUGUAUAAUAUAUAAAAGAGUUGGAGAUCGAACCUUGAACCUUACAUAUAUUAUGCAUUAUUUUUACCAACUGAACUAAGCUAACGAUGACAUGCUAGUCUUAAUAUGCUAACAUGGUUUUAUUCUUGAUUUCUUUUUUUUGUUAAAAAGAUUGUUUAUUUAUUCUCUAUUAACAGAACCCCGUAAACUUCCGGUAGACAAUUCUUAUAGAAUAUUUUUCUUCUAUAUUUAUUUUUUUGAGGAAAUAUUUUUCUUCUAUAAAACAAUAGAUUCAAAGUAAACUUAUUCAAAAAAAGAAAAAGAAAAAUAGAUUCAAAGUAAACAAACAUAGAAUGAAAUCAAUUAACUUUUCACCAAAAAAAUAUAAAAAAUCAAUCAACUCAGAGGAAUUAAAUGGACCAACAAAUAAAGGCCCAAUAGCAACUCAGAGCAUCCACCAUGGUGAGGUCUUCACCAUUUAAGACCUAGUAUCUAAUAUGUACUUCCAUUGUGGAAAUUUUUUUUGAGGGUCUUCUAAGACUCAUGGUCUAACUUAAGACCCCAUCUUUCAGUGGUCUCCACACACUUUUUUUUAUAUUAAAAUAUUAUGUUAUUGAUGGAAUGUAAAUGAGGAAGAGUUAGUUGUGGAACCCAUUUAGACUUUUAGCCAAUAGGUCUUUAUUGGAGUGAAUGUAUACCUAUUAUGUACUGUUAUUAAAAAAUAAUAAAAAAUUGAUGUGUAUAAGUGGUACUCGUUUAAGACCUUCAAGUUGAGAAUCUCUAUUUUGGAUGCUCUCAGCAGAGCUCUGCUUUUUUGUCCUCUCCCCCUAGACUUUUUUUUAUUUUUAAAACCAUUCGGUUCGUAAUUACCAAAUAAUAUCUUUUUAGUUCUAAUAUCUUCAAUAGAUAACUUUCAAAUGACAUUUUUUUUAGCAUAUAGAGGAAAUGAGAGAGUGAGAAAAGCAUAGCUCAGCUCAGCUCAUCGAGGCACGGCCCAAUCAUGUUACAAGACAUGUAGGACACAAAAAUCCACGGUUGUUUGACAUAUUUGCAUAGAGUAAAGAGUACUGCUCUUCUCCCAUCUGUUUUUGCUCAUUCCUGUCAAAAUAGCCGAGUGUAGGUUAACUCAUGCAUGUGUAUUUUCAGCGGAGAUGAAUAAAAACCGAUGGGAGAAGAGAAGUUCUCUAUAGUAAAUAUGAAGUUGAUGCUUGAAAUUACAUGGUUGUAUUAUUUUCAGAAUCACUUUGAGAUAUCAUAAAUAUAAGAGACUAAAUUGAUACUUCCUCCAUCUUUUUAUGGGACAUUUUAAUAAAAACUUAUAAGUAUUAAGAAAAAUUGUCGAAGUAACAAUAUAUUUUAAAUAUGUGAGACUAUUAUUAAACUACAUUUUCCUCUUAGAAAAAUGUAUACACAUAUUUAAUGUUAAAUUUUCAUAUUUUAAUAAAAAAAAUGGUAGAAUUAAUAAGAGGUAUAUUUAGAGAAGAAAAAAAUAGUAAGAAAUGCAUCUAAAAAUUUGAGAUGAUCUCAUAUUCAGAGUAAAAAGACUUUUUUUUUAAUUAUCGUCAUAUAAUUAGUGACCAAGGGAGUUUUUGUUUUUGUUUUUGUUUUUGAUAAGAACGAAAGGAGUAUAAUCUUACAAUUUUAAGGAGUAAUUUAAUUUGUGUAUUUUUAUUCUUUUUGCAUUUUUUUCAAAUCCAUUUGGUAGUAUAUUUGAUUUCAAUGAUCGACCUAAAGAAAAGGAUAAUGCAUGACAUGAAAUAGCAAUAAAUGAGUGAAAAAUUGAAAACCACUCAUUUUUGGCACGACAUAGACAUGCAAAAAGACAAAUUAAAGAGAGAAAAGGCCAUGGAAUAUUGCUUUGCGUAUCAGCAACAACCAUUUCCAAUAUAUGAGGUGUACAACUUUUUCUUUUCUUUCUAUUGCCUUCUUUAAAUUCCUUUUUCAUCUUUGUUCUCUCGCCGCCGUAUUCAACUCAUCUCUCCAAAGCCCAAUCCUGCUACCCUCCUUUCUUGUUUUGUCCAGAUGUAGAUGGCGGUGGUUGGCGAUGCGACAAUGGUGGUGGGUAUGCCAUCCGAAUCGCAGCUCUCCCCUGUUCUCUCGACGGUGGUUCGUCGGUGGUACAGGUUUUAGGCGCGGUUUAUUCUGGUCCAUCGGUAGCGCCGACGAUUUGGGUUCAUUCGAAUCGUGCCACAGUGACUAGGUUUGAGGUUCUGUCAUACAUCUAUUCGGUUUGGAAGGUUGCUGCAGAUUUGGGUUUGUCCCUUUGCAGGUUCGGUUUCUCUGUUCUCUACAGGUUUUCACGAUUCAGUUUUGCAUCUACUGCGUCAAAGGAUUGGACUGCUUUGGGUUGUUGCCGUUUUUAAAAAAAUCUGAUUCGGUCUCGUGAUCGAUUUUGGAUUGUGGGGCUAGAAAUGGUCGUGAAUUUGUGUGCUUUGUCACAGUAAAUUGUGGAUGUGCGAUAUUUGUCACCGUGUUGGCGGUCGAGUUCAUAUGUCAUCCUUAAUGUGCCUCGGUUGUGUUUGUAUGUUCGCUUGAUGUGGGCCAGAAAUGGCUAAUUAAUCAGUUGAUCAGUUGGUGCGCGUGAAUUCGUUAAUUACCGUGUUGGCGGUCGAAUCCACCCCCAUUUUCAAGCAUUUGUCUGUGGUAUUGUAUGGACUCGAAAGAGUCAUCAAUGCUUGCUAGGGGUGUUCGUGGGUGGUUUGGGUUGGGUUUGGCCAAACCCAAAACCAAACCAAAUAGGCUACUCCGGUUUGGGUGAGGUAAAAUAACCACUCGUUAUACUAUUGGGUGGGUUUGGACAAAUCCACUAAUUUUUGGGUUGGGUUAGAUUGGGUAAUGGGUUACCCGACUUAUUUUUCUAUUUUUUUAAUAUUAAAUGACUAAAUGAUAAGUCCUCGUAAUUUUGUUUUAAAAUAGUACUCUACUUUUUAAUUUUUUUAAAGAAAAUGUUAACUUAUUUUACUAUAAUUGUAUGCAUCAUAAUAUCAAAUAAUAAACUCCAUCAUAAAAUUCUGGCAGCAAACUAAAUUGCAUGACAUAAAAUUGCAUUAGUAUCAAAAUAACUAAAAAGUGCAACAUAUUAAUGUGCAACUUUAGUAUGUUUUGAUUUUCAAUAUAUAGGGUACAAUGUGUAUGUUUUGGAAAUAUAACUUUCUUAUAUCCUAUGAAAAUAAAGAUAAAAAAUAUUAACAUUAUUGGGUAUGUGGGUUUUAUGGGAUUGGGUCUGGUUUUAUCCGAAACCCAUUUAUUUUUAUGGGUUUUCCAUUUUUUGAAACCACACCCACCUAAUUACCCAACCCAACCCAUUUUUUUGGGUUUUUUGGGUGGGUUUGACCGGAUUUUCUGGGUUGACCCAACCCAUGAAUACCCCUAAUGCUUGCUGUCUUUGUUGCAGGGAGUUGAUGGUACGUGAUCCGAUUUCGUGUUGACGAUCGGUUCAUUCGUCAAACUUUAGACCCGAGCUCAAUUGUUAGAAAUCUUUAAGGUUGGAUCCACUUUGUGGAUUUUUUAUUUUUUAUUUUUUGGUUUUGCCCGUUAGGGUUGUUUACUGGGUCAGGUUUUAUGUCCCCAAAUUUUUCCUGUAAUUUUUUCCUUUUUUUAAUAAUAUAUAUGAGCAAUUGACAACAGAUUAGAGUAGGGUUUCAACUUAGUUGGACACUAUUCUUUUUUAUGUCAUUUUACUCUUGGCCUAUAAAAAAAAAAUAAAAAUCCUUUUUCAUCUUUGAGUUUUUGGCACUAAAAUGAUAUUAAAGUACAAAUUCAUGUCAACAGAACAAUUCCAUGUCAUCCUUUGCAAUUGUUUGAAGAAUGAGAAUUGUUAAAGUGGCAAAUUACGGUUGGAACUACCAGGUAGACACCAUAUUGAGUAACCACCAAUUACCAAUGUAUAUGUUAGAACAUGAUUGUCUCCACCACCACAAGGUGGUUCAUUAAAAAAAGAAAAUUCUUCAUUAUUCAUUAAUGAAUAACAAACUUGACAUAACACUAGCUAGCAAUAACAAAUGCUUGAAAUUUUCCUGAAAAUAAAAAGCUUUAACAAGUUAGCAUUUCUUUAAAAUUGUUCAUGUAGUAGUUACUUUUUUUUUUAGUCAUUGGGAGAGCGGAGCAACAUAUGACCAAUCCAACAUGUUUAUAGGUCCAAGAGUUUCCAACCGCAACACUAUCUUGUCUUUUUGAGUUCUUAAAUACAAUAGAUAUAGACCAAUGCUACCUUGUUACUCCUAGUAUAUUGCCCUCCCAUCUCCUAGUUUAUGACUUUCUUAGUUAGCCUAGCAAGAAAUUACUUUGUCAUCAUGUAGAUGUGAAACUUAAACAUCAAGUCAUAUUUUAGAAAUCUUAUUAAAAACCACAUAUUUCAUACUCCUUUUAAUUAGAAGCAAGUGAUAUUUUCUAUUGAAUAAUGUUGUUUGAACAUCUAUUUGCCUGACAACCAAAUAGACAACCAUGUUUUUACAAAGAAAAGUAUGGAUUGACAUGAAAAUCAAAGUAAUAUAAAAAGAAAAUAAAAAUAUAAUGUAAAUAUGAAAGAGAAAGUUUCACAAAAAUUAUAGAAAAUGGUUGUAUAAAUAUCAUUUUUCUUUCCUAUUUCAGUCUUUUGAAGCUAUAUGCAGCAAAACUACAACUACUUUUUUCUUUACCCUCACGUCUUACAAAUGACUUUAUUAGCAUUUGUCGUAGAAAAUUGCUUUAAAUUUAAACAUAACAAUGCAAGUCAAGUAUCAAUUGAAAAUCACUGUUAGAAGGAUAUUUAGAAAAAGUUAAAUAUAUCUAGUAAAAACAGCCAAUUAAAUUGAAUAACCCUACAUUCCUGUCUGAACUUGUAUUAAUUAGCCAGGUACGAUUCACAUUUACAAGUCCUAACUUUUAAAUUGUACAGUCGAUACUUGACAAUGACAUGAAGUCAAAUUAUGUAACAUUUGUCAUUUGAUUUGUUGUGAUGAAUGGUGAUAGAAGCACUAUUUGGAAAGCACAUUACCCAUUUUUGUGUCGAGUAAAUAGUCAAUUUCCCUCCUGAUAUUGUAAGUUUCAUCAAUUACCCCCCUGAAAUUAAUAAAACUUCAAUUACUCCCCUGAAAUUUUACAACGUUAGUCAAUUUACCCCCUCCGUCAAAUUUUUCUGUUAGUGAACAUGACGUUUUGCAAAUACCCCCAUGAAGUUUUGCACUUAUGUGCAAAAUGCCCCCCAAACUUAGAAUUUAUAUUAUUUUUUUCUUUCUUAAAAACAAACAAUUAAUAGUUAAAUAUUAAAACUAACUAUUAAUUUUAGAAUUUGGGAAAACUACAUGCAUAUAUACAUCAAAAUAGACUCCAAAAUGGGGAAAAAUAUGUAUUUUUUAAAGUGACAAUAAUGGGAUGAUUUGUGGAUUAAUAUUGGGGGUUGUGUAGUUUAAAUGGUUUUAGCAAAUUGUUGAAGGAGUUGGAGGAGUUAAAAGACUAAGAUGGUGAAAGAGAAAAUAUAAAUUUAAAUCUGAUUAUUAAUUUGUUUAUAAACCUCUAAAAAUAAUAAUUUGUCUAUUAGAAAUAACCAUUAUUGUCACUUUAAAAAUACACAUUUUACACUAUUUUGAUGUAUAUAUGUAUGUAGUUUUUCCAAACUCCAAAAUUAAUAGUUAGCUUUAAUAUUUAACUAUUAAUUGUUUGUUUUUAAGAAAAAAUAAUAUAAAUUUUUAAGUUUGAGGGGCAUUUUGCACAUAAGUGCAAAACUUCAGGGGGUAUUUGCAAAACGUCAUGUUCACUAACAGAAAAAUUUGACGGAGGGAGUAAAUUGACUAACGUUGUGAAAUUUCAGGGGGAUAAUUGAAAUUUUGUUAAUAUCAGGAGGGUAAUUGAUGAAACUUACAAUUUCAAGGAGGAAAUUGACUAUUUACUUUUUUGUGUCCCCUCCUCUACAUGUGAGUUAUACCCUAUUUCUUGUAUCAAUUAAUCUUGCUCUGAACACUGCAUGUGCUUUUUGGACAUAGAAGAUGAGCUGUUUUGCACCAAAAGUGGUCCUCCCUUGGCAUAUUAUUAUCCAUUAAUGAGAAAACUGGCAAAUCUAAUUUACUUCUCUCCUCGUGCAUAAACAACCACUACAGUUAAUGAAACACAUUUUCAAAUAUCUUUGCAACCUUCAAAUUUGACUUGAAUUUAAUAUAACUAAUACUACUAUAUGAUUUGAAUGGAAUCCUACGCAUCCUUACAAAUCUUACUUAAAUUGAGUCUCUUUGUUUUCAAUAUAGAUUGAUUGCUCUAUACAUGUUUUUACUUUUACUUUGACUCAAAAACAAAAAUGUUCUAAAGAUUCAAAGCUAACCUUCAAAUCAAACAUUUUCAAUUCAAGAAAGUUAACGAGUUAAGGAACAUUGAAAGAGUUUAUAGCAUCAGGUCCUAAGUUCAAAUCCAGAAACUUACAUAUAUAACCCUUAAUUUCUUAACAAAAUUGAUAAGUUCAGGUCUUCCAAUCAAACACAGGCACCAUGUUUGCCAAUAUUGAUUUUUUUAUGCUUUGUAUGUCAAUGGAAUGAAAAUUUCUACUCUCAAGCUUGAAAUAUAACAACUACCAUAAUUUUUUUAAUGACAAAUAUUAAUAUGUUAACAAUUUUCAUUUUUCCUUUACCAAUAUAUACACAAAUUGUUACAUGUAUGAAUUUGUCGUGUUGAAAAACAGAACAGCAGAGUAGCACAUGAACGAUGUUCCCAAUUUUCGAACGUUGAGCCUGUCACCCACACACUGAGAUUCUUUGAAUUGAAUAAUUAACAACAACUAAUUAUUAUUAAUAUUAUUAUAUUAUAUGCUUGAAACUUGAAAUUUUAUAUAUACAACUUAACAGAGAAAGCAACAGAAUGCAAAUAAAAAAAAGUAGUGGCAAUCUAAUUGAAACCCCAAAAUUAUUAAAAAUAAUAAUCAAGGGAAAAAAGGGGGAAAAGCUUUAAAUCCAGAAAAUAAAUAGAAACUGAAACACACACAGGGUAACAUAACAUAAACCCUAGCGUGAAAAAUAGGUAAAAAACUUUUCCCACAAGGCAAAGAUACAACGUUAGAAACUAUAUCAAAUCAUUUUCAACAUCAUAUCAUAACCUAAGUGGCACCAAAGGAGCAUGUUCAUGGCAGAAAGGAGCAGCGGGAUGCUGCCAGUUUUUGAACGUGACGAUGACUUUCUCCGGCUCGGCGGUGACUCCUUGAGACGGUCUUGUAUCCGGCAGUUGAGGUGGUGGAGAAGAUGAUAAGGGAGAUAAGAGAGGGAUGGCGACGUUCCAUUGGAUGGAGCGGUUGAUUUGUAAGGAAGAUGGAGCACGUUUUUGUAAACGGCUUGGUUUUUGAAGGGUGGUGGUGGUGGUGUUUCUGUUUGGAUCUGCCAUAUAUAAAAGAGAGAGAUGAUUAGGUUAAAGUUGAAAGAAAUAAAGAAGAUGAAUGAAGAGUGGUUGAUUGGUUUUAUUAUAUAUAUAAAAAAGUGGGGUGGGGGUGUGAGAUGCACACGUUUGGAUUCGGAAACAGAAAGAAAGGAUCAAGUCAGGUCAUCCACUUAUUAUUCAAACAAACAUGGAUGGCUCCACCUAUCUGUUUCUCUCUGUCUUACACCUCGACUUGCCUGCCUAUUCUUCAAAUCUUUUACAGUAAAUCUAUUCCAAACAAGUUAUAAUAACUUCUAAAAGUGAUUGUUUUAUUUUUAAAAUGUAAUUUAUAUGUAAGAAACAUAAUUAAUUUCAAGACAAUUGUUAUUUUUUUUAGAAUUACUUAUUUUUUUCUACAAUAUUCCAACUGUUUAUUAUCUCAUUUCACAUCAUCGACUCUAUAGAUCUAUAAUAAAUUUCAAUCAUCCUCUCUAUAGAUUUAUAAUAAAUAUUUAAGAAUAUUAUUAACAAACAAUAAUUAAUAUUGCAUUGAACAUUGUAAAUAAUAAAUAAAUAAAUAAUUAUUUUCUCUAUGGAGUAACAAGUAAUAAAUAACGAAUGCAAUAUAUCUUACAUACAAUAUAUUUUUCUUUUUGUUAUUUUGGUUUAGAAUUAAAGAUAGAACAUGUUUAACGGAGUAGAGACCCUCUUCCAUUCUUAAAAGUAAUAGACAUCUCCAUUACAAUAAUCUUAAUAUACAAAUUUUAAUUAAUGUCAUCAAUUUUAAAAAUACAUCUUCAAAAUUUUAGAAAUAAACACUACUCCCUCCAUCCCAUUUUAAAUGACCUAAUUUAAAAAUAUGUAAUGACAUAUAAUUUGUUUUGAUCCUAUUUUUCUACUAAUAUAUAAAGACAAAAUAUAACAUAUAAGAUGAUGUUGGAUUCUUCUCGAUGAAUAUUUUCAAAAUAUCAAAUUUUUCUAUUAGAUUUUUAAAGAUAUUUAAGUUCAAAAUUGUGUAUUAACAUACAUGUCAGAGUCAACUAGGUCACGUAAUAUGUGACCGUUAGAGCAUCAUUUAUUUUAGGAAAAGAUGAUAUGUACUUUGUUUGGUGAGCCAAAGUCAAAUAUGAUUAGUAGGGAUGACAAUUGAACCUAGGCCCAAUGAAUACCUGCAUAAAAUACCCACAAUGGGUAGGGUAAAACUCCGCUAUCAUGGGUCUGGGGACGGGUCCAGGUAAUACCCACGAAUUUAAAUGGAUAUAGGCACGGGUAAGGGUACUAUACUGCCCAGCCCCGCAACCCCGCAUAUACAUAUUUAUUUAAUAUCAUAAGUAAUUUAUUUUUCUUAGUGUAUAAUUAAAUAAUUUAUUUAGCUAUUUAAGCCUAAACUAAAACCUAAACCAGAAAAUUGCUUAAUACAAUAACAACUCCAUCUUGCCGGGGUACAAUUUUUAAGAGAUAUUUUGGAUGUUUUUAAUUUGACUAAAUACCACGAUUCAUAUUAUUUUAUGAGUUAAUUUUAAAAGAUGUAAACCAUAGUUUUAUUUCAAUUGUGAUAUUUUUAUUGUCUUUUCAUAGUUAAAGUGCGGGUAAUGAGUGCGGGUAUGAGCACUUAGGUACCCAUAAAGUAUGAGGAAGGGCACUAAAAUUAUUGCCCAAAAGGAUACGGACACGGAUAAUUUUUACAAAUAUAAAUAUGGGGAUGGACAUUGUAAUACACUUAUUAGGUACCCAUUGUCAUGCCUGAUUGGUUUUGCAAGUGAUCGUUAUAUUGCAAAUUGUAGCAAAAAGUGGUCAAAGGUUGAAUGAUUAUAAUAGUAGUAUCAUUUCUCUAAUAUUGUGUGAUUAAGAUAUGAGGGACCCUAUAGAUAGCACAAAGUGGAUCAUGAUGCGUCUUUCUUUGUCUUGUUUUGACGUUUUUCUAUUAUUUUCACGUAAUAAUCAAACUUACUGGGUCCUCCUUCUCCAUCCAUGCCUAGUCGGUUUUCUGUCACAUUCACCAUAACAAAUUCUUAUGUUUGAUUGCAUUAUAUUAUUUAAAUUCUACCACCCAUAAUUAAUAUGUGACUCAAGUUUUUUUUAUACUAAUGUUUACGUGAAUUUAUGGUCACAAUUUUUUUUACUAAUCCACCACUCACAAAUCUCUUUGAAUCCCACGACUCAGGUGUGGUUACGUGGUCAAGUAUAAAACCAGCACUCACAAUACCAACGUGUGAUCCAGAUCGUUUGCAAUUAAAAUAAGGCUUACUAUACAUUUUCAUACCUACAAGAUUGACAAGAUCUAUUUUUAUUUUUAAAUGAUGAUUUAUAUGAUUUUACAAUAGGCUUUGUCAUUAACUAUAUGGAAGAAUUUGAUGCAACUAUAAUUGCUAAAAAAUUACAAAUGAAAACCAGAGAAAGAUUAAAAAAAAAAUUAGACGGUGGGAGUAGCCCAACAAAAUCAGACAUUGAACAUAACACAUGAACCAUAGUCUACUCUUUUAUUUUUAUUUUUUUACAAGAACCUUAGUCUAAUUUCCUCCCUUUAAUUUUGAAAGUUACAGUAAAAAUAAGGUAGCCUUUGAAUACUUUUUAACUAAAAAACAAUCAAACCUAUAAAGUAGUAUGAUAACCAAAAUGCAUAACAUUUGACAGCUUAAGUUAGUACAACUGUAGGAUGACCAAUAUGAAAGCAAAGUAGAAUGAAUAGUGGAAGCUGGGAACCCACCCAUACUCUUUUAGACAAAAACUAUAAAGAGUAAGACUUUAACAUUUUUUCGCAGUUCAAUUUAGUUUUUUACAAAAAAUAAUAUUCAAAUUAAUCUCUAACAUUUAUAUGCGAAAAACAAAUUAAUCAUCCACUUAUUACAACAGAUGAGCUAGUUUGUCUCCCAAUUUAAAAAUUAUUUUUUAUCAGAAACUAAAUUGGAUCGCGAGAAAAAUCAUGAAAAACUAAAUUGAGUUUUCACUCGACUAUAAACAAAAAGGAAAUAAUGGAUGUAUUCCUUCAAAUUAUGCUUCACUGUCCGACAAAGAUGAGAAAACCACAUGGAGGAUAUUUGACCAAUCUAAGUCAGUCUAGAAUACUAUGAUGUCUGCUCCAUAACAGUUGUUUCUUUAGUCUGAUUUUUGAAAAUUGCAUUAGAUGAAAGUUCUAGACAGUGCAUUAGAUGGAAGUAAAUUAAAAUAGUCUAGUACAACAUUGUCUAACUUAGCCAGGUGCAAUGCUUUAUUGUGCAUGAUAAAGGAAGUUGCUAUAAAUCAAUCAAUUAAGCAGCAUAUGAAGGAAUGGUCGGAGUGAAUUUAUAUAGGCUUCUUUGAAGUGAAGGUAAAAUACUACUGAAAAGUGUACUCUAUCACAUAUUAUAAGUCCCACAUCGAUAAGGUGGAGUGGAGGGAGUACAAUUGCUUCAUAUAAAUACACUAGAGAGCUGGUAGAGCAAAUUAAAAAGGGUCAGUUGGCUAAAUAUGCCACGCUCAUCAUGAUGAUGAGUGCUGUAUGGCUAUCAAGACAUAUGGCUGACAUAAUUUUUGUAAAUCAAUAGGGUUGGUUCGUUUAGCCGACCCUCCAUCUUAGUUUUAAAAUUUUGUUUAUCAUAAUUUUUAAAUAAGUUUUUGGGUCUGCGACUAUUUUUAAAUAUUUCAGAUUAUGUGAUUUAAUAAGAGCAACAAUUUAAAUCUCUCUACUUUUUUAAUAAUACUCUACAAGAAAAAGUUGACUUUUUAGGUUCAUAGAAUAAUUAAUGUAUUUUAUUGUUAAUAUAGACUAGAUAAUAAGGACCGGAGGGAGUAGCUUGUAUGCUCACCACACCAGGAGUGUUUGAUUCACGUGGGCAAGCAAGAAAGCAUAAACAGUUUAAAAACCUAUCACAAGUGAAAUUCUUUUUUACCAUCUAAACUCAUCAGAAAUAGAGUCAAGUCUUUUUUGCUUUACGAAAAAAAAAAUCAAUUUUGUGAUGAAAAAGCAAUUAAAUCUCUUUGUUGAAAUCCGUUAAUUGAUUUUGGGGUAAAAAGUGAUUAAAUUUUAAGUAGUUUUUAUGAGCUUCAUCAUCAACAAAAAUCCCAAAUUGAAGGAAGUCCGGAAAAGAAAUUCCAAAAAUAAAAACUUCAAUAUUUUUUUAUCAUCAUCCAAUGGGAUUGGUCCCUUUGGGAAUUUUUUUUUUUUUUGGAAUUUUAUUUUCAGUAAAAAUUAAUUAAAAAAAGGUAAUUUGUUGAUUUGAACUUGUCAAGUAAGCACUUUUUAACCGAGUUGGAUUGAAAAGGAUAACAAUGCAAACAUUUUAUAAUUUAGAAGAUCAAUUUGUUACAAAAAUAUUUAAAGGAUUAAUUAGUUACAAACAUCUAAUUUAAAUAACCGCCGCUUGAUGUAUUUGGCUUAAAAUUUAUGGAAAAAAAAUAAUAAUAAUAAAACUAAUGAGUCAACAUGUGAAUUUUCACAAAUUGAAUAUUUCCACAAUUAAUCUUUCUAGUUUCAAGGUGCUUUUAGAGUACAGAAACUAUAACUAUAACUUUAAAAAAAAAAAAAAACUGUCUAAACUCAUUUGAAUUGACUUUAUCAUGUGACACACCAAACAAAGACAAGUAACAAAGGAUUAUGUAACUUUAAUCCAUUAAUUUAUAGGUGUUUCAAACUUGAUAAUGUAUCACAGACCUUCCAGAAUUCAUGUAAUACAUAGCUUGAGCUUGAAGAUGAUAAAAAUCCUUGUAUUUUAAUUUAUUUCCAAUGUGAACCCCAGUUUGAAUUGAGUCCUACCGAUUUAUUAAUGCAUCCCUACCUAAAUCAAGUACUCCAAGAAUCUGCAAACACAAUGUCUUCAAGAGGUUAUGAAUUAUCCGUAAAAAAAAAAAGAGGUUAUGAAUUAAGAAAGUCCCACAUCGAAUAGGUAAAGUAAAAAGAACGCCAAGUAUUUCUUAUAAAUAUAAUAGGUAAGAAUUUUGAAUAAUUAGAUAGGGUGAGUUGGCUAAUUAUGCCACGCUCAUCCUCGUUGGUGAGUGCUAUAUGGCUAUCUAGACAUAUGGCUGAUUAUUCUCACAAAAGUUAAAAUAUAAAAAUAAAAAAAAAUAAGGAAAAAUAAAAAUAAGAUUAAAAUAGAGAGGAAGUACAGGAUUGGUGGGGCAUGGACCUGACCGUAAAUCACAGAAACAACCCUAAAGGGUAUAAAGCAAAACUCCAAAUACCAACUACCACGGACAGUUCGGCGCACCCACGCGUGGAUGCGAAACCGAAUUGCAAAAAACACAUAGAGCUAGUGUUUAGAGCAUCUAGAUAGGCGUAUGAAUCAUCUACCUACACAGAAACGAUCCAAGUUCCAACAACUCCCUAAAUAUCAAAUAUUUUUAGUAGAAUAGUAAUAAAGUUUAUGGAACACAAAUGAAUUAAUGUAACUUGAGAAAGUUACUCUGAUUCCAAUUAUAAGAAAAUAGUAUAGACCAGAUGAGCCUAAAAAGUCUAAAAUUUCUUAUAAUAAGGACCGGAGUGGGGGUAUUAAUUUAUAUUUUAAAAUACAUGAGCCAACAUGUGAAUUUUCAAAUAUUUCCACAAUCAAUCUUUCCGGUUCCCAGGUGAUUUUGAUGUACAUAAAAUAUAAUCAACUACAUAAAAAAAAAACUGUAAACUCGUUUGAAUUUACUUUAUCAUGAGACACACCAAAACUUCAAUCCAUGAAAUUAGUAGUAGUAGUAAUAAAUUUGAAACUUUAAGAUGUAUGACAAACCUUCAAGAAUUCAUGUAACACAUAGCUUGAGCUUGAAGAUAAUAAGAAUCCUUGUAUUUUCUGUUACUUCCAACGUGAAUCCCACUUUGAAUCCAGUCUUCCCGAUUUAUCCAUGCAUCCCUGCCUACAUCAAUUACUCCAAGAAUCUGCAAACACAUUACAGGUACUUUAAGAUGUUGAGAAUUUAAAAGUUAUUCAUAAAACUAUUUAAUAACCAAGGAGAAGAAGAAGUUAAUGAAGAAGUGAAGCAUGAUGAUCAUAUGUACUCAACAUACCGCCCCGCCUUUCCAUGACACAAAUGUCGGAUUUGCCCUUGAUUGUAUCACCUAAGAGCAAAGAAAAGAACAUAUUACAUCAAAAUAAGAGACAAGACAUAAUAAACAAAGCACAGUACAAAAAAUAAGAACAGUAAAAAAUUAAAAUACUAGAGCAGUUGCUUCAUUUGGACUAACCUCCACUGUAUCAAUUGCUUCAUUUGAAGGAAUAGCAUGUAAAACUCUGUUGUAAAAAGAUAAAAAAGAUUCAUCCACCAGUUAAACUUGAAAAAGUAAUCAACGAAAUCAUUGAUAAUGCUAGGUAAAUCUACCAAAGUCGAAGGAAAUUGAAACAAACCUUUCUUCAACUGCAGGAACUAAACCAUUUGUCAAAGCCACGCCGCCAGUCUAUUCCAGAUAAAAUGUGUCACUUUCUUUCGAUCAACAUGCAAUAUAAUGAACUUCAAAAUGCUGAGCUCAAAGUGUAAAACUCACCAAUUGUAUGCUACAAAAUAAUUUUCUUUGCAUGUCUAUGCGACCUGUGAAAAUAAGCACCAAAGAGCUAAACAAGGCUUGAACUCUGUAUAAAAUGGAGGAAUAUAAUAUAAAAUAAGUUACCAGUUGAGAGAAUGCAGUUGGUAAUAGCCUCUGCAAGGCCAAGAUUUUCUUCUUUUUUCGGCUUAGUUGAAAAAGGUGGAUAACUUUCCCACAUGGGCAUUCCUCCAUUAACGUUGGGAUAGAAAGUGUCGGACAUGUCAGACCUUCGGGAAAAAUCAAUUUGCCAUGUAUCUUCUAGCAUAUCCUCAUGGUCAUUAAACCUAGCAAGGGAAACGACCAGGGUUGUGUAAACGCAAAAUUGUUCACAAACAUGGUCACAGGCUGAUAGCACAGAGAGAAAAAUUUAUGAAUGCACUAACCAAGUCCGUGGUGGAGGAGGAUACACAUCAGGAACAAAAAACAUUGGAUAGAACAAUCCCAUAGGAGGAACCUAUGCAAUAGUAUUUGUCAUUAUUUAAACAGCAUUAUCUACUGGCAAAAUGUGAGGGCAAAUGAAGAAAGAAUACUACAGAGAGCACAUACAUUAAGAGCAGUAAGUCUUGUCUUGUGAGAUCCUGGCAGCACUUUGUCCUCAUAGGAAUGAACUACUGCAACAGCAUCAAGUUGCCCCUCCUAUAGAUAAGAUACUAGAUAAUUUAAAUUGAACUCAAGUUUGGAAUCAAGUUAAAUUUAGAGUAUCACUAGUCGUACAUGAUUUGAUGCCUUUUUUUUUUUGUAAAAAUUCAUCAGACACAUGUUCAAUUUCAAUGUUAUGGGUUAUUUUUAAUCAAAAUAUAAUUUAUUUUCUAAAGACUACAAUGUGGCAAAUACACAAUGGCAAAGUGGCGUGACAGAUUUUUCGACAACUGCUAUGGCCAAUUUGUGAAGAUCCAUUGGCCACUAUAGCAUGUUUAUACUUUAUAUAGAGAAUUUUCGGCCUUCCGCCAUUGACAUUACUGCAAAUGCAUGCAGCCAUGCACGACUCCAACUAAUAGAUAACGAAGCCGAGAGAGAAAUGAGUGCGAAAAAAAAAGAGAUAAUAGCUUUAGGCAGUCAAACAACCCUUGUGAUGUAAACUCAUGCUAUAAAUAGCUUCUCUGGUGUUUUUUCAACUCUGAUUCGAUAUUAGCAGUAUUCUCUCAUUUCUCCCAACUCUCUGUUUUCUCUCAACUAAGAAUUAUUAAAAUGGCUUCUCUUGCGAGUUAAUAAAGUGGUAAUUUGGGAAAUGAGAUAAAGUUGUAGAACUCACUCUGAUUUCACAAUAUGACUCUUUGAGUUGAUUUAACAUUAACAGAUCGAUUGGCUUUGUCAGCAUAUCUGUUCGAAUUUGUGGCCAGGUCUGGUGAUGUCUUUGUGUAUAGAGAAGGCUCCUUGAUAUAUCCUGAAAAUAUGAAGUUAUUAUUUGGAAAUUACAUAAAAUAUUACCACAAACACAAAAUUUGGAAUACAAAAUAUAAGACCACACGUGCAACACUUAAAAAAUCAGCACAUUAGAUACAAAAUGGCAACAUAUUUCAUACUUGAUAAACACACUUUUUAAUUAAAUAAGCACGGGAUUGAGAAGGAGUGUUCUAAAUAUUUUUAACUGAUGGAGUUUUGUAAGUUGUAAGUGGCUCAUCGACAAAGUAUCAAGGUUUGGUGUCAACAAAUAUGUCUCCAUACAUCCAAUUUUUCACUCUUAAUCCAAUUGUUCAAUUUGUUUUCAGUAUUUAGGUUUUCUUGGAACGCUAGGGCUACAAGGGUUUUGUGUUCAAUUUGUUUUCAUUCAUAAAAUUAAUACAAAUGAUUUGUUAUAGACUCAUAGACAUCAAAAAGCUUUAUGUGUGCUACGUGUGGUGGUUGGUCAGAAUAGUUUGUUUUUUAAACUUAUAAUGUUAUUUCCUUAUGAAAUACAGUGUUCAUCCUUUUUGGUGAAUGUUGGGUGUAAGAUUGGUCCUUGGAUCAACUUUUGCUGACUACCCAUGAUGGAUUUAGUAAAAGUAAAGAGGCUAAACUUUUAUGACAAAGUGCAAUCUAGGUUAUUAUUUGAUUUGAUGCAUUUAGUUAGAACAUAAAGGUCAUUUAAGGAGAUUUCUUUAGCUCAGCAGCUGAUACAGUAUAAAAUUAGGCAUUUGGUUCUCUUUGUUGUAAAACACAAAAUCUCAAUAAGGGGAUCUCCCUAAGUUCAGAUUCUUCAGGUUUAUAACUCAUAAUAGAGAGAAACCAAGAGAAAUUGAAAGAAUCCGAAGUGUGAAAAUGUUAACUGAGAAAUUACAGUUAUCAGUAACAGAAUUCUAUUAUUAGAGAGGCGGCUAGUCUGCGCCCCUUAGAAGGGCUGAAUAGAUGGCUCAGGGCCCAAACACACAGUAAAGACAAAUGAAUACAGAGGAUAUUCCUAAUACCUAACAGAUAUCCCGGGGUCUUGGUAAGCUUUAUUUCAUAUUUGUUUUCCUUUUUCUUUUGAUGUUUGUGUUUUCCUUUGUCAAGGAGAACUCCUCAUCCUCCGAAUUCAGUUAGGUUUUCUUCUCUUUGCCAUAAUGAAAUGAUUUUUCAACUUAAUAACACUUUUAAUCCCUAUAGUUUUAAUUAAGUGUGAUCUUUGUCAGUCAUGUUUUUUCGUUUUUGGGCCAAUCAAAUCCCUCUCUUUUUUAUAAUAGUUAAGUAAAGUUAGUCCUGCUGUCAAUUUUUUUUUUUUUUUUGAGGGAACCUGCGGCCAAUUACUUUUUACCUAGAAUGCUUAAAUUUUCAUUUUCAAUCCAAAUAUUUGGGAUUUAUAAUUGAUUUGAGAUAUGCAAUAAUUUUAGAGGUUUGGAUGUCAGAAAAUUACUUGAAGUUUGAUAAACUUUAAAAGAUUAUGUAGGAUGGGAGAUACGAGUUUUAAGAGGAGAAAUUUUGGAUUUUUUUAAGUGAAAUUUGAUUGUUUGAUUGAAUUUUUUUUCACUUCAUCUCAAUAAACUUGGUUUAUGAAGAGAAGAGACAAUUUCAUUGGUUUACAUACGUCGCAUAUGUGAAAGCAAAAUAAUGAAGUUUCUAAAUAAUAUAAAGAAAAGAUUGGUCAAAUAAAAUAACAAAUAAUGUAUCAAACAUGUUAGCAAUCGAUCAUAUACAUCUUAAAAAUUCAUGACUAUCUCAAAACACCAGUAACUUGUCCAAUAUUUAGAGUACCUCACCACCAAAAGUUAGAGUUUUUGCAGUUGAAGGCAUAGUAGCUCCCUCCUAAACAGCAAAAGAAGCAGUUAACUACCAAAUACUUAGCCAGCUUUUAUUUUUCAAUCUAUCUGAACUAUCAUCAAGCAUUGAGAGAAUCAAAUUGAUAGAUAAUUCGAGGCACAGCCUAAUAUACUCGAAGAUGGUGAAUGUAUGUAGCCAGUAAAUGUAAAUUUCCAUAGAAACUAAGAUGGAAAAACUAUAUUCAGAAUAAUAACACUAGUGUCAAAGCCAUAGUAAAUAGAAACUGUUUCACCAUAAAAGUUGUUUUCCCUGAAGUGACGAAGUAAACCCAAUCACUAUCAAGAAUCGAGACUCAUAACAACUUGGCUAAAGUCUCUCCUACCUACCAUGUCAGUAGCAACGAUUUCAAAGGUUUGAGCCAUUAGGUGAAAGCACAUGCAUGGCUUUGCAUCUCUAACAGAAAUGAACAAUACAAGAUGUUUCACAAAAGAUGAUGAUGAUGAUAAUCAAAGACACAGAAGUUUCAUUUACCUCUAUGCAUAUAAUUGAUGUCACCUGAGCACCAAUAUUCACUACACAUGCUGUUGAUAAUCCAUUUCCAAAAACCGCAGCAAGUCCUUCCUGAUCAAACAAUUCAAUUUGGACUGUCAAGCAUACAGUGGUGUUCAUGCCUACCAAAAAAGAAAUCCUACAUUCAUUAUAUAAACAUUUAGCAGCAAAUAGAAGGCCAUACCUGGUGCACCACCGCUGAGCCAAAGCAUAGUUCUUCCAGUACUAAAGAUAGAAUUUCCUUUAUUUCUGUUUGUGGCAUGGACAUAAAUUAACUAUACCAGAAGUGUGAAAUACAAAUUCAAAGGGAACUCCAACAGGAAAAACUAAAUGUGUAACAUUGGCUUUGAAGGAAUAAUGUUCAAAAUACCACGAUUAUCAAAUGUUUCUGGCAACACAAGAAUAGCUGAGUACAUGUUUCUUUCAUUGCGAGGAAUAUGCAGUUUCUCUAUUAAAAUCCAGUCCCAAAUAGCACGUAGAUCCUCAAACACCUGCAAAAUAGCCAAGCAAUAGUGAUGUAGAAUGAAAGCAAGAAAUAAUCAGAGGCACUCAAUUUUCAUGUCUGAGACGUAGCUUAUUAAACAACACAACAGACUCUAGAUUUCUGGGAAAUGUGACGCAAACUUUUCACUAGAGAAAGCCCAAUUCUAGAUAAUAAAACUAAAGUUACAAUUCAAUUUGGGAACCAAUAUCCAUUGACUCGAGCAACUAAACCAUAAACUCCCAAAUUAAUGACAACAAAUCCCUAAAUCACCAAAACAAACCCUAACUCCUAAUUCACAAUUACAUCAUAAAUUGGUCUAGUUUAUAAAUACCCUCAUCCAUUGCUGCACCAAAGCAAACCCUAACUCAUAGUUGUUCUCCAUAACGGAGGAAACUUAUUGUCAACUUUUGAAAUAGUGAAAUAAUAGAUGAAAUGAUGAAUAAAUGAAGCACGGCAUUUGACAACUAAUGUCAAAAAUAUAGGACACUGGGACACCUCACACACAUACACAGACACUAAAUUGAGAAUUAAGCUUCUAAAAUUAGAGUCUCAUUAGUAUAUUAAGACACAAUAAGUCUUUACAUAAUACAAUACAAAUAACUUACAUAUGUACAUCUCUAUAUGAAGCUUACAUAUCAUGUGAGUUGAGUAUCUAUGUUAGUUGCUAUGUUGUAUUCCUAUAUGUACAUCUCUAUAUCCAUGCAUACUACUCGGUAUGUAGCAUCUGCAUACACAUGCUUUAGUUAGUUAACAGUUAGAUAGUUAAAAUCAGCUACAGCAGUACAUGACUUUGUGUACUAUAUGAGGAUGAGUCUCAUUAAGUCAGUAAUUCAAUAGUACAGAUUAUUAGUUUUUGGUGAAAUCAGAAUUUCCCUUUUCUCUCAAACUUUCCCUAUUCUCGACUUCAACCCUAGCAUAUCUUUUAUAUUUAAAAUGAAUUAUUGUUAUGCAGCAUACAUAAGUAGUAAUAAUAAUUAGUUAUAGGAUGACUAUGCUUUGACAAUUGACAUUAAAUUAUGAUGCAAUGCAACAGCUAACUUAUAAGGCACAAUACAGAAUUCUCAAGAUACACUUAUCUAUAUUUUCUGCUCAUCAACUAACUUGAAUUGAUUACAUUUGGGUUAGGAAGUGACAUGUACCUGCUGCAUGGGAUAGUGUUGUGAAAUAUUCAAAUGUCCUCUGCGGAUUGGACGACAUAAACAAUACGGUUCAGUGGGGGAUAUUCUUAAUGCUUCCUCGCCACAAAUGAACUUUCUGAACUUUUGAUUGCUCGCACCAAUUUCCUUCAAAUCUGUACCUUCUUCUUUUGGGUUCAAAGACUCACUAGUCUCAGCUUUACUCGCAGUAUCUACAAAUGUCAAUUUAUAUAUGUAAGAUGUCCUAAUUCAUAUAAAAGUAACGGCAUUUCAAAUCGAAACACGAAGUAAUUUCAAAUAUUCGAGACAGUUAACAUCAAAUUUUAAAAAAAUUAAUCCGACUAACAACUUAAAGUGUAAUGACUACUGAGCUCAUGCAAGCCUUCAGCAACUUGUCAGACCAUGUUCUAACUUCAAGACAGGUAUACUAAAAAUAAAAUCAUCAUAGAAUGUUAAAAUCUGAGAUACCUACAUGCAAACUUCCAUGUGAGAACUUUUUUUUUUUUUAAUUCUUAAUUACCGUCUAAUAUUAGGUACUUGGUAAAACAGACUUGAGAUAUACCAAAUGCUAAGCUAGUUGACACAAACAUACCCAAAGCCACAGAUGGAACUGAAGAACACAGAAAAGUACUAGGUAAUAUGCAAAAAAAAAUACCAUUUACUCUUACCUAAUGCUGAAACUGAAGAUGAACUAGUGACCUCCUCGUAAACAUUAGUCCAAGUGAAGGGCGAAUCUUUCCUAUGUGGCAUGUGUCCAUCAACGCGCCCCAUCUGUGCAUUUAGUACAAUGGAAUUGACUAAUGAUCAGUUUUAUGAUAUUAUACUAAUCGUACCAAAAACACAACCUAAGUAUUUGACAGAAUUCUCCAAAUAUACAAAACUCGUAGUAUUCAUUGAAGGGCGUUGCUCUUGAGAGUAAAAGUGAUUUUUCAGAAAUCUUAGUAUUCAUACUUGUUAAACUGCUAUUAGAUUUACUACCAUUGAAUGAUCAGCUUAUGUAUUUUUAUAUACUGUUGGGAUUAAUGUUUACUGGUCAUCCUGCUAUCUGCUAUACCACUUUAGCGGUUUCAGGUUUGGGCACUCUAUCUUACUAUCCGAGAUAAACAACAUAGCUUAGAAUUCCAAAAAAGGGUCAAUCAAAUUACGACGGCAUAUCCUCCACGAAUGAUAUGUCUGUCAGCACGUUUGUGUUAUGUAGUUAAUUAAUUUCGUUAAGAUCAAAAUCUUCAACAUGGCAAGUACAACAAAUGUCACAUUAUUUGAAAUGCAGUCCCAAGCUUAAACAGUUCCAAAGAAAACCCCAGAAGGUCCAAACAUUAUAAAGUAUCAUAACAAACAUGAAAUCAACCAAAACUGAGGAGUUCACUUAAAGUGUAACAGAAAAGAAAUCAUAUACCUUACGAGGGAAAGAGUUACUGGAAGGUUCUUCAUCCAGAAAUGGUAUCUUCAACAGCGAUGCAAUCUUUUUUACACAAGAAAAAAGGGAAAAAGCCAAUAUCAGCAAAAUGUAGCAUAGAAGUAACAGUUCUGCAAUGUAUCAUAACUUACAACAUCAUAAGCCUUUUCCCUUUCCAUAUGCUGUGCAGUUGUAACUUGACUAUUGAGCAUCUAAACACAAACAAACAACAAUUGAAGUAAAACAUAUAUACCUCUAAAGGAACUGAAAACAACUGAAUAAAAAUAUAGUACGAUAAAAUAAUGAAGAUUUAAAUAUGAUUUUAGUCUCAGCAAAUUCAAAAAAUUGUUCUUUUAGUCCCUCAUGCCAUACAUGGUCCAAUAAAAUCACUGCCACAUGGCCCAAUAAGCUGACGUCCGAGACUAAAAUCAAUAGUUUUUGAAUUUGCAGGGACUGAACCCGAACAAAAAAACUUGCAGGGACUAAAACCAAACACACUAUAAUUGCAGUAACUAAAAUCAUAUUAAAACCAUAAAUUCACGAAAUAAAAUAAUUCAAAAACCUGAUCUCAGGGACUAAAACCAAAAACACUGUAAUUGCAGGAACUAAAAUCAUAUUAAAACCAUAAAUUAACGAAAUAAAAGGCUUAAAUAAGUAAAAGGUCCCUGUAAGUUGGCGCGUUUUUGGUUUUAGUCCCUGUAAGUUUUUUUCUUGCGAAACAGCCCUUGUAAUUACCAAACGUUUUGGAACUCGUCCCUGCCGUCAAGUUCCGUGAAAAAAAUGGUUUGCUGGCUAACGGACGCCUACGUGGCACAUGAUGGUAUGGCAACUGGUGCCAACUGGGUUAAGUAGAAGGACUAAAACCAAAAAAGAAUUUUUACACAAGGAUGUAAUAAAAAAAACAAAAAAAAAAAAUUUUAAAAUUUAAAAAAACUCUUUCCUUCUUCUUCAUCUCUUUGAUCUUUCAUUCUUCUUCUUCUUCUUCAAUCCUUCCAUAUCCAACUUUCAAUUGCAUGCGCCCUAAAACCCUUUUUCCUUCAACCAUGUCUUCUCAUUCCAUUUCUCAAUCAUCAUAUUAGGCAACUCAUCAAUUCCCUAAAACCCUAAAAUGCACCAACUUACAGGGCCCUUUUCCUUAUUUAAGCCAAAUUCAAAUUAUCAAUGUUGAAAAGUCACUACACACCCCAGAUGAUCAAAUAUUUGAUAAAUAAAGCAACGGUAUAAGCACCACAACUAAGUUCUCAAUAAACUUGUGGACAGCUGAAAUGAUUAACAAACAAUCAUCGGAAGAACCUUAAAUUCUUCAACAUGCCACACCUUUGAAAGGAAAACAAUGCCAUAUGGGUUCACUUUCACUAGGUUAAUUUAUGAAAAGGUAACAUAGCCUUGUACUUAUAUCAGAUAAAGAGGACUGCUAGCAACACUCUCUUUUGAGCACUUUCUCUAGCACUUACUCUUUUAUUGGUUGAAUUCAAUGUAGGACCUACACUUUGAAAAUGGAAUCCACAUAAAGUGGUGGGACAUACAAUGAUUUCACCCAAUAAAAGAGUGAGUGCUAGAGAGAGUGUUCAAAAGAGAGUGUUGUUAGCAUUCCUCAUCAGAUACAUUAGGCAUAAAUAUAACACUAAAAGGGAAACAUCACACAACAAUGAGGAAGAUCAUGAACAGACUUAUGCUGCAAACUAAUUUGCCAUUAUACAAAGAUCUAUGAGAAAUCAUGAACAAAACACAUAAUACACUAACCACACUAAAAUAGAAAACCAACGUUAUUUAAUUUUCAUAAUAUAACCGGUUGAACAAUUCCAAAUCAUCACAUCACAUGAUAAUCAUUUGCUUUCUUACUUCAUUCUUUAUCAUCUAGCAUCAAAUAAAGCAACACAUAUGCAUUCAAUCACACACACACACACACACACAUCUUUUUGUAUGUGCCAAAACAACACUCCUUGAAACUCCAAACCUUAUCAAACACCAACUACAAAGAACUCAAUAAUCUUGGUAAUGCAUAUCUCCAUAAUCAUCUCUGGCAGAAGUAAGAUCACUCUCAACCAUAUCCGCAAGACCACGCUCUUCAUACCUCACCCCUUCUUCCAGAGCAAGUCGACCCAGUGCCCCAACAGCAACACCAACAGCUAGUCCAGCUCCUAAGCCCAUUUUACUGCCUUUUGGCCCCGGAUCAAACGAGGAUGAAUAUUCAAGUGGCGCAGACGGUCCACUAGGCCCAACAGCAGCAUAACUUUCAAUACAUUCAAAGAAAUGGUGUGGCGACGGUGGUGGUGGGUAAGCACCACCGGGAUAAUAACCGGGAAAGUAAUUGCCACUAAAAUAGUUAUCAGAGUAAUUGGUGUAGUAAUUAUAAGGUGAAGGUGGUGGAGAAGGUGUAGAAUAGUUAUCAAAUGAGUUGCCUAUGGAAUGAGAACACAAUGUUGAAGAAAAUGGGUUUUAGGGCGCAUGCAAUUGAAAUUUGGACAUGGAUGGAUUGAAGAAAAAGAAGAAUGAAAGAUCAGAGAGAGGAAGAAGAAGGAAAAAGUGGUUUUUAAAAUUCAAAAAUUGAUGUUUACGUUUUUUUAAUUACAUCCCUGUGUAAAAAUACGUUUUUGGUUUUAGUCCCUCUACUUAACCCAGUUGGCAUCAGUUGUCAUAUCAGCAUGUGCCACGUAGGCGUCUGUUAGCUAGCAAACCAUUUUUUUCACGGAACCUGACGGCAGGGAUGAGUUCCAAAACGUGUGGUAAUUACAAGGGUUGUUUCGCAAGAAAAAAAAUUGCAGGGACUAAAACAAAAAACGCGCCAAUUUACAGGGACCUUUUACUUAUUUAAGCCGAAAUAAAAUAAUUCAAAAACCUGCUCUCAGGGACUAAAACCAAAAACACUGUAAUUGCAGGAACUAAAAUCAUAUUAAAACCAUAAAUUAACGAAAUAAAAUAAUUCAAAAACCUGAUCUCAGGGACUAAAACCAAAAACACUAUAAUUGCAGGAACUAAAAUCAUAUCAAAACCAUAAAUUAACGAAAUCAAAUAAUUCAAAAACCUGAUCUCAGGGACUAAAACCAAAAACACUAUAAUUGCAGGAACUAAAAUCAUAUCAAAACCAUAAAUUAACGAAAUAAAAUAAUUCAAAACCUGAUCUCAGGGACUAAAACCAAAAAUGCUAUAAUUGCAGGAACUAAAAUCAUAUCAAAACCAUAAACUAACGAAAUAAAAUAAUUCAAAAACCUGAUCUUGAACGUUCUUCUUAGGAACUUGUUUGGUAUAAUGAGCAAUGCAAUGAGGGAUAUUAUAAGGGGUAUCUUGUGAAGCCAAUCCAAUUCUGAUGUUUGCAGAACCUGAGAAAAUAACAUAAAGUCACCAUUUUUAAGUACAUAAUGUUGAUUUUAUUUAAACUUAGAGCUAAAAUGAUUAAAAGAGCAUAAGAUAAAAAAUGGGUAAUGCGCAAAAUUGGAUUUUUUUGCAUACCUGGGUUGAUAACAACGAGAUUGGAACCACGGUCUGACAUAAUCUGUGAAGGAAGCGCGGAUUUAAGGUAAUCCUGUGACAUAGAACACAUGAGAACAGAAUUGUUAAAUUCAAAGGGUUAGUUAAACAGAAUGAGAGAGAAAGUACCAUUGGAAAUUAGAGUUUGCAGAAUUUGAUGAUUUUUCCUCUUGUUCUUGUUCUUAGUGGAAGUUUUGAACUGAGAAAAGAGAGCACUUUCUCAUGUUCGUUUUUGAACUCCAAAAUACACUAAUUUCUUCUACUCAUUCUACUCUUUCUCUAUAUUUUUAGGACCAGGUUUUGAUGCUGUAGCAAAUGCAUGCAGUUUCACACAGUUUUUGAUCUUAAUCGUCUAUUUAAUAUUAAACGGUUGAGAUUGAAAACUGUGUCAUUUUUGUUAAAACAAUCUCGAUCAUACAGUUAUGAUCGGAUGUCUAUCAUUCAUUACAGCACUCUACUCUAACAGCAGAAAAUCUUGUUCCAUAUUUUUAUGUUCUGUUUCGUUGUAUUUAUAUUUGAGUAACGCUAACAACAUUCAGUUUUAAACUUAAUCUUUAAUACUCACACAAAAUAAUGAGACAUAUAUUAAUUUCAUAAAAUAUAAAUGUGGGUGGGUGUUGACAAAUAAAUGUUGUUAACGUUCCUCUUCAUAUUUUAUUUGUUUUUAAAUUUACAUUUAAAAAAAUUGUUAUGAGAAAAUUUGUAAAAUAAAACAUUCAACUAAUUUAAUACUAAAUAUUUGGUUUGCAAAUUUUCUAUAGUUUUGCUAUGGAUGUAGAUUUAAAGUUAAAUUUAAAAUAAAACUAAGUUUUUUAGGGGAAAAUAAAACUGGGUUGUAAAAGGUAAUUUUGUCCAUAGAAAAGUUCGACAAAAUAGUUAGUUAACUGAUGGUUUUUUUUUACAAAGAUUAACUCUAAAGUUUUUUUAUGCAAUGAUAUAUAAAAUUUAUUUAUUAGUAUUUUAUAGGUUAAUUUAGCAUCUGAUUUCAACUCCAUCCGUGUAUUCGGUCAUUAAUGAACUUCAAUUAAAAGCAAAUCAAUUAGGAUGCAAGAGUAUCCACAAUGGAGACAUCCAUUUUUUGGUUACGAGUCUCACGCGUACACAUCACUCAUUUACAAUUUUUUAAUAGUAGUAUCUAAUAAGCAAUCAAUUCCUCCAUCCCAGAUCUCCCACGAAGUUCUUAAAUGGGACACACUAAUCAACUAUCAAUAAUUUUAUAUCACUACAUUUCAAUUUUUUAAUAUUAAAAGAGUGUGAUUCUCGUUUAAAGUUGGGGUCUUAUUUGGGGUAUUAAAUAAGACCCCGGGUCUUAUAAGACCCUGAAAAAGAUUCUCCCCAAUAGGAGUAUCUAAUAGGUACAGGAUCGUAAAUGUUCAAGACCCUUCUAUUGGAGAUGGUCUAAUAACACCAAAGUUUAAAGUUAACCAUCAAAUAAUUACCCUGAAUUUCGAAUUUUCAGAAGUCAUUCUCCCUGUAAAACCAAAAAUAAAAUAUCAAUCAGAUUAAAAAUUAAAAAUAUGGAACACGUACAACAUUUAUAUUUCAUAAACUUAUGUGGAACAGACAAAAUUUAGUCUGUCUUAAUUAAAUUCCAACCGAUAGAGUGAUAUGGUCCAAAAUGUGUGUUGAAGAGUAUUUACCUUAAUACAACAAAUACAACAAUCGUGUGUGUUGAAGAGUAUUAUCCCUUCGUUCAUCAAAUUACCACCAAGGAGCAUCAUAUUUUUAAUUCAAUUAACAAUAUAUGAUACAUUCUAGUGUACACCAACAAGUGUGUGUCAACCAAUGACUAAUAAUGAAUAUCAACGAGCAAAACACAACAUUAAUUCAAUGAUAAAUGUAAUAUAUGAAAAUUCUUCCUCAUUUUAAUCGGUAAAGAAUAAGUCAUAAGGUUAUUUUCACAACAAACAUUAUAGGAUUGAAGAGAUGAGAGAUUGCACAUUUCAUUUAUCUACUAUCAUUUCUAUCAACUAAUUACAAGCAGUUAUCAUGUUUAAAAAAACACAAGGAAUAACCAUUACAUUAGCAAAUGGAACAAAUACAUAAAAAAAAUAAAAAAAAAUAGGGCAAUAGUUGAUCAUAGUGAAAGAACUUACUGUGAACAGCUGGCAUAAGAGACAAAUGGGGGAUAACAAUUAGAUUAGCAAAUUGAUUGUGUGCAUAUAAAAAAUAGUACAUUGAUUGAUCGUAUUAAAAGUACUUACCAGAAACAUAUGACAAAAGAGAUACGAAGAGGAAGGAGAUUUAUCCCUUAAAUCGAGAUUCUUCAAAUCGAAAGUUCAAACAUUAAUUAUCAAAAACGAGAGGUCAUAGUUUAAAAUAUAAAAGGGGGGAGACUUUUGGUGGUUUAGAUUUUCACUACCCACUUAAAAGAAGUCAUGACACUUGACGAAAAAAAAAAAAGAAGUCAUGACAUGAGAAAAUUGAUUUUCGAGGAGAAAUUUUUCGAUAGAGAAGAAGAAAGGAGAUUAGGACAUAAUCGAUGGAGAAAAAAUCAACAAAGGAUGAACGAGGAGGAAAGAUAAUAACCUCGUGUAAAUUAGGGCACAAAAAUUAAACAAAACCUACAAUUUUAAUUAUAUAUUUUAACGCUAAUUUAUCCUAUCAUUUAUUUUUAUUAGAGAGAAAGAAAAAUCAUAGAGCCCGCAAUUUUUUUUCUAUCUUUUCAUUUUUUUCUCUACACUAAAUAAGGGAUAAUAUCAUUUUCUUUUAUCUUUAUCUCUCCACUCUUUUUUUUUAAGGAAGCUUUAUCUCUCCCCUCUUAUUUUUUUCUUCUUUCUUCUUUUCAUUAAGAGAGAUAAAACAAUAGACCCCACAUUUUUUUCUCCCUUCUCACAUUUUCUCUAAACCAAAUUGAGGAGAUUGAACUUUCUUUCGCAUUAUAAUCCAUUCCUUUAGUCAUAUGUUCCAAUCAGGGGCGAAUCCCUUCACAUAAACGGGGUAGCAAUGACUACCCCAAAUGAAAAAUAAAUCUUGCAUAAUUUGUAUAGUUUUGAAUGUAACUACACCAAUAAUAUAUUAUAUGAUUACUCCAAACAAUUUUGUUGUAUUAAAGUCGGACCAAUCAUAUUUUCACAUUCAUCUAACUUAAAUGACCAUAAAAACUAUUUGACCUAAAUUUUAUGAAAUGUCAAAGUUAAAUCUUACAAAAUUUAACUCGAUAGAUCCUAUUUCCAUCCGGUACUUUGACAAUGAUCUUUAGUGGACAAUAAUCUCUCACCAUUGUCAAAGAUAAUUCAUUUCAAAUAGGUGCAGUCGGGUCGGGUCGGGUCAUGUAAGAUAAUUAAUAGUGGGGAGUAUACGGUAACAUUCUGACUUUAAUUAAUUAAAAAAAGUUCAAAUGUAAUGUAACGAAAGUAACCAAAAAGAAAAACGCACACAAAGGUUCAAAUGUUCCUGUUCAACAACGUUGUUCUCUUCUCUGCUUUCAGAUCCAUUCUUGCUCAAACAUUGCUGGAAUCAAAGAUAACACCCACCUCACCUACUCAAUCUCAUUUCACUGGUAACAUUCUUCUAUGCUCGUUUCUAUUUUAAUUCGGUUUUCUGAAAUUGGGAAUUUGUUUUUAAUGAGUUAUUGUUAGAAAUUUCACACAUUAUGAUACAUAUUUUCUUCAAUUGAACUACAAAGGUUACUUUUUUUAGCAGAAACAUACAAGUUGCAUGCUGGGUGUUUGUUUUUAUUAUCAUACCUUGUGUUGUGUGCUGAUUAUGCACAAUGUGUUUUUUUUAGAUCAAUUCAAUGUGAUGGCUUUUUGUUAGGAUAUAGAAUAAAGAGGAAGAAUUUGAGUAGUUAUGAGCUGUUAGAACUUAGAACAGUUAAUUAGUUAGUUAGUUACUUAACUGGCUAGUUUGUCAUGUGAUUUAGAUUGGGUAGACAAUCAUUUUGGUCUCUAAACAUGUGAGACGUUGUCAUGUGAGACCCCUCAAUGUUACGAAAUUGCAGAUACAUCUCAAGAGAGUUAGUCAUUUUGGUCCUCAAAUGUGUUUUUUGCUAGUCAAUUUAGUUCAUAGAAUUACAAACAAAAGAGCCAAUUAAGGAUACAUUUGCAACUUUGAUACAUUCAAGGACUAUAAUGACAGUGUCUUACACAUUCCGGUACCAAAAUGGUUGUUUACCUGAUUUGGAUUUUGUGUAGUAGUUAUGUCAUGCUGUAUUAAUUCGAUCUCAACCAUCCGAUAUCAAAUUAACAGCUGAGAUCGUUUGAAGCUAAUUUUGAUAUUGUGAAAUAUAAGCUGUCAGAUCUCAGAUUAACGGUCAAGAUCGUUUACUACCGGAAACUGUGUGGAAUUGCUACUGCAGAGUGGAUGUUCAGCUUAUUAAUAGCUGUGUGCUAUUUCUGUUUGAAAUUUGGUUAUUGUUAGCAAGUCUUUAAAUAGCCCUCAACGGGGAGAGGGGAGAUAGAUCUGAGUAAUUGAGUUUUACGACCGAUUAAUCCAAUGUGAAAGGAGAGUGCUCCUUUGUACUUCUUUUUCUUCCCAUUUUGCUGUUGAAUAAAAAAUUCUAGUCUUUUUUUUUUUUUAAUCUUGAUUCUUUUGAUUACUCAAUGCUGUGUUGUUCUAACCGAUGUAGAUUCUGCAUUAUAGGUAUAUGUAGGGCCUCACUAUGAGUAGAGCAUUUUCAUCAAAGAAAACUUCAUAUUUGCCUCCGCCACCAACACCAACAACCGCAAUUGUAAAGGCCAAUUCAAACAAGAAGCAAAGUCCUCGAAGCCCUUUACAGGAUCUCAACCGAAUUUCCAGUAGUAGCAAUGGUAGUGAUGCUUCUUCAUCUGUCUCCACGGAAGUCCCAAAGGGUUGCCUCAGGUUCUUGGCCUCCUCUCAUUUCAAAACCCCUGUCAAUAGACCCAAAAGUAUCUCCAAAACACCAAAUUCAGCACCCCGUGGACUUGCAUUAAAACAAUCUAAGUCCAAUUCUAAUUCCUCAAAGGAGAAUCUUCCAAAGGGUAAUAAUGUUGGACUGCAAACUAAAACUCUUGUAUCUAAUAAAGCUAAGAAGAACCCUCCAUGCCUCUACCAAUGGCAGUCCGGUAAGAAAUCUAGUUCAAGGACUGGCCAAAAGUCGAAGCUUACUUCUACUUUGAAUGAACAUGGACAAAUUUCACCUGCAUUUCCAUCUACAUCCAAGGAGUUAAAGCAAAAGGAGGAUAUCGUUGGAGGGAUAAGUGAUAACGAUGUUGAGUCUACCCAUCUCAAAUCAUCUAACAGAGAUGGAAAUUCGACUCCCUCAAGUAAAAAAGUUUCUGAGUCGAAUUACGAGGAGGCGGAGGACAACCUUAACAGAAGUAUUAGUAAAACACCCCCAAUUCAUAGCUCUCUUUCCCCAGAGAUACAAGGUGGUUCUUCUUUGGACUCAACAACAACACCUGGUUGUUAUGCUGCAGGUUAUAUUGUUUCUGGUGUCACUGACAAAAGGAAAUGUAGGCCUAGAGGGAUUCUCACUGUAGAAGAGAACUAUUCAUGCUCUGCUAAAUCGGUUGCCGAUAGUAUUGAUGAUGGAGAAGACGAUGAUGACGAUGAGAAGAAAACAAUGGAUGUCAUUAAGGAAGAUAGCCCUUCAUUGUUGCCUUUGCCAACUGAAGCUUUAGUGCAUUGGCUUAGUUCUCCAACUAGAAAGGGAGAGAAAAUUCUGAAUCGGAAGUCUGAAAUUGGACUCGUAGAGUCCAUAACUCUUGGUUCCAGUACUUCACCAUCAUCCAGUUCAAAAAAAUUCUGGAAUUUAUGUGAUAGUUCUAAAACUGUUUGGAAUGCAAGUGAUAGCAGUGAUAUGUCUGGUACUGCUAAUGGUAUGAGGAGAAAAAUGAGUUCUUCAAUUUCUCCAGGUAGUCUUUCUGAAUUUCAAGUACCUUUUGAUUCCAUAUUGUUUUCUCCGAAAUCCUCACCCAAUUGUAAGGCAGACAGAUCAGAAAAUUUUAUUGAUGAGAACUCUCCAUUCUCGCUGAAUUCAAUUAGCAGUGGAAAUGUGAUUCAAACUCCACAGUCAGAUUGCAGUUCAGAUUUACAUGUUGGACUAUCACUGGCGCACAUAGAUAAUCAAAGGAAAGAUAAUUUUAACCCUGACUUUAAUUCAUUCAGUGAUGUUCUUCAAUCAGAAAACAUCCUUCUCAAUAGUUCUUUGCCACUGGAGGAUUCAGUUAAUUCAAGUUUCCAAUUUGAUUGUUUAACUAUGCCUUAUGAAUCAAUUGAUCUCAGCAAACUUCCAAAAAAAUUGGAUGCUCGGGAUCCUCCUUGGUUAUCUAGUUCUACAAUAGAGGAUGGAUCACAAUCUCAAAUGAGGAUAUCUUGGAGGGAAGGGUUAAUGAACCAAGUUAAUGAGGUAGAUGAGUUUGACUCUUGUAGAUGUCUGUCAGAUGAAGAUCUCUCCGAUGACAACGACUGUGGUAGCAAUAGGGUAUCAGGUACUCUAGUUAAUAUUGAAGUAGAUGACAUCAAAAAACCAAACUAUGAUGUGGGACUCACUGAAACUGAAGAUAAGGAAUUGGAAACAGAUGGGAUUGGCAAUGAAAUGUUUUCUGGUGCCGAGUCCAUAAGCACCGAUUAAGGCGGUUUAGUUGCUAUUUGAACAAGUUAUUUGAAGUGUGAAAUUUAAAUAGGAAGAAGGAAGAAUCUACUUAGAGGAAGCAAUUUUUUUUCUUCUUGUUUUCAAUAUUGGAAUAAUUUACUGCUCAAGUGGUUGAUCAGGUCAAUAAUGGUAACUCAGUUGAGCAAUUUGUUCUUCCUGAACUACAAAUAUUUUUAUUGACAGUCUCUUUUCAUUUGUAAUUUUCUCCCCAUAGUUUUCCAUCAUUGUUUUUAGUGAAAUUUGUUUUCAUUCUUCUACCGGUUAACCUACAUGGAAGCCAUUUAUAAAAUAUUUAUGUUAUCAGUAUGGCUUUGGACAGAGUCUCUAAGUUGUUAAUUGGCCACAGGCAAUUACAAAUAGUAGCUAAUGUCGAUAACUUCAACUAAUCUUUUUUGAGAUAUAAUAUAAAAAUUGGUAGAGAUUACAUACUGAUGCAUAAGCUUGUGUUAAGUAGUUGAAGAGGCUCAAUGACAAUGUUUCAAAAGCAAUCCACAGGAGGCUAGUGAGUGUACCAAAAUAGUUUAUAUUAGUCCUCUAAAAAAGGGGUUUAAUUUCAUGAUCAAAUGUAAAUUAACCAUAAAGUCGAAGAGUAAGAUGCAAAUUGAUGUUACAUGUGACUUCGAGUCUUCAAUUAAUCAUUUACAUUAUUCCAGAUCAACAAUUUCCAUUACCAAGUCCCCCCUUUCAUUCAUAGAGAAGAAAUGACUUUUUAUUUUUAUUUUAGCUUGGAAAACAUAAGAAAAAUUGGUUGAACCAACUCCGAUGGAAUUGAUUUGAGCUACGAGUCAGGGUCUUAAGUUCAAACUCGAACGAAGGAGAAAAAAAUUAAUAUAACUACUAAUUACUAACAUUUGUCGUUCAAAUAAAAAAGUGACUCUCAUUUCACAUCAGCCUUUUACUAAUCUCACUCCACAAUGCAAAUUCUGCUUUAAAUUCGCGAUGUUAUAAAUUGAAGUAAUGUGUUGAAGAGGAAAUUGACAGAUAGAGAACCUCAAUUUCUCAAAGAAAUAAAAACUCUAUUACUAAUGUUGAGUGUAUAAAAGUCUAAUUAUACACAAUACUUCACCAUUACUAGAAUAUAGACGUUUAGACACCAAAAUCCUUGAAUUCUUUCGAAAAAUAAAGACAAAUCGUACUAAUAGCUAGAUACAAAUAUGUACCAUGAAUAUCCAUUUUUCCCAAACACACUAAACCUUCCAUAAUUGAAGCUGCAGUAGCAUCAGGUUCAUGACCGAAUGCUCAUGUAUAUGUUGACCUUACUUAAGCCUGCACGACGUGAUGAUAUUUGAGAAAGUAAGGUCUCCAAACUCGCCAAAAGUUUUGAUCUCGGUAGGACAUCAGAAGCAUAUAUUUCUACCGAUUUAUUAUAUAAUACCCCGGACAUCAUAUAAUAUUUGAUUUAACUGGAAUAGCUAAUAUAAAACAAAUCGAACUGGAUUUAACAUUGCACGGUUAGCAAACAAAUCUAAUCAAAUCUUUUGUUGAUAACUAUUCUUAGCCGCAAGUACAACAGAAUUGUAAACGAAAGCUCAAGCACAACCAAUCCAUAAUCAAAUUGUGCCAAUUAACAAAAACAACUAUUCCAAAACAUAGCAACACAACAAUUUGACAACCUGUUCUUAGUAAACAGACACAUCUUUCUAAUUUCUAGACUGCUUUUGCUUUUGGGGUUUUCUUCCUCAACUGUUUUCUGGGAAUUGAGUUCUUCAUCCCUAUGAAAAAUAGCAGUGCACCAAAAAGUGCUGCGUUCUGCAACCAAAAGUUAACGCAUUAUUAAAUUGUAUUAGAGAUAAACCAUCAGCCAGAAACACAGGAAAUAGCAAGAGUUUGCAUACCUGAAUGAACUCAUUUAGCAACAAACCGUAUUCGGGCUUAGUAGGUCUAUAGUUGUAGAAAUCAUACAGAAUAGGGGUAGUAAGCGCCAAAUGUGAAAGCUACAAAAAUAAAGAGGAAAAACUCAGUUUAUAAUACAACAUUUUAGGACUAGAAGAAUAUCAAAAUAUGAAAAGUGUAUUUGAAAAAUGCCAAUAUCUAUGUCUAUUCAUUCUUAAGCUAACAGAGGAAGCAUUUACCAAGAGAAAGGAUCCAAAUGUGCUGCCAAACACAAACAGAAUUCCUCCAACUCCCUUGAGAAAUAUGAUAGUGGCAACGAAUUGACGAACCUGUAUGAAACAUUUCAAUCAGAAAGACAAUCAAGAAAAAAUUGAGUUCAUUCUGAAAAAACCAUAACAUAUAGGAGAAGAAACAAUAAUCUUACAUAAGUUGCGUUAAAAUCUGGUAUCGCUACCCCCAAUUUGGAGGAUAAAUUUUUCCUUACAACCGUGAGCUUGGGAAUCAACUCCUUUGAAAAGGGUCCACCAGUGGCAUCAAAUUCAUUAAACCUAGCAAUACCGUAAAUUACAUAUAAAUAAGAAAGUACCAAAUGUGUCUUCAAUAAUAUUAUUAGAAAAUAAAAAAUGUAUACGAUAUACAGGCAAAGCACAUUCAUAAACAUCAACCCUGCAAUUCACUUCUAAGCAAGAUAUGAAGUAAAGUAAUAACCUUAACUGCAGAAAAAGCUGCAGCUUACAACAAAAAUACAUUCCAAGUAACAAGUCUCCAAGACAUUAUAUCAUAGCAAUAAAAUUUAGUACUAGACACACAAUCUCUGCACAAAUGCAUACGGAUCUAUUUGAAUUGACUUACUUGAGCUUAUCUACUAGCAUAAGUACUUGUGAGACUUUAGGGAGAGUUCAUGGAAACAAUUUAUAACAUGUUCAUAAAUUGUUUUCAGCUUGUUUCCAUAAGCUCUCCAGGGUAUUACUUUAACCCUAACAAAUCUAUGUAACAACUACCAUUGGAAAACAAACUCGACGGUCUUCUAUUCCGCCAGAUUUCAAAACACAGCUAAACUUCUAUUAAAUGCAAACUUGAAAAUCCUCAAUGAAUUGAAGAAAACAACUUAAAAGGAACAACAAUGAAACCCAUUAUGAACUAACAAGCAACUUAAAAUUUCAAGAUUUCAUUGGUUAAUAAUUUUAAAUUGCUAUUGCAUACCAAUAUCUAUGCUAAUGAUAACACAACAUUGCAAUCCCAACAAGUAAAGCAUAAUUUAAAACAUAAUGAAUCAAUAAUUCACAUAAAAACCACAAAGCAUAAACAAGAACUCUCCUUUUCCUAAAUCAUCACUAAUAAACAAGUAAGAUUUGUGGGAUCCAAAACCCAAAUCUGGUGAAAACCCAGAUGCAGAAAAACUAAAAUAUAACGGAAAAAAGAUAAAAGGAGCAAUUUUGAAAAGAUUGGAUCUAGAGAGAGAGAGAGAACUGACAUCUGCCAUGCGGAGAGGAUGAAGAGGGAAGCAAAGAGAACACGACCCAUGAAGGAGAAGAACCCCAUUUUUGUUUUCUCUCUCAAGCUCUCGGUCACUGUGUUGCUGGAGAGAGAGAGAGUGUGAGAGUCAGAGAGAGAGAGAGAGAAGAAAAUAUGAAGAGUCGCAGUGUUGUGUUGCACGACACUCUCCUUAAUCUGACCAAUGGGAAGGAACCAAAUUAUGUUUGUUUUUUUCUUGAGAAUCAAAUUAUGUGUUUUUUUAUUAAAAGAAUUAGAUGAGAUAGUAAUAGUAAUUUUUAUAUUUUAGGGUAAUAUAUGGAUAUGAUUUUUUUUUUCUAAACUGGUAUCCAACUAUUUUAGUAAAAUUGUAAAGAGUUUUUUCAAAAAAAGAAAAAAAUAGAUGUGGUAUUUUAUUUGAUAUUGGGGGGUCAACUUUAGACCAAUUUUUUCAAUCCUUAUUAAGGAGAUUUUUUAAUUUUAUUGGAAUUUUUUAAUUUUUAAGGGAAUUGAAUAAAAUUUAUGCUAUAGUUUUACGUUUGGAAUAUAUAUAAUUUUUUUAAGGGAAUUUGUAAUUUUAUUUGAUUUUUUUUAAUUUUUUAUUAAAUCUUUUAAUUAUUUUAUUAACCUUCCGAUUCCUAAUGGGAAAAGACUCUAAUGAUUGAAAGUUUAAAUCAAAUGUAUGUAAAUUACGAUCAAGAAUAAACUCUAUCAUAAAUUAAACUCGAUUUUUUUGAACGAUCUAUCUCAGGAGGUCAUUCGAGUCCAAUCACUUAAUUGAAUAUUUUAAAUUUUAAGGCAAUUGAAUAAAUAUUAUGUUAUAGUCUCCCUAAAAAAAAUUAUGUUAUAGUUUUAUGUUUGG